UUUUUAUUUUUUUUUUUUUUUUUUUUUUUUUGGUGGUGGGUUUGUUCAACCCAUCCUUUUGCCGAAGAGAGCCAUUUUUCAUGGCGGAAAAUUCCCUUUUUCAUGGAAAAUUUUCAAAGGCUUCAACAGCCAUUUUUCUUUUCUCGAGUUGUUGUUGUCUUUGCUAUUUUUGGUAGAGAAUUUACCAGAAAUUUUUUCAAUUCUUCGGUAACCUUUCUGUACGUGGUGUAACAUGGUUAAUACCCUUUUUCAUAGACGGCGCCAAUUUGCCGACCUCAAAAAAUGCGCCAAUAGAAUUUCAUCCUCAUCACACCUAGACACAGAGUACCUCGUUAGAAGGCAAAUGGCAGGUUCGAGAAAAUGGUUCGACGAUCGUUUGCACUCCGACGGUCAAAUCAACGGUUAGAUGAAAAGAAAAUAAAAAGUGCAAGAGACGCGAGAUGGAUUUGGUUCGAGUUAGAAUGAACGUAUGUUGGAAUGAAAUGAAACCAAAUAUAUAUAGAAAAUAGAGAUGGGUUGAGUGCAUUAAUGGACCUCGUCCAGGUCUAAUAGUAAGGUCCAAUAUGCAAUAAUUUAUAUGUAUAACAAUAUACACAAAAUAUAGGAGAUGGCAAGGGAGAGGAGAAAAAGGUUGAUAUUGGUGUACUUUUAGGGUGUUGUUUACCAACUAUUUGAAUUCGAUAAUUUUGUGACCAAAUCUAUCCAUUUUUUCAUCCACGUCUCUUAAAGGAACAUAGGCAAGUGACUAAUCAAAAGCUUCAUUAAUUUUCCUCUUAUAUAACUAACCAAUCUCUAAACUGCACUAAGGAUCAUCGCUGCAAUGAUCUAAACAUUCUGUAAGUGUCUAAUAGGUAUCAUAAUUCAACUUAAGUUUCUCAUACAGUAGGGGUCAUGGAUUCGAAUCAUGAGGGACGCAACAAAAAGCCAUGAGAUGUAAAAUAGGCACACGCCCUCUUAAAGUGGAAAAUAUGUACGUUAACGAGUUGGGUACAAAGAGAUUAAAAAAUUACCAAAAAAAAAAAAAAAAAUUCUGUGUAAAAUAGGCUCAACCUCUCACGAGUCCCAAAUCGUUACAAUCACCCUGCCAAAAGAUUCAUCAUUUGAUUUGAUUUUUCUUUUGGAAUGCCCAAGUACUUAUUGUCUUCAAGAUUUGAAAAAGAAAUUUAAAGAAUUGUACGAUAACAUGAUAUAAAAUUAAAUAGAAUAAGAAUAAUAGAUAAGAAGAAAAAAUAAAGAGUCAAAACUCGUCUCUUUAGUUAUAAUAAUGGACAUACAUAUAGUUUAAAUGAGAAUUACAAAUUGAUCAUGAUAUAGAUUCAUGUAAGCAAAAUAAUUAUCUAGGAAAAAGUUGAUGAAAUGAAUGAUUAAAAGUUGAUAAAAAGUGGUUCUAUCAAAUAUGUGGUUAGAAAUGAAUACGAGAAAAAAAGAGUUACAAUAAAAACGAGUUAAACAGGUGCUAAAUAGUUAUUCAUCAUCCUCUAAUCGUUUUACAGUAGUUUUAAUAGUAUUCAUUAGAUUAAUAAUCCCUUGUUUGAUUUUGAUAAAAAUCAAAUUUUAAUAAAUUUCUUAUAAAAAUCAAUAAAAGUUAUGGAUUUCAUAAAAUAUGUGAUGAAAAAUGAUUUAAGAAAAAAUAAUUUUUAAGAAAUGGAAGAGCAAAAUAACAUCAAAACAAGACUUAAGAUCCCAAGGCUUGGUAUCGGUAAUAAUUAGAUAUAGCAUUUCUAAAAUUUAUAUGUAAAAACGUAAUCUAAAUAUUUUUAGUUUUUAAGGUUGGAAGUUGAAACAUAUGAUAAGCACAACUCCUUUCCACAUCCAAAACAAAUAAAUAAUAAAUAAAGUUUGUUUAGGUGCACACAUAGCAUUUUUCUUAGUAUAAUCCCUUGUGAACAUCCAUGCUAAAUAAAAAAAUUGACAAGAUGUUACAAAUGAUUAUUAUUACCUUAUAAAUUUAUAAUACACCCCCACAUGAUUUUAAAUAGGUAAAAAUUUAAAAUUUUCAUGAUUUAUGAAAUUCAUGUUCAAUAAUUAAGCAAUUGCUUAAUGCUCAAUUAACAAGUAAAAUGAUGCAAUUGCAUUGAUCAUCCACCUAGUAACUACCCAUUUAAAUGCUUGUUUGAACUUCAUUAUAAGUGGCUAAAUUUAUAAUGUGAUAGAAAUGAGUGCUAUGUAGUUAGUAGUGAUGGAGAUUCAAUGAAAUAUGUUUUUAAAAAUAAAAUUUGAUUUUAAUAUUUAAAUUUAAGGAGAUUAUAACGGAAGUUAAAUAAACUUCAAACCUAAUUUUCUAGACUUUCAUUAAAUUUGGUCAAUCUACAAUAGUAGGUGUAGAUGUACAAUGAGCCUAGUCAGUUUGAACUACUCGUACAAGAGAAUAACGUAACUCGUUUGGAAAUUCAAAGCCCCCGCCUAUGCACACUUCUAAUUAACCUAACUUUACAACUAAGUGAAUGUGAUUUAAAAGUAUGUUCUAGAGUUGUCCAUUAACGAUUUAAAUUAUAAACAGAUAAAAAUGGUGUUGACUAACUAGAUAAUAUUUAUGAAUUCUUAAAAUACAUUGAUAAAAAGUAGUUAACUCUAACCAAACAUAGGCUUAAAUUUUCCCUUUUGUUUGCUCAACUUUUUAGUUUUUUUUUUCCUAAGCUUCCUCUCGACCCCUCCUCAAGCAAUGAACAAAAAGAAUUUUUAAGAUGAUAUUCUAACACGUGUGAGGAAUUAAUAAUGAACCAUUAUGUUAAUUAUUUGUUUGCAUUUGCAAGUAAUUCAAAGUAAUAAUUCAAAAAAUUCCAAUAAAGUUUGUAGUGAAACUUUCUCUUAUAUUUCACUUAUAAUAUUAUAUUCUACAAUAACUGUUAUUUUUGUAAGUGAAAAUACAAUAUGAUACACGUUCAAGAACAUCAAUCUUAUGAACUUCUUGAAUCUUGUAUAAUAUUGAGUUUUGUAAUUCUAUAUUUACAAGUCAAAUAUUUUUGAUACAAAAGUAUACAGUUACCUGAAAAUUUAUAAAUUAAUUUGGGACAAUUGCAUUGGAGGUUUCAAAUAUUUCAAAAAUAUGAAGAUUACACCCCCAAAGCCUUUAAAACGUAGUAGCGGAGGUUCCAAACUUUUCAAAAUCAUGUAGUCAAAGAAUUUCUUGACGGUUUCUCUUCAGAGGCAUGUUAAUUGACCAAAAAUCUGCAUUUCACUAUAAUAGGAUCAAUUUUUUAUUUUUUUUUAAAGACAAAAUGAUCUUUUAACAUUUAUUUAAUUAAAAAGGGGAAUUUUGCAUUGAAGGUUCCAAACCUUUAAGAAAUGGGCGUCGAAAGUAACUCUAACUAUUUUGAUCUAAAUAUUUGUCAUUUGACAAAAAAAUUCUCAGUCAAGUCAGCCAAUAUCACUGCCUCAUUUCCUCUACAUUUGUUGACCCUAUUUUCCCCAUCCACAUCAACUCCAUUUCUUCUUAACAAGAACUUUUGAUGAACUAAGAAGAAAUAAAUAAUAAUAGAUAAAUGUCCUUCAAAAUCAAUAAUAGUGGAGGUGACCAAGGCUCCCCCCACCUACGAAUUGAUGGAGUUGGGUAGUUAGGGAUUAGGUAUUGGGAUUCGAUGGAUCAAGAAAGCUAAAUAUUUUUGUUUGACAUAUUUUUUCAUGAAAAUCGUUAGUCCUUCUAAUUUACCUUUAUUAAAGAUUUGAGACAUUCAAAGCACAUUGUUUAAAGAUUUAGAAUCUCCUCCAAAAUUUCCCUAUUUAUUAAUAAAAAUUAGAAGACCAUUUUACCUUUUUAACUUGGUCAAAUUAUGGUCAAACACUGACAUUUGAUCAACUCACGUGUCUCUAGACUGAAACCAUUGAUAGAUACUUCAAUUGCACAAUUUUGAAAAACUUGAGACCUCUCUGCUACAAUUCAAAGUUUUAAGUGCUAAUCUGCACAUAUUUUUUAAAAAAAAUUGGAACAUUCGUUACAAUUAUCCCUAUUAAUUAUUAUUUUUAGGAAAAAUUGCAGUCAAGGUAUCAAACUUUUAGUUUAUUUGCAGACUUUGCCCAAACCUUUGAUUUGUGCCAUCGGAAGUGUCAAACCUUUACAAAAUUCGCAUCCAAAGUCCAGAUUGAUAGUUUCCAUUAGUUUGACACAAAAAAUCGUCAGUUGACCUUAAAAAUUAAAAAACUAAUAAUUUUGACCAAGUAAAGCAAGGGUAAAGUUGUAACUAAAAUUAUAAAUAAAAAUUAUUUAAAAAGGAAAAUAAAAUAAUAAUAAAACUCGUCUCUUUCUUCACCCAGUUGCCAACCGCUGGCACCACUGCCUCACCCAUAGCUUGACGACAACAAUAACAUUGGCAUACCACAAACAGAUUCGGUGCCUCCUAUGGUACCUUUUGAGCUCGUUAAUAUCAGCCACCCACUCCGGAAUUUGACACUAGGCUGUGGCCCUAGCCAAAUUCCUAGCAAUUCGAACAUGCUUCUUACCCAAAAUAUCCCUACUCACCUCCUCCUCCAGCAUCUCAUCCAACUCCGGGCAAGCACACGGGACCCGUCCAGCCAAAAAAUUCGAGCAGACCAAUCUCAAGUUCCUCUUCCUCACCCUGGUUGAGUUGCUAGGUUGUUGACUUUGAAGUUGGGGUCACAUCGGAUCCGUGGAUGGGUUGUGGGUUUAAGACGAGGGUUACGUUAUCGUCUAUGUCCGUCGUUACCACCGCCUCACCCAUUGCUUGACCACCACAUCCCACCAAUCCAAACUCCCAUUCAUAACUACACCACAAUCUGCGACUGUGCAUAUUAUUUCCCAGUCCCAUCUUCGCCUAAACCUUCAACAUCGCGAGCCACCCGUUCAGUUCAUAUACAAUCCAUUCUUUACCCAAACUUGCCGCUAUUCUUUAUACACAACCUCCGAUCUAACUCCAUAUUGCCAGCGUAGCACCCAAAUACCCAGCACGCCCUGUCGUUUUCUUUUGUUUUGAAGAAGAAGAUGGGGUUUUAUUAUAUUUUAUUUUCCUUUUUAAAUAAAUUUUAUUUAUUUUUUAUAUUAAAAUUAUAAAGUUACAAUUUUACCCUUGCCUUAUUUGAUCAAAAUUAUUUAGAUUUUUAAUUUUUGUGGCCAACUAACGAUUUUUGGAGUCAAACUUACAGAAACCGUUAAUCUGGACUUCGGGUUCGAAUUUUGGCUUAUCCGCGAUUACUAGCGAUUCCAACUUCAUGUUCCCGAGGACCCAUCCGAGCGAUCUUGGCUACCGGUGUCCUCCGAUUUAGAUUCUAAAUCCUACCCUUUCCCUGUGCUCUUUCAAUGCUUUGUAAAAAUAAGAUAAAACGAACUAAGCGUAGAGUUCUUAGCCAUCUAUAUCGCGGGAGAAUGGGGCUUUGCCUCCUUUCCCGUCCUAAGUGAGCACUCGCAUAUAGGAACUAGGUGAUCAAUCAUCCCUGAUUGUCGACCCUUUCCUUGAAUGCAACGCCUCCCCUCUUUUGAAAACGAAAGAAAGAAAAAUAGGAAGAUAUGUUUUUUGUGCACCUUUCCCAGACCUCUUGAAUUCUCUGAACAAUUGGAAUUUUGUACUUUGUCGGAUCCUCCCUAUCUCCUGAUCGAGCUUAUGUAAAGGUUUGGUACCUCCGAUGACACAAAUCAAAUGUUUGGACAAAGUCUGCUAAUAAACAAAAGAUUUGAUACCUAGAUUGCAAUUUUCCCUUAUUUUUAUACAACUACACUAGACUUUACCGUUAAGAACACAACAGGUGGACAGUGUUUUUUUAUAUUUUAUUUGUUUUUUUUAUUUUUCUUCGUCAUAAAGCUUUAGAGUUAUAAUUGGCUUGAUAACUUUUAUCGAGCCAGCGCAGCGCUGUUCACACUUCAUUAGCUCCCAAGUACUGGAGGACCCUUAUGCGAAAAAAAAUCGAAAAAGCAAAGGAGAAACCAAAAAACAGCUGACCAGAGAAGCUAAUGUUCAAGAAAAAAUAAGGGUUUUUUCAUGAAUUUCAAAACAAUGAUGAAAACUGAGAUGCAGCAAGAGGAGGCAUGUGAAAGCAAACAGUCGCUCACACAAACUGGGCAGAUUUCAGAAAGCCUGAGUUUGAGUGGUGCUUUAACCAAGGAAGAUGAGGAAAUGGCAAGAUCUGCUCUGUCAACUUUCACGGCUAAGGAAGAGGAGAUUCAGAAGAGGAAAAUGGAGGUUCAGGAGAGAGUUCUAGCACAGAUGGGUCGUAUUGAACAAGAAAAUAGGCGUUUGGCCACUAUCCGUGAGGUAUUUUCUUGGGUUAUUUUACAUUUUUAAUGGGGUUUUUUUUUAUGGAUCUGAACGGAAUUAGGAAGAGGGAUUUCAGUACUGAAUUUUAUGGACAAGAAAAUGAGAUUUUUAUGGGGUUUUCAUGAACUGUUCUUUUACGUGGAAAAAGGAUUUUAUUUUUAUGCGGUUUAUGUUAUGGAUAUGCAAAGAUUUCCAUAGUAUUUUACUGAUUUUGUGAGUUAAUUUACAUGAUAGGAGUUUAACUUUGCAAUUAGUUUCAUUUUUGAAGCAUAAUUUAGAGGACAGUUUACUUUUUGCAAUUUCAUAUGUCAAUUGGUUGUUCUUCAUUCAUUGUCAUCCCAAUAGUGAGAGAACUAUUUUUGCAAAAUUUAUCAAUUAAUAGUCUUCUUGCCGAAUCCGGACUUCUUUUAAAUGGGAUUAUCAGAUAAUUUAUCUAUUUUUUGAAGGGAUAAAAGAUGGGUAUAGUUUUAGCCCUAUAAUUAACGGAACAAUUAACAAUUAACCAUUUGAAUUAUGGAUUUCAUGUCUUCUGAUAGCAUGUAUUGCUGGGUAUCAUGUCCUGCUAUAUGAACAUGACUGGCGAAAGCUAUAGCUCAAUUAUCUGAUUAAUAAUUAGUAUGCAUACCAUAAAUAAAUGGAUGAGAAAUUUCAGUAUCUAAAGCUAAUGACUUCUCAAUUUGUCACUGGUACUCCCUCGAACGAACUGUAAAUUACAAUGAUCAGGAACUCGAGGCCCUGGCUGAUCCAAGGAAGAAGGAAGUUACACUUGUUCAAAAGAAGAUUGAUGCAGCCAACAAGGAGUUAAAAACCCUUGGACAGAGCUGCCAGAAGAAGGUGAAAUAUUUCGCCUGAUUUUCUUUAAUUCGAGACUAAUUAUUGAUGCUUAAACUUCCAUUUUCUUUGAAGAAAUUAGUUGGAUUACUUCUGCCUAUUGCUCGAAUAUAUAUAGUUGAUAUGAACCACUCAAAAUUUGGAAAUUCAAUGUUUUAUAACAGGAGAGAGAGUACAAAGAAGCUCUUGAGGCUUUCAAUGAAAAGAACAAGGAAAAAGUAGAUCUGGUUACAAGAUUAAUGGAGGUAAGUACAAACAUAUUUUUUGUUUGACAAUUUCAAGUGAAACUGCUUAUAGCUUGAAUAGCUAACCCUUCCCUUGGCAACGUGACAAUCUCUAUCCUUUGUUUGAGUUAUGAGUUCUCCUAAGAGUACUAAUAUGGGUUUCUCAACUAUCACUGUACGAAAAAGCUAAUUCUAUAGGAAGUUUGAGUUUGUAGUGGAGCUAGAGAAAGAGUUGAAUUCGAGUUGGAGUUUUUUAUGGAGAACAAACUAGGAUUGAAAGAAAGCCUGGCUUUCCCACCCCGCUCUUUCCGACUAAGGAAAUGGAUUAAGGGGUUGUCCCUUAACCUAUAGAGUCCUUACCCCUGAAGCCCCCCAAGGGGGUUUAUGGGGAAGACCUUCCUUUUGAGACUUUUUUAUUCGAGCUACCAAGAUCCAAUUCAAUUUCUGAUGCUGAAAUAGUUAUUAUGGCCCUUUGUAAUUUGUAUUUGACUUUAAAAAUUUGCAGCUUGUUAAUGAAAGCGAGGGAUUGAGGCUGCAGAAGUUGGAGGAGCUGAGCAAGAACUUAGAAACGGUACGCUUAGCCUAAUGUUGACAGCUAAUUAAUAAGGUUUGUAUUCAAUGGUUUUCUUAUUUGUUCAAAUAGCUGUUAAUGUAACAUUUCCUAAAGCGCAAUUUACCCUGUAAUAUAGGUUUUGCCGCUAUAAAACUGGUCUUAACUUUAAAUUCCACCUCCCCCACCCCGUGCCUUUAUAUUGUGUUAUAGUCUAGGAAGAAUGUCUUCUAAUUUCCGGACAAAGUGGUGGUUUUGUUUAACUUAGCAGCAUAAGAUCAAUUCGUGGUGCUGUUUGUUUUGAGUAUCAUUUUCAGAUAACUUAAUAAGGGCUUAUUUGACAAGACUUUUGAAAAGUCAAAAGUUGCUUCCGAGAUUAAGAAAUUGCUUUUGAAACAGUUUUUUAGAAAUACUUUGUCUGACUAGAAUAACUUUUAGAGGAAAUUGAUCUAAGGUAGUUUCUUCAGUAAGCUCUUCUAUAAUAAGCAGUAGCCUUCCAAACAUGCCCUAAAUCAUUUCCGGUCAAUGCAAUUCCUUGACUAUUCGUAUAAUUGAUCUUGGAAUAUUAAUUAGGGAAUUUUAUUUGUUGAACCAACUGUUGUAAAAAGUAAACUUUUAGAUGAUUUGGUUUAACUUGGUAUCAGGACACACAUGUCCCAUGAUCAAAGUUUUUUGGGCCACCCAUUUAUGUAUAUUUUACAUAUUAAGGCCUUUGAUUAGGAGUGAAUCCACCUUGGAUACGAGGGUGCUUGUUGGAAAUAGUAUAUAGUAACUAAAUUUUUCUCGUGUCUGACCGCUUAAGCAUUUAGGUGAAGUGAUGUGGUUUAACAUUUACUUAAAUGCACUACGGUGAGACUUGAACAUUAUAUAUUUGUAUGUGAUAAAAUUAUUUCAUCCUUCACUUGUACUUAUUAUUCAACAUGCUACUUCCCGUGUAGUUAGAUUUAUUUUUUCCUGAUGUGCAAUUUUAAUAACUAGAUGACAUUAGAAUUGAACUUGCUAGAUUUGUCUUGUGUGAUGUCAUGUUAAACCACCUCAUACAAGAGCUUAAGCUCUUAGACGAGGUGGUUCAACAUUCUUCCUCAAAGUUGGUUCUAUAUCAUUUUUCAAGUUACAUUUCUCAUCUUGUUUAAACUAGUGUUCGUAUUGUAACUUUUUUCUAGGCAAGAAAAGAUGGUCCUUCUUCAAGUCUUUCCCCAGUAUACAAGAAGAAAUUGUUGAAAAAUUGUUGUUGUUGGAGCCCCAGAGCCAUUGAAUAGGUUGGAUGGAGCCAUGAAGUCGUUAAACGUAGAAUGAAACUAAAUCCUUGUCUAAUAGCACAACUAUCGUUCUUUUCUGUCUCUCUAGUGAUAUUUGUUACUGCUCUUGAUGGUUUAGAUGCGUCGUUCUGUAGUGAUAUUUGUUACUGCUCUUGAUGGUUUAGAUGCGUCGUUCUGUAUAUAUCUUUAAGCAUUUGGCUUCGACUUUCUGAUGCUAUACAUGUUUUAACACGAUUUUUUUACCCAUAUUACCGUGUUUGGAUAAGCUUACUAAUCAACUUGUGAUUUGUGAAACACAGCUGAAACAUUCUGCAAUAUCUUUCGAUUUUAUUGCUCAUUGUAGCAGUCGGGUUCCAAUAGAUUGAUGUUCAUAUUAGGCAAAAUUCCUCUUUAAAUGGAUCGACAAAAUGUCAAAUAUAUAACAUAUAAAUACAAUAAGGUUAAUCUUUUAAAAUAGAACGUCUGAAGUUGAAAGACAUUAUUGUCUUAAGGUACGACCAUAUGAAAUUAUUCUUAGUGCGUGUUUGGGAGGGCCUUUUGAGAGCUCAAAAGAACUUUUAGAAGAUUAGAUACACUUUUAUAUGAAAAUGCAGUUGUUUGGUUGCAACUUGAAGAAGUGCUUAUUGACAUAAAUAUCACCUUUUUAAUCUGUAACGGAUAAGCUCCAAUUUGGGGCUUGUUUGGGAGCGAUUUUUCCCCUUAAAAAAAUUGAUUUUUUGAUCGUUAUUUUACUAUUCCAAUCGUCAUAUUUGACUUCUUCUCUCACGGGCAGAUUCCAUUUUUCUCCUACGGUCAAAAAUUCAAUUUUCAAAAUCACUCCCAAAUAAUAGGCUCUUGGAGCUUUUUGGAAAAGCUUCCCUAUUUGAGUUCUAUUAAUUUCUUGUAAUGUAUUAUGGAAUAGUAAAUUCAUGGUUAAAAAAAGAAGGAAAUUUUUUUUAUUUGUUGUAUAAUAUUAUUUUAAUGAAAAAUAUAUGAUUGAAAAUGAGAACUGUAGGAAAAAUAAUUGAAAAGAAUGGCUCAAACAGGACUUAAAUUCUGCUUUUAUGGGUAGCUGGAAUCUGCAUUAAUUAGCUUAUUAAUUUGCAAUAAAAUACAAAAUGUCUAAUUUUCUCCUGCCCUGCUUGACAGCCACCUUCCACCAAGAGGGGGCACCAGAUGGGGCCCAGGCCAAGCAUCUUUAUCCUAUUUGCUCACUUCUCUUAAUUAAUAUGAGAUCUUUCAUUUUUAAAUUUUAUUCAUUAUUAAUUUUCAUUUGUUAAUGUCCAAUAAUAUAAAUGAAAAUUCAAAAAUGAAGUUAAAACAGGAAUUUGAAAUGAUACAAGAAAUAUUCCAUAUAAUUACAAUAGUUUAUAUAUAAAUGUGUCGUAUUUUAACUUACGCAAAUGAAUUUGAGCUAAUAUUUUAAAAAUUUGCUAUGCAGUUUAAUUAAAAUAUUUAAUUGUUAUAUAGUAAAGAAAUAAGUUAAACAAUUUUUUGUAGAAUUAAUGAAUCAAAGUAGUUUUUUGAUAUGCUGUCAAACUGUUAAUUAAUGUUCACAAUAUUUUUUUUAUUAAUAACCAAACAAUCAUCAACUUUUUGACAAUCUCUCUUUUUGAAAAUGCUCUGCUAAAAGUAAAAUCUGUAUUGAUAAAAGUUCGAUCCAGAAUAAUUAUGCCAAACACACCUUUAAUUAAUUAGAGAAAAAAAAAUUAAUUAUCCUAGCCAUAGGUUAGGCACGACGACCUUUCCCUGGCAAAAUUAACAUUCUAAUUUAUAAAUAUGCUAACCACUCGACAAUGCCCUUCAAUUUGUAUUUUUUUCUCAACAUUUAUUUCUUGAGUAUUGUUAGACAGGUUAAUUCUCUAAAUGAUCACUGAACCAUUUUUUUUUUUUUAAUGUUCUCAUGGUGUCACCGAAAUUAAAAACAAUUUCCAUUAGUCAUUGAACUUUGAAAAUUUGUACAUCCAUCACUGCGUAAAUGAGGCUUGCAAAAUUGGAAAGAUUUGAUGACGUGUUUAAUGGUGUCGCUUACGUGACUCGUCAUUGUAAUAAAAAGAUAUAAAAUCACAAAGGUGCAAUCUGAGCAGUGUUUUUUGAAAGUGUAAUGCAUGACGAUGAGUGUCGAUCAAGUUUCAAUUGAUGCGUGCCGAGGUGAGGCUUAGGCAUAAAAAUGCGUAAUUUUUUUUCUUAUUUUAAUAUUAUUUUAAUUUUUUAAUCAAUUUAAAAAUUAUUCAACAAUACAUACAUAUUAUAGUAACAUAUACAGUUUUUUGAACAAUAAACAAGAUAUAUUAUAAUGGUGCAUAUUGAAAUAUUUGGAGAGUUUUUAAUUUUUAUUAAUUAGUAAAAGUUAGGUAAAAGAUUAAUUAACUUAAUAAAAUAUAGAUAACUAUUUAUACAAUACUACAAUAAACUAAAGCCAAAUUAAAGGUACAAUGUAUUAUAGCCAAAUCAAAGGGAUUUUUAUUCCACGUCGAAAGUUUACUACGAAACUCUUAGAGAAGCCUUCUAUAAAUUAGUGGACCAAUAAUAAAUGGGUAAACAAUUUUUUGGACCUUUUUAUCUAUUAGCCUAAAAGUUGAAAAAUUUAUGUAGUGUAAAAAAAAUUAAAAAGGUAAUAAUAAUGGGCCUCAAGUUGCCCUUUUGCGAGCCUAUGUGCGGCUUAAAGCUGUAAAUGGAAGUGUUAGCCGCUAAGUUAGCACAUAAGUACUAGGCAUGCGUUUUUGCCAAGUCUUGUACUUUGGUGGCGCUUAAGCUUCGCCAAGACACACCUUUUAGAACACUGAUCCUAAGUGAAAAAAGUGCUAUUGCCCAAAAAAUGUUUUAAACCAUAAAAAAAGGAAAAAAAUAAAUAAAAAACAACCAAAAAACCCCAAUCUAUCCCCAAAAUCCCCGAAACCCGCAAACCCUAAUCCCCUAAACACACGAAACCGUCAUUCUUCCUUCCCUUUUUUCCCAAAUCGCAAGAACCCUAAUCCUGUUAAAACUUCGCAUCCUCAAUCAAUUGACAAGAGAAAUCUAAUUGCUACAAAUCAAAACUUGAGCAAAUCAACCCUAAGAUUGUUGAGAAUCCUGCUUUUAUGUAUUACUGAAUAUUGGAGAAGAAAAAGCAUAUUAUUAAUCCAGCAAAAUAAGGGUUUAUAUAGCCUUUACAAAGCAAUAAAAAUAAAUAAACAACCAACAUCUCAAUAGCUCAGAGAAUCGUAGGAGAGGCCAAGAGAAAUGUUCAAAGUAAACAACGUGUCCAAAACAAUAGGAAUUAUUCUAAAAUGAAGCAACAACCAAAUUAAUCCUAGCUAACUAAUUCAAAAUCGUUAAAAUAUUUCAACAUUCUCCCUUAAACCGAAUGUUGCUAGCAAUCAGUUUUAUAUCUGACUCUGAAUAAACACCUAAUGAACUUUGAAACUUUACAAAUGCAUCUAACUUCAAUUGCUUUGUCAUCAAGUUUGCAAUUUGCUUCUGAGUGCAGUAAUGCUUCAUCUUCACAGUUCCAUCUUUUGUCAGUUCUCGAAGAAAAUGGAAACGACCAUCAAUAUAUUUGAUGCAGCCAUGCAGUAUUGGAUUCAUAGAAGGCUUUAUGGCUUAACUAUUGUUACAAAAAACAAUGGUGGAUUCACUCUGAACAUGACCAAGCUUUUCAAGAAUUCUCCUUAACCAUACAGUUUGACAUGCACAAGAUGUCACAACAAUGAAUUCUACCUCUAUGAUAGAAAAAAGUGACUACUGGCUAUUUCUUUGAGGACCAAUACAUAGCUCUUGAACUUAAUAAAAACACAUAACACGAAGUACUUUUUCUGUCCUCUAGAUCUCCAGCAUAGUCACGUCUAUAUAUGCAAUCAACUCUUCAUUUUCUCUAUUCUAAUAGAAAAUACCAAACUCAAUUGUUCCUUUUAAGUACCUUAAUAUCUUCUUUGUUGCUGCUAAAUGGAGUUCGGUAGGUCUUUCCAUAUACCUACUAAUGAGGUUUAUUGAAAACAUCAAAUCUGGUUAAGUGGCUGUUAAAUACAUGAGGCUUCAAACAAUUUGCUUGUAAUAAGUGACAUCCAUUCUAGCUCCAUCCUCAUUUUUCUCGAGCUUAAAUCCAGGAACAUUUGGGUUUUGGGCUGAAUGGGAAUUAAUCAUACCACACCUUUCCAAAACUUCCAUUGCAUACUUCCUUUGGUUAAUAAAAAUUUAAUCAAUUUUUUGUGUCACUUCAAUGCCAAGAAAGUAUCUCAUCCUUCCAAGAUCAAUCAUAUCAAACUCUAAUUUCAUAGAUUUUUUAAACUCAUCCAUAAUGGACCUAUCAUCUCCUGUAAGAAUGAGAUCAUUAACAUAAAAACACAAUUAGAAUUUUACCUCCUCUUUUAGUCUUGAUGAACAAAUUGCAUUCAUAGUGGCACUUCUCAAAACUUUCUUUCAUGAAAUAAGAUUCAAUAUAACUAUACCAAGCUGAUAGAGUUUGCUUAAGUUCAAAUAAAGCUUUUUUCAGUUUGUAUACCUUUUCCUCAUCACCUUUUCGUUCAUAGCCUCGAGGUUGCUCCACGAAAACCUCGUCCAUGUUUUUUGAGUUGCAAGGGCAGUUAUCACACGAAUUGUAUCUAGUCGAGCCACAGGUGCAAGUACCUCAGGAUAGUCCACCUCGUGCUAUUGAUUGUACCCCUUUGCUACAAGCCGUGCCUUGUAUUUAUCAACUUCUCCAUUCUCAUUGAAUUUAUUUUUGAAAGCUCAUUUUAAUCCUAUCUUCUUUCCUCUUAUAGGCAAGUCGGUUAAGUCCUAAGUAUCCUUUCUAUUGUUUCAAUCUCCAAAUCCAUGGCUUUUCUCCAUUUGUCACUCGUCACGACAUCAUCAUAUGAAAUAGGGUCACUAGCUGCAAACAUUACCAAGCGAGCCAUAUCAUUUUCCUCAGAAGGGGGUUCGGAGAGUCUUCAUGUAAUAAUUUAACUGUCCAUUCUUAUUUUUCUAAUUUUGUUUUUGUUUCUGACUAAUACAAUUUUCAUCAGAUUCAUUCUCGGUCUCACUUUCUCCCUACUCUAAAUCAGCAAUAAUAGUUUCUUCAUGCUUCUUUUCCCAGUUUCAAAUUUCAUCAUCCUUGAAAAUCACAUCUCUGCUUACCAAGAUCUUCUGUUAAAUUGGAUUAUAUAAUCUGCAUGCCUUCGACUCCUCAGCAACUCCAAGCAAAAUACACUUCAAACUACUAUCAUUGAGUUUUGUUCUUCUAGCAUUAGGAAUAUGAGCAUGACAAAUGCAUCCAAAAACUCUAAAAUACUCCAUUGAUGACUUAGUUCCACUCUAAGCUUCUCCGGAGCUUUAUUCCUUACUGCAAGUGUUGGGCUUCGAUUUAGAACAUGGACGGUCCAUUAAACUGCUUCAAGCCAGAAUGUUUUUGGAAUCAUUUUCUCUAAAAGCAUGCUUCGAACCAUAUUCAUAAUGGUUCGAUUCUUACGUUCUGCUACCCCAUUUUGUUGUGGGGUGUAUGCGGUCGUUAGUUGCCUUCGAAUGUCAUUUACCUUAUAGAAUUCAUUGAACUCCCAUGAUGUAAACUCUCCUCCACAAUCUGUACGCAAGCUUUGUAUAUCUGAACCUAUUUCCUUCUCAACUCGACUUUUGUAAUUUCUGAAUGUAAUAAAGGCCUCAGAUUUUUCCACUAAAAAACAAACCCAAAUCUUAGGGCUAGAAUCAUCAAUAAAAGUGAUCAUGUACCCUUUUUUGCUAUUUGAGAUAGGUGUGAUAGGUCCACAUAUGUCCUCAUGCAUUAAUUGAAGGAGUUGAGAGGCUCUCUAGGUGUUUUUCUUUGGAAAUGAAUCUCUUUUAUGCUUCCCUACUAAACAUUCUUGACAUAUCUUUGAUGAGGCUUUAAAUUGUGGCAAUGCAUGUACAAUGUUCUUAUCCUAGAGAGUUUUUAGACCAUUUAGACUUAAAUGGCCAUAUCUACAAUGCUAAAGAUGAGAGAGAUCUUCAACAAUUGGGUUGAAAUAGAUUGUUUCACUUGGCUAAGAAUGAGCAACCAAAAUGAACAUUCUAUUUGAUGUCAUGGCGGUCUCUAUGAUCCGGCCUUUUUUAGGGUGAUAAAUUCUGCAUUUCCCAAGUUGAAUAAGAAUUGCAAACCCUUUCUCUUGUAACUAAUCUACACUUAACAAGUUUUUCAAUUCUGAUACAAAAAAAAAAUAAUAAUAAUAAAAUCCCGUGAUCAUCUGCAUGACUCCAUUGACUUGCAAUUGUACAUUACCCUUUUCCACUACUGCCAUCCUUGAAUUAUUCCCUAGCUUUACAAAUUCUUUGAAGUUUGCAUCAAAAUCAGAGAAAUACUCCUUUUGACUGAUCAUGUGAUUGCUACACCCCGAGUCAUGAAAACACAAUACCUUUUGAUCGGUUUCCUUAGUACUCAGGUAAGCUAUUAGUAACAUCUCUUCAAUAGCCUCAGUAUAGUUUGCAUUUACAUUCUCCACUUUGCUUGGACAUUCAUAUUGGAAAUGACCAAGCUUAUGACAGUUAUAGCAUUCAACUGUAGACUUGUUAAAGCUUUGUCUACCUCUUCCUCUUCCUCUAAGCCACCACAUCUUCGUCCAAUGAUAAUCAUAAGUGAUUAUGAGUACUUGUUCUUCUAUCACAUGAGCAUUCAUCAUUGCUCAUGUACCAAAAGGCUACGUUGCAAUUCAUUAAUGGAUAAAGUAUCCACAUAGUUGGACUCCUCGAUAAAACACAACACGUAGUCAAAUUCUGAGGUCAUGAAUCUCAAAAAAAUUUCAAUGACAGUAACAUCUCCCAUUUUUUUUCCUCUGAAUCCUCAUUUGUUGGCUAUGGUGAGAGUCUGAACAAAGCAGUCAUUCAUAGAUUCACCAAGUUCAUUUGAAGCACCUCAAAUUCCCUUCGAAGAGCUUGUAGUUGUGUACACUUGGCUCGUAUAGUCCCUUGAUACUUCUGCUUUUGGAGUCCUAAAUAUCUUUGGCACUAUCUUUCUUCAGGAUAGUCUCUAGUAUUGAAUCAUCAAUGUCUUGAAAAAUGUAAUUUAUCGCCUUCAGGUCCAUCAAUUUAAGAUCUUCAUUCAAUUUUUUUCUAUUUUAGUAAUCACAACUUCUUCAACUACUGCAGGGAUUCCAUUCUCCACCAAUCCGCAAUAUUCUUUUGACGUAAAACGUUUUCCAUAGGCAUGCUCCAAUGGUCAUAGUGCCAAUCAAGCUUUGGAAUUAAAGGUUGCACGAAACUAUUUUCUGCUGCCACAUCUACUGCUUCGCACACCGUCAAAGGCUAUUGAUCCUCAAGUGACUUUAAGCAAGUUCUUUUAACCUAGCACUGAUUCCAGAUAUUGAAAACCCUACUUUUAUGUGUUACUGAACAUUCGAGAAGAAAAUGGAUAAUAUUAAUCCUACAAAACAGGAACUUAUAUAGCCUUUACAAAACAAUAAAUAAAAUAAAUAAAUAACCCACAUCUCAAUAGCUCCAAGAAUCAUGGGAGAGGUCUAGAGAAAUGUUUAAAGUAAACAACGUGUCCUAAACAAUAGGUAUUAUUCAAAAAUGUAGCAACAACCUAAUUAAUCCUAAUGACUAAUUCAAAAUCAUUAAAAUAUUUCAACGAAGAUGAGAUCUUUCAAUCGAUAGAGACGCAGUCUCAAAUUUCAUGGAGACGUGGGCAACUUCUGUUGUAGGUGGAUGAGACCAUUUUUAGUUUCAAAAAGAUGAUUUUCUCGUGCACGUAGAGGUGAUAAUCAGUUUGGGGAGGGCGAUAUAAGGCUUUGACUACGGUGAUUAGCUGGUUGCCGAAGACUAACUAUUUCUAGAGAGGACUUGCAGUGUGGAUGAACCCUAGAAUUUGGGUUCUUGUGAUUUGGGGAAAAUGUAAAGGAAGAAUUAUGGGUAUGUUUGAAUUGGAAGAUUAGGGAUCGUGGGAAUUGAGGAUUUUGGGGGCGAGUUCAAACUUCUUUCCUUUUUUUGUGGUUAAAAAAGUGGUUUGUGUUAUAAAAGAGAAGAAAACAGAGAAAAGUCAAUAGACUUGUAUGUGUUUUAUUAAAAACCAAAACCCUUUAUUUAUAGGACAGAAUCAGGGAUACAAUAGUAAUUAUUUUUAGGGUUACAGGGAUAUAAUUGUCAUUCACCUUUAAACCCUAAUAAACAUACUUUUUAAAACACUUUCCAUUGAAUGACACAUUAUAAAAUAUCUGCCUCAUUAAAACCUUAUUUGAAGAAAAAACCCAAUGGGACAAAAAAAAUCAAACGAAGGAAAAGGAGUACAGUUAUUUUGGAGUACUAAAAAUAAAUGUUGCCUUAUUAAAACCUUGUUAGAAAAAUCCAGUGGGACAAAAUCUAAGCGAAGGAAAAAGAGUACAGCUACUCCCUCUGAUGUUGAUCACUGAAGAUGUUUGCGUUGACGCAUUCUAAUAUUAUGAACUAAUUUUUCGAAUGUAGAUGUUGGCAAUAUUUUUAUGAAUAAAUCGGCCACAUUGUCACUUGAGAGAAUUUGUUAGAUAUCAAUGUCGCCACUCUUCUGAAGCUCAUGUGUAUGAUAGAAUUUUGGAAAAAUAUGUUUCGUCUUGUCACCUUUAAUAUAACCUCCUUUGAGUUGUGCAAUACAAGCUGCAUUGUCUUCAUACAAAACCGUUAGCUAUAUUUUAUUGGAGUUAACCCGCAUGAUACUUGGAUAUGAUGGGUCAUGUCCUCAACCAUACACAUUAUUGGCUUGCUUCAUGGAUUGCAAUAAGUUCAAAAUGAUUUAAAGACGUUGCUAUCAAGGAUUGCUUCACAAAUCUCCAUGAUAUUGUCAUUCCUCCACGUGUAAACAUAUAUCAUGUUUGUGAUUUAGCUUUAUAUGGGACAGAGAGAUAACAUACAUCUGUAUAUCCUACUAAAGUGGAUCCUGACUUUUGAGAAUAAAAUAAUUUCAAAUCAAUAGUACCUUUUAGGUAAUGAAAAAUAUAUUUGACACUAUUCAAAUAUUUUUGAGUUGGUGUAAAGCUAUAUCUUACAAAGAAACUUACAAAAAAAGUUAUGUCAAGUCGAGUGCAAUUUAUAAGAUAAGUUAAUGCUCCAAUUGUACUGAGGUCUAAUACUUCAGGACCAAGUACAUUUUCUCCAUCUUCAAGUGGAUGAAAUGAAUCAUUUUUCACAUCAAAUGAUCGAACAAUUAUGUUGAUGCCAGUGGAUGUGCAUUAUUUAUAUAAAAGCGUUUUAAAACUUUUUUGUAUACAUAGAUUGAUGAACAAAUAAUCUUUCUAGAAAAUAUUCAAUUUGCAACUCAAGACAAAAUUUGAUUUUUCCCAAAUCUUUAAUCUCAAAUUCAUUUUUAAAUAACCAGUAGUUUUGUUGAGCUCUUUAGAAGUUCCAAUUAAAUUUAAAUCAUUAACCAUAAUUGCAAAUUCAAUAUUUGUUUUCUUUAUGAAAACAUAUAGGCGGACAUGGUCAUUUUCAUAGCAUUCAUUCAACAAAUAUUUGCUAAGGCGAUUAUAUCACAUACGUCUAAAUUGUUUUAAUCAAAUAUAAUAAUCUAAGAACAUGGUUCUCGGGCAUGUAUCAUUUAAGUUAUGCUUCAUGCAUAUUAAAUCUUUCAAAAAUAACAUUAAUAAUCCCGCCAGAUCAAUUGAUUAUCACGUGUUUCAAAUUUCAUCUAUCGUCAAAAUAACAUGAUAUAAACUCGUGAUUUUAUCUAUGACGAUCUUUGCGAAAUUCACUAUAUUAAGAGUCAUGCAUUAUACAAUGCGACUUCAUUUUCUUAUUUCCUUUUCGUGAAAGUAUAUACAUUUAGAUUUUCUGACUAUAGGUCCAAAAAACUUCGUGUUUAUCUAGUAAACUCAAUUUAAGAUUGCGUCUCCUUUUAUUUGGCCAAACAUUAUUUUGACCGAUAUAUUUCGACGCAUUUAUUUCGAUUCCUCGCGAUUCACAUAUGAUACUAUAUAUCAUGUACAAAAUUGUUAUAGAUAACUUUUUCUUUUCUCGUUCGAUUCUAUUUCUUUUCCCAUAGUAAUAUAACUUAUUUAGAUAUCUCAAUUUUCAACAUAUUAGGUACCCGAACCUCUUCUGAGGUUUUGUAAUUUGUUAUGUUUGAAUAUUUAUUAAGAGUAUAUGCCUCCUUAAUUAAACCAUCUUUGCUAAUUGUUCCAUUUUCAUUUGAAGAUUAUUGUAUUAUAAUCGAACAUCAUCACGCUUCAAGCGUGCCAUAGAUAUAUGAAAUAUAAUGUUAACAAAUUGUCCCCUAAGACAUCAAUUCGUAUUGGAACAUUAAAAAUUGGUGCGUGAGAUAUUGAUGAUUUCUUUGAUCAAUAAAUACAUCUAUUUCUAACUUCUGAUUCGAAUGAUAUUUAACAAGGAUUUAUAUGAUGAUGCAUUUAUAUAUUAUUUUCAAUUUCUUAAUUCCUCCCCUAAUGCUGAGAGAAUUGUCCAAUCAAAUUGACAAUCAUUUUUCAGUGUUAUAAAAAUCACCCAUUUGAAAUAAUAGUUCAAACUACGUACUUAUUCUCAACAUUCUUUAUUUUCCAUCUCAGUGUAUUGUGGUGUUCAUUUUUUUACACUAGUAUUUGACACGUGCGUUGUAUGAGUUUUGUAUUUAUUGUAUUUUUAUUAGCGUCAAAAUUGUAGAUUUUUCAAAAUUCGUUGACGAUUCGAAGUAUAUGUUUGGUUCAUUACAUUAGCGCAGGAUGUAUGGAGAUUUCUUUUUCAUUUUAUAUUUUUUUCCUCAUUUAUUUAUUUAUUUUUGUUUUAUUCAUAUUAUAAAUAUUUUUUUCGAUUUAAAAUACUUUUUAAUUCUUUUUUCUUUAUGAAAAAACUUAAUUUUUUCAAUUUUAAUUAAAAAAUAUUUAUACUGUAAGAAAACACUGCAACGCGCACUUUCCAUACCUCCCAAAAAAUUAAAAAAUAAAGAUAGUAUAAGAAAGAAAAUAUUUUACAAAAAGUUACUUGUAAGUAAAAAAUUUGAAGAGAAAAGAAUUAAAAAGAAUUUUAAAUUGAAAAAAAAAAUUAUUUGUAACGUAAAACUACGAUACUGAUUUCUCUCGGCACCAUAUUCAUAUGUAUUUAUAUUUUGUGCUUCAUAUAUAUUUAAAAUUUAUUUUAUACUUAUGUUGAAAAAAUAAAAAUCUAAAUUUUUUUUUGAAAUUCGAUUUGGUAAGUGAAUGUACGGUGUUCUGCAUUCUCGGUAUUUGUAAGUGCAAAAAUCGGUAUAUAAAAAUACAACAAGUUGUAAAUACGGUAGGCAGCAUAUACGGUAAGGUACAAAAUAAGAUAAAGUACAAAUACGGUAAGUUGUUUGCAAAUACGGUCGGCAGCAUAUACGGUAAACUGCCUGCAAAUACGGUAUUGAUUUAUAAUUUGUUAUAAAUGUAUAAAAUUUAUUUAAUAUUGAAUUUUUUAAAUAUUAAAUGUUUUAAUUCAAUAUUGUUUCUUUUUUUAUAAUUGUAUUUUCGAAAAUUAAAAAAAAAAAGUGGUUAUGAAAUUGUUAAUUUUUAAAUGUGUUUUUUUGUUGAAAAUAAAAAUGAUUUUUUAUGUAUUUGUAAAAAAAAAUAAAAAUUGUAAUUUUAUUAGCGAAAUAAGAAGAUUUAUUAUGCAUUUUUAUUUUUUGCAUUUUGUGAACAAUUUUGUUUAUGGUAAUUGACAAAUAGACCACACACGCAUCAUGCUAACAACAUUAAAAAAAUUAGUAUAUAUUAAAAAAAUAAAAAAAAUAUUAUGGAGCAAAGCCUCCAUAAUACGGAGGUUUCAACGUGCAUUUUUUUACUUUUUGUUUCCUUCAUUGGCUCUCAGUACAAUAAUUUAAUUUCAUUUAAUCAAGUUAAUUUUUUUAAUAUUCUUAAAAUAAAAAUACAUAAAAUAAUGGAGGCUUACUUUUCUCCAUUUUUACAUGCUGCAAUCAUGUUUCUCUAUUUCCCCACACUAUAUCUUUCACCAUUUUCUCACGCUAUCAACCAUGUAUCUUUAAAAAGUUUAUUUUUGAGCACAUAAGUAAGUUUAAAUAAAAAUAUUAUUUUUAUAUAUGUACAUAAAAGGUAUAUAGUAACCAUUUGGUUGACCAAAAAAUAAUAUCAAUCAAAAUUUUACGAACCGUUUAAAUAAUAAUUUAUUGAGGGGGUUAAUUUGAGAGCAAAAGUGUGAAUUCCAUAAAUAUAUGAUUGAAAAUAUGUUUGAAGAAAAAUAAAUUUUAAAAAAUGGAGACCAAACAUGUUAACAAAUGAAUAUAUUUAUUUUUCAAGAAAUGGGUUUUUAUUACCAUUUCAUUUUUAUCAUGAAAUAAUUUUAAUCUUAAAAAAAAGAUUCAUAAAAACAUAUUACUUUAUAAAAAUUAAUUUUAAAAAUUAUAUUUGAUAGAUUAUGUAAUUUUGAAACAUAAUCUAACAUAUUAAGAUUAGAAUCAUUUCACGAUAAAAAUAAAAUAGUAAUAAAAACUCAUUUUUCGAAAAAUAAAUAUAUUUAUUUGUUAACAUGUUUGGUCUUCAUUUUUUUAAAAUUUAUUUUUCUUCAAACAUAUUUUCAAUCAUAUAUUUCUGGAAUUCACAUUUUACUCUUGAAUUAAUGUGGAGAAAUAGAGAGGCAUGACUGUAGCGUGCAAAAAUAGAGAAAGAGUAAAGAGGGCUCUAUGCCAUAAUCCUCCACGCUGCGUAAAUCGAGGAAAAGCAACAAAAUCAUUGUAUCAAACACGUAAGAUAAACAACGUCGUUGCUUUUUCUCAAUAAAAAAAAGUUACAGUGAGACAAAAUGGAAGAAUCUACUAUUUUUUCUACAGUAGUGAAACAUUGCCCUUUUUAUAUAGUAGUGAUAUAUUACACCAAAAAAAGUAAUUAGAUAGAAAAAGUAGGAUCUAAUCAUAAGCUGAAUAUAAUAUGGAGAACUGUGAUUUUGGCAUGAUGCGUAAUAGAAUUUCCUAAAUAAAAAUGAGAAAUACUUUAUUCACAAUUAAAUUAAUUAGAGGUCUUUAACAAACAAUAGUGUUAAACUAUUUAUCGACAUCUCAACUAACAUUUAUUAAAAUGUUGAGAUUUAUGCCCACUAACAUUAACAAGACAGAGUCUUGAUUAUAUAAUUUGAAAAUUAUACUUAUAACUUGAGCAAUAAGUUCGCAAAACUUCAGGUUACGAAUACCAUGUAAUCAUCUAAUAUUUAUGUCAAAUUUAUUAGAUACAAAUAAUACUUAGAUGAUUAACAUGGUGGGCGACGAGAUCCAUAUAUCAUCCUAAUUAAUUUUCAAAAAUAUAGGGAAUUCAAUUAUUUUUUUAGCUAACGAUGUUUAAUGAUCAAUUGUCAAUAAAGACAACAAAUAAUAUAUAGGAAUUUAUUGGAUUGAAAAAUCUUCCGAUUCUUUAAUUAAUAUCCAUUAAAAAUUUUUAUUUUCGCAUAAUUAUUAAUCCAAUGAUGGUCCAACUGGUCAUGCCAAAUAAUAAAAUCAAAUUGAACUUUUGGUUCAAUAUAAUAUAUAAUUCAAUUAUUUAAUCUCGAAAAAUAUGAUUAAAUGUUAUAUAAUCAUAUAUCAUUCAAGUAGUCAAAUUAAUCAAUGUUCUAACGACAUUAGUUAUAUGUUUUCUUUUAGGGAUAAACAUGAAUUCAAAAUAAUAUAUUUUUCGAAACAUGUGCUACUUUAAAAGCAUAUUAUAUUUUAUUAUUAUUAUUAUUGCUCAUUCAAAAGCAAUAUGUCAAUAUUCUUUUGAAAUAUUGAAAAUUAUAAUUCAAACUCUUUGUGAGCAAUCAAUUUUAAUUUACUCUUUGAGCCUAAAAAUAUAAUUUACAUUAUAUUAUAUGUAAUUAUACUUUUCGAAAGCAAGUAAGAUCUAAAUAGAAUAUUAAUGAAAAUUAUAAUGUGCUAUUUUGAUAUUACAUUAUAUUUUACUAUUACUUUUUCAAGAACAAUAUAUCAAUAUUCUUGAUAUCACAUUAUAUUUUACUAUUACUUCUUCAAGAAUAAUAGAUCGAUAUUUAGGAGCAAUAAUAUAUUAUUGUUUACAGUAAUAAUUAUGUAAGGAUUUACUCUUUAGAAGUAAAAACAUAAUUUUAUAUUAGAUCUUAUAUCAUUAUGCUCUUUAAGAGCAAUAAGAUCUUACUAGAACAUCAAUAUCUAAAUACAUAUGCAGAAAAAUGAACUUGUAAAUAAAUAGUGUAAUUUAAUUCAUAAUUUUACAUAUAAUCGAUCAAUAUUCUUGAAGAAUAUUGAAAUUAUAAUAUCAUAUUUUUUUUGGAGUAAUUAAUAUUCUUUUUAAAAAUAUUAAAACAUUGUAUUUCUUCAAGAACACCAACACAAUUUUUUAAUAUUUUAUAUAUAUAUAUAUAUAUAAUGUGCUUCCUUUAGGAACAUAACGAAACAUAUAAUAUUCAAGAGCAUCAAUACAAUAUUCUUCUGGAAUAUUGAUAUUAACGAUUCAAUUUAUCUUUCAAGCUAAAUAAUAAAAUUUAUACCCUACACGAGUAACAAUGAAAUAUUUUUCUUGAAUAUUUAUAUAAGGUGUGUUGCGUUAAUUCGAGAACAUCAACAUUAUAUUCAUUUAAAAUAACUAUAAUUUAAAUUAUGUUUCUUCAAGAGCAUUGAGUCAAUAUUCUUUUGAAAUAUUGAACUUAUAAUAUCAUACUCUUUAUAAGUAAGUAAUAUUCUUCUAAAAUAUUAAUAAUGUUGUGUUACUUUAUGAGCAACAACGAACUAUUUAUAAUAGAUAAAUAUAUAAUUGAUAUUCUUUUGGAAUAUUAAUUAUAAUGCUGUGCUACUUUUGGAACAACAAGAUGAUAAAUUCUUAAUUUGAAGUUCAUAGAAUAAUAUCUAAAAAUAUUUAAUUAUCAUAUAGACAUGUUAUGAACAGAGCCUGACCUGAGGAGAGGCUCAAGAGGCCUCUGCCUCAGGCCCAGCAUAUUGGGGGGCCCAAAAUUAGUUGUAUAAUUAUUAUUAUUAUUAUUAUUUUUUUACGUUUUUUGUUUUAAAGCCCAACUGCAAAUAUUCUAAUCUACAUCAUCUCUCCACGGUUCCACAACGAGUCCACAAAUUGCAGAUUCUCCUUGCUGCAAAAUUCAAUCGGCGACGGGCGUCGACAAAUCUGAAGUCACGCAUUUUCCGGUCUAUUUUCGAAAUCAUUGGUAAGUAAUUUAUUUCCCCCAAAAUCCGUCGGCAACGAGAUGGAAUGGAAUGCUUCUUCUGUAAUGUUAUUAAUUCAAUUUUUUUUUGUUUUGGGUGAGAUUCAAAAUGGGUAUUACUUCGGUUUUUGUUAUUAUUUCAUUUUCUACGAGUAUCAAACCAUGUGAUCUGUCAUAUUCUAUGUUAAUGUCACCGACUCACCAAACUUGGAAGAUAUCUGAUAUAUUUGUGUAAAAUCAUGCUUUAAUCUAUUGGGUUGUUAUGUUGAUCUUUCACUCGAAUUGGUUUGUGGUGAAUGGUUUAAUUUCAACACAACUUCGAUCUAAGAUUCUGUCAGCCUUAUCUCCAUUAUCUUCUUGUGCAGGGUCUUCCUUGUUUAACUGUUCAAGUAAUCUAACAGCAAGUGAAGUGAGCAAUUGUUCUAAGGUGAGUAAUUUUUGAGUACUUUUAAUCUUUUAUUAAAAGGUGUGAACUGUGAUUGGGUCAUCAAUUUUGGAACAUUUUCACAUUGCCAUUUGAUUUCAUUUUCUUUGUUUUAUUUUUUGAUUUUAAGUUAAUAAAUUUAGUUCUUUAAAUCUCUUAUAAAUGGAAAAAAAAUUUAAUUGCUUGCUGAAGUUCGCCUCGGGCCUUACAAAACACAGGUCCGGCCCUGGAUAUGAAUUUAUAUAGAAAUUAAUUACCAAACAUGCAUUAAGCAAAAGAAACUCCAUACAUAGAAGUUAACAAAAUUGGCUAAAUCAUUUACUGGCUAAAUCUUUUACUAACAUGCAAAAGAUACUAAACAUAUAUGUGAAUUUCACACAUAUAGAAAUUAAAGAUAGAACUAAUAUGUAACAGAUUCAAAAGACAGAAUUAAUAUUGAAUAAUAUGUGGAAAAAAUGAUCGUGUGUGAAUAAAAAAACGUGAAUUAACAUGUAUUUAGAGUACACAUACAAACGUGAAUUAGAAUUAAUAUGCAUGUCUAUGAAAAGUAGAAAAGAAGAAGCAAUCUUGUUAUGAUGCAUGUGUCUAUUGAAAUAUUUCACAUGCUACCAAAUUAAUUUUGGUACACGUGAUAAAUAUUCAUGUCUAUAAAAAUUAUUACCUUCACUAAAUUUUGAAAAAUUAAGUUAUCGUGCUGAUAACAUGUUAUAAACGUGAAGAAAAGAGACGAGAAUAGAGAAAAGUCAAUAGACAUGUGUGUGUUUUUAUUGAGAACCAAAACCAUGUAUUUAUAGGACAGAAUCAGGGAUACAACAAUAAUUAUUCUUAGGGCUAUAGGGUUAUGAUUGUCAUUCACCUCUAAACACUAAUAAACUUAUAUUUUACAGCAGUUUGGGUGUUUUUUUUUUAUUAUUAUUAUUAUUAUUAUUAUUAUUAUUAUUAUUAUUAUUAUUAUUAUUAUUAUUAUUAUUAUUUUCGUUAAAAAACGUUUUUUGGCAACCACACUUUUUUUUUCACUAAUGAUGCACCUUUGUGAUUUAGCAUCUUUUUAUUACAAUGACGCGCCAUGUAAACGACAUCGUUAGACACGUCAUCAAAUUCUUCCAAUUUUGCAAGCAUCAUUUAUGCAAUUAUAGAUGGGCCAAUUUUCAAAGUUCAGUGACCAACAGGGGAUGUUUUUAAGUUUGUGGACCCGUGAAAACUUUAAGAAGAAUUCGAUGACUAUUCAGGAACUAACUCAUUGUUAGUCUCCAGGAUUAUUGCUUUGCACCAUCCUUUUAUUAUUAGUUUGACAGAACUUUUGUUUAUUACUUCUACUUUGGUAGAAGGGUUUUUUCAAAUGAAGUUUAAAACAAGUACAUCCAAAAUAUUAUCAAAUAUGUUUAAAAACAUCUUUUUAAUCACUUUUUGACUUUUUAAAAGUAUUGUAGAAGGGCCUUUAGUGUAUUCGUGUUGACCAAAAGCCUUUUAGGCUUACGUUCCCAUUGUCAAGCUCAUAUUCUUGAAUGCUCGAAGGUUAUUCAUGUUUAAUUCAGAUUUGAUUGGUUUAUAUGUGAUCGAUUAAGAUGCUUAUAUUUUAGUUUACAUAGAAAAAGAAAGGAACGUUCAUUCGUAAAGACAAAUAAUUGUGAGCAAAUUGAGUACAAGAUUUGAUCAGGUGUUUACUUGUUUAUUUAAAUGCAAAUGAUCCACUUGAUCGAAGAUUCUGAUUAAAUUAACAUUUUACUUAAAUGCAUAAUUGUCCUAUUCCCGACAAAUGAAUAUGCAAAAAAAUCAGGAAAAGGAAAAAGGACAAAAGCCCUAGGAAUUUUUAACUAUGAAAUCUUAGAUAUGUGUGCUUUUGUUUGUUUUUUAGGGUUCUUGAGAGUGGAAAUUACAGCAUGCAAUUUGUCUCCACUUUGUCUUAGAAGCUCCCCAAGUUUCUAAUCAAUUAUAUUAGCAAAUUGCCUAAAUUAUUGUUUGAAAAACUGCAGUUUACCCUAAAUUUGUCUGCUUUAACUAUGUUUAUGUGUCGAUUUUCAUUUAGUUAAUUGGUUUCUCCGUCGUUUUCUGAAAGACACAACUAACUCUCAAGCACUUAUGAUAGGAAUACGAAUCUGUUUUAAGGAUACUGUGUAAACACAGACACGGAUUUGCUAGUAUUUAUUUUUGUUACAAUUGUUAAUGUUUUGUUUGUUCUUUCUUUAAUUACUAAAUAUAUUAUCACACUGGUAACUUUUGUAUUGUAUAAUCCAAUGAUAUAAAUAAAUUAAUAAGCUGACUAAAUAAACAUUAGGAUUCCUAAAAAUGUGCAUUAUUUUCAAUAUAUUUCUAUUCGUUACAUUAAGAAUUCAAAAUUUCGAGACUUGAAUGUGGACACAUAUUUAUGGACGUAUUUUUUAAGUUGAAUUGUGGAAGACCAUAUAUAAAUAAAAGAAAAUAGAUUUAUGUUAAAAAUAUAUAUAUAUAUUUUUAAGUAUAAUCAUAUCUAUCGACUGUAUUGUAUAAUUAUAAUAACUAUUUUAAGUAUCUAGGUUCAAAUAAUUGUUCAUAUGAAAUUUGUUAUUUGUACACGUCCCUCACAAGAAGGGGGUCCGUGCCCCAAUAAAAAAAUGCACGCCCCCUCCUUGUGAGAGGAGUGUAAGCGCCCGUGUACAUAUAACACAGCCCUUGUUCAUAUUUCUAUUGCAGAUAAUGGGAAAUGGAGCAUUGGAUACUCUUUCCAUGGUGAGAAGGAAAUUAGCUAAGAAAUAAAUAAGGCAGCAUUGGAUUCUCUUCCAUAGGGAGAAUUUGUGUACUUGGAAGCUACUCAAACUACUUCAAAACAAAGUACUGAUAGAACCAAAUAAUGUGCUAAAUGUAUGAGUGUGUAGUAGGCAAAUUCUGUUGCAACAUCCUUUAACAUGACUAUAAUACCGCCGAUUAAUUUCAUCUACAUUGAUACUUUGUCACGAGAACACUCAAGUCUAAUCCUAGUCCAAGGCUACCUAGAUAGUGGCUUGAGCCCCAUAAAAAAUUAAAAGCUCAAUGAUGAACCCUUUUUAUUAUUUAUUUAUUAUUAUUAUUAUUAUUUUUUAAUUUGGGGAAGAUAGUAAAGAAAAUUUGUGAAUUUUUCUUGCAUUAAAUAUUUUUUUGAACAUGUACUAGUGCUAAUAUAAGCAAAAAGUUGUCUCCUGUCCAAUAAUUUUAUUAUUAUUAUUUUUUUUAAUAAUGAUUCAUGAUUAAUUUCUAUUCUUCAUAUUUGAUUGCUUCCUUUUUUUUCUUUUUUUUUUUUAAAUAUAGGAUAUUUUGGACAACAAUGGUGGUCACCACCCACAUACCACACUGGUUUCCAGACGCCCUUUAUAUUCUAUUUCUUGAAUGCAAGAAUUGCUUUUAGUAUAAGUGAAACAAUGAGUGACUACCAUCGAUAUAUAUUUUUCAUCAAUAUAUAUAUAUAUAUAUAUAUAUANNNNNNNNNNNNNNNNNNNNNNNNNNNNNNNNNNNNNNNNNNNNNNNNNNNNNNNNNNNNNNNNNNNNNNNNNNNNNNNNNNNNNNNNNNNNNNNNNNNNNNNNNNNNNNNNNNNNNNNNNNNNNNNNNNNNNNNNNNNNNNNNNNNNNNNNNNNNNNNNNNNNNNNNNNNNNNNNNNNNNNNNUAUAUAUAUAUAUAUAUAUAUAUAUAUAUAUAUAUAUAUGUGUGUGUAUGUGUGUGUGUGUUUGUUCAAGACCUCAUUAUAACGUAUCGUUUAAGGCCUCAAAAUUCUCAGUCUCGGGAUCGAUCUUGAGAACACACAAAGUCACAAAUUUAAAAUAUGUUGAGGGCCCAUGACAUCCCAUUUGAAAGUUGAUGGCUCAAAAUAUCGAGCCUUAACUUUUACAUUUAGGUUUGAGGCUCCAUAAACACAGUGAAAAUGGUGCAUCGGUUAAAGUACCAUGGACCCCCCAUGCGGCCCUUGAACAAAGCAAGUUAUUUCUUUCUGUAAAUAGUAAUGAAUAAGAAAGUUUACUUUAUUCAAGUCAUAUCACAAAAAUUGUACAUUUAUACAAUAAAGUAUAAUUUUGAAUUAAAGUUGAUCCCUGAAAAACUGAACACAAUAAGAAAGGUUGUCUUUCAAAUUCAAUAAUCAAUUUGUACAAAAAGAGCAAGUGCACGAAUGAAUAAUAAAUGUUGUUGAGGUUUUUGUCUUUCGAUGUCUUCGAAUUUAUUCAAUUCAUAGCAAAAGUGAAUCGAUGCUCAUCACCUCUGCCUUAACAUGUAUUCGGUAAAUUUUUAAAGAACGUUUCAAUAGGAAUUUUGGCCUUUUGAGGAAAGAUAAUCGAUAAUCACAAUCAGAGAAGGGUUGGUAUCAAUGUAUCCAUGUGUAGAAGGCACGAUUGGCAAGAACAACCCUAUUCUUGUGAUCGUGGAUGGCACAAAAAGAGGAGCGUAUGAAUUUUAUUUUUCCAUGAUUUAUACUUUAGUUUGAGCGGCGAUAUUAAUGGAGAUCAUAGUUCGCGUUUUUGACUUGGGACAGAAAUUUGUGUUUGAUAAACUUUUUUUUUUUAUCAAUUAUGAGUAGAUUAUAAAAAUCGAUACUAAGAGCCUGUUUGGGAGUGAUUUUAAGAAUUGAUUUUUUUACCGUUACGAGAAAAGUGAGGUUCACUUGUGAGAGAAGAAGUCAAAUAUGACGGCUGGAAUAGUGAAAUAAUGGUCAAAAAAUUAAUUUUUUGGAAGAAAAAAUUGCUCCCAAACAGCCCUUAAGCAUGCACUUCGGACAUAGAAUCUAUUAAAGUAAAAUUUGAGAAAAAGGAACGGAUUGUAUGUAAAAAGAUAAAUUAGAAAAUUAAAGAUUCAUUUUCUUCCCAAUCCAAUUUGCUUAUAUAAAGUAAUAAAAUACUAGGAGGUAAUUCAGGAAUUACAGUUAAUAUGUCAUUAACUGUUAGUAUCAGUGCCGAAAUUUUAUCAUUACACUGUCAAUUCAAUAAUUUGGUUUGUAUGAUUACUUAAUGAUGAGAAUCAUUGGAUUAUGGCGUUUAAGUCACUUCAGGAAACGAUUAGAGAACUUUGGGUCGUAGAUAAGAUUAACUAUAGACCAAUGAGGCUCGAAUGUUUAUUCAUUAGACAUCAGUACUACAUAAGUUGUAUCCCUUGAUAACAUUGGAAUUCUCUUAGAAGAGGUAAAGUGGGCCCACUCUACUUUUUAUUAGCAUGGAACGACCUACACUUCUUUAUCUAAGCUACCGACCAACAUGUCUAUCCAAAUAAAACACGACUAAUUCAUAAAGACGAACCCGUCAUAACAAUUGGAUCCUAAAAAAUCAAGCCAUCAAGGUGCUUAAUUGAGUAGACACUUAUUGUACCAAGUUUAUUAACAUCGGUAAACCAAUCCUUCCUCCUAGACAAGUUUGCCUGUUGGCUGAUAUUAGUACUAUUAACAUCAACAAACCAUUUAGCAAUUGCCACCUCUACAUUGGAUCACCCAAAUGGUAAACUUGGAUGUACAAGUAGCAUUACACCUUCUCAAUGCUUAUUUAGAAAUCUCGGCUCUCUCCUUUUUCGGUAGGUUAUAAACGUUUUAGAAAAAUAAGAGAAUCCCUCCUUCGAAAUAAGUUUGCUUGCUGGUUGAUAGUAGUACUAUUACUUACUGAACGAUGCUACAUGCAUCGAAAUUUUUUAUCUAAUUUUUUAGCGACUACUCACAAUAGGGGGACGGAGACGGAGAUCACAUUUUGAAUUUUUUUUAUUCACGUGAAUCUAGCGUACAUGUGAGAGUGGAUUUACAAUUUGAUAGGGGUGUAAAAGUAGAAUCAUUCUUACUAACAAUAGAACAGUCCUGCACUACAUUGCACCCAUUUCAGUACUCUAUUAAUUACCACGAAACUGAAAAAAUAUUCAUCAAUUCGAAUAUCUCCACUUCGCCUCGAUCUUAUAAACCUGAAUUUGAAUCAAUAAACUCUAUGCAAUUAAUCCACUUUUUGCAUCAAUCUCCCUCUUCUUUUUCAAAUCCCAAGCUCUUCGUUUCCAUCUUUCAAACCUCAAAAUUAAAUCUGAAUCAUUGAUGGCUCGUAAGCAGCCUUUGUUGCAUGAGCUACUGAAAGAAGAACAAGAACCAUUUCAUUUAAACACCUACAUUGCAGACAGAUGCUCUCAACUCAGAAAAUCCUCUUUACAGAUCAAGAAACGGAAGCCCAUAAUUCAUACUUCACCAACAGAUUUAAAGCACAGUAGCUUUUGCAAGAAUGCAUGCCUAUUUUCGUUCCAAAAGUCGCCGGACUUCAGAAAGUCACCUUUUCAGAGCCCAUGUAAAUCGCCAAAUCGUGCUGUUUUUCUUCAUAUUCCUGCUAGAACUGCUGCUCUGCUUGUUGAAGCGGCUGUGAGGAUUCAGACAAAGCAGUCAAAACGGAAAACCCAGGUAAAAAAUGUCGGGUUCGGGUUGUUUGGAACCGCUUUUAAGAUGCUGAAAGAUCGUACCAAGAACAAAAGUCGUAUGCUUGGUGUCUGUGAUAAUCAGGUUGAAAUUUCAAGAAAAAAUGAGACCAAAAUUGACGAAAAAAUAGAUAUGGAUAUUAGAUUUUCUUGUUCUUGUGAUAAUUGGUCAUCGAGUAAUGAGGAGAAGUCCAUGGAUUUGGAGACAUCUACUAGCAGCUGUUCAGAUUGUGUUGCUAAAGGGAGAGCAAAUAUUAAUGGCGAUUUUGCUUCUUGUGAAAACCGCUUUUGUUCAAGCCCUUUCAGAUUUUCUCUACAGAAAAGCCCAUCAUCCUCCGGUUGUCGGACGCCUGAUUUCUCUUCGUCGGAAGCUUCUCCGAGUCGCCGGAGUAAAGGGGUUUGUCUUUUGUUUUCCUUAGUCUCUUAAUUAGGCAACUGCACGUCGGUAUUUGUCUCAUUACUGUACAUCCGAUCACUCAUCUGCCACCAAAAUCUAUUUCUAACAGUCUCUGUCUCUUAAAUUACUGCAAAACAGAAUGACAAAACACAAUUAUAUUUUAUGAUUGGGCCAUUUUAAUCUGGAUUUCGUACAUGCAUAUGAAAGAAAAGCCAGCAGUCCUGAUUAUCUUCGUUCCUGGACAUAUAUUACAUAAUCUUGACAAUAUUCUCUCUUAGUAUUUUUUUUAUUUUUUAACAUUUAAUAGGAGAAAGCGAUUUGUGGAACAAAAUGUUCGGAAGAAAUACUAGAAGAAGAGGAAAAGGAAGAGGAAGAGGAAGAGGAAGAGAAAGAUCAUUUUAGUCCGGUAUCCGUAUUAGAUCCUCCCUUUGAAGAGGACGAGGGACAAGAAAAGGCAAAUGUAGACGAGGACGGUUAUGAUCUUGAAUGCAGCUAUGCAAAUGUACAAAGUAUGUAAGAUUUCUCAUUGAUAAAAUAUAUAUGAUUUUACACGAAUGAAGGAUCAUACACACUCCUCUCAGUUACAAGAAUGAUUGUGAGGCAUAUUUGUUGAAUCAAUUGUUUCUAGGAAUCAUUGCAGGAUCAAUAUUGAUAAAAUUAGACCUUCUUAACUAUUUAGAUUUAUCAAGGACUUGUCUUAGUAUCUUAUCGUUCGUUAACUUUGUUGUUGGUGACUUCUAGUAGAUUUCAGAUUGAUUGAAUUUGUGUCACGAUUUUGCUCUUCUUGUAAUGGCCUAAAGUCUGAAUUAUUACGCGUCUGAGAGAGAGAUUGAUUUUGAUUUUGAUUUUGUGUGUUUCUCUUGCACUGAACUUGCAGGAGCAAAACAGCAGCUGUUACACAGGCUUCGCAGAUUCGAGGAACUUGCAGAAUUAGAUACAAUAGAACUCGAGAGAAAGUUGCUAGAAGAAUCAGACAGUGACGACCAAGUGGAAAGAGAGGAAUGCAAAGACGAUGAACCUUUUGCAAUUUACAAAGAGCAUAGUGUCGACACAUUUGCUUCUGAAGUUCUUGCCAUAUCGAGGUUUCAGAAAAUGCAGAAGAUUCCUACUGAAAUGAAGAGGCUAGUACUAAAUCUAAUUGUGGAGCAAAAGAGCGAAAGGAAUUGCUCGAACAAUAGUGAUCAAGUAGUAUUUGACACCGUAGAUAUGAUGAUUGAAUUGGCUUUCCGACGAGAAUCGAACAGAUGGACAAAAUUUCGGGAGCAGGAGGAAGAAACUGCAGCAGAAAUUGAAGUUGGCAUAUUUGGGAUAUUAGUGGAAGAGUUUUCAGAGGAGCUAUGUUACUGAAUUGGACGUCGUGGAAGACUUGAAUAACGUGAACAAUUUUUUCUCAUAUUUUUCUGAAAAUUUUUGUUUCAAGUUCGAACAUCAUAGUCCGAUUUUUAUGAUCAAGAACUCGAGGGAUAUGAUAAUAGAUUGUAGCAUUUGGUUCGCACAUAUUGCUAGAUAUGUCUGUUGAGAAGUUCAUAUAAACCUAUUCCUUUCUCAGAAGACAUAAUAAUGUGCAGCUAUAGCUUGACCGGAGAGCUGCGUAGGUGACACAGGACGAAAACGUAAAUAACAAUAUAAGGAUUUUGAUCGUAACACAUGAACAAGUAUUGCUCGAACGGAUGUAAGACAUACUGGGAUCCACUAGAGAGCGGAAAAAACUGGAAUAUUAUUAAUCAAAAAUGGCUAUAUGGCUUUCAUUUACACGUAUUUAAAGAGUCGAAGUGAAAGUCUAAAUCGGUAGGCAAAUUCAAAUAGAACUAGGAACUUAGAAAAACGACCUAAGUACCCUUAAACUGAUUCAAAAUGGAAAAAUGAUAAAAAUAGAUCCCUAAACGAUGGAAUUUGACCUUGAAAGUUUGAAGAUGUUGGCUGGAGUACUAAAAUACGUUUUUGAAUUGUACUCGCUCGCGUAAAUGUGACAACCAAGCUGAAAGUGUUACGUGCGUUUCAUAGUCCCUUCUUAUUUCUUUUUUUUUUUUUUUUCAAUUGGUUUAUGAUCUUCUCUUCUAAUUGUUCCGCAUACAAAAACAAAUUUUACUGAGAAUUAAAGAUGGGUAAAAUGCAUCCUGAAAAUUCAUAUGAAAUGCUUGUGUCAAGUUACUAAAUUCAAGAUAGGUGACUGUCUACGAACAGGAUUCAAUUCUGAUACAUUAUACGCUUGAGCUGAAUUUGAGUUAGGAUGAGGUCGAGCUAUUAUACUAAGGAAAUGCUUACUCUUGUGCUACGGUUGAGUUCAACGACGAUGGUUGAGCUUAGCCCUGUUUAGUAUAGCUAAAAAUCAUAUUUUUAGUAAAUUUCAAUGGAAACUAAUAAAAUAUGUGGUUAAAAUUAAUUGUCGAAUAUAAUUUUAAAUUUUUAUUAAUUUUCUAAUUUACAUCAAACGAGGGCUUAAUAUCAAUUAUAAUUUUCUGAUUGAAUUCUACUUAUCAUCUAAUCUAAUAUGAGAUAGGGUUGACUUGGGAAGCUGUGGUCGAGAUGCCACAUAAUUACUAAUGACAGCUCUUUAUCUUUAUUUAUUUAUUUUUGGCUAUAUUCAUAUCGAAAUGAUAAUAUGAGCCUGUUCGGUGGAGAUUUUGAAAAUUGAUUUUUUGACCGUUAAGAGAAAAGUGGGGUCUACCUGUGAAAGAAGAAGUCAAAAAUUACGACUGAAAUAGUGAAAUAAUAGUCAAAAAAUCAAUUUUUUGGGGUGAAAAAUCACUCUCAAACGGGGCCUAUAUACUAAUUAGUGAGGGGUGAAGAAAGUACUCCAAGAUAUUUGUUCAUUGUGACUUCACUUAUUUUUGGUGGUAGCCCCAUUAAAAAUCUUCCAAUGAACCCAAUUGUUAAAUGGCAAUGAAAAAACUGUUUCAGCCGCAUUUUUAAAAAAAAAAUACAUUCUUAAAUAGUGAUUUGACAUCAUUUCAACCACAUAUUAUUUAAUAAAAUAAUGUUACACGCAAAUCCAAAAUUUUUCCUUAUUUUUUAACUAUACAUUUUUCAUUAAUCUACUAUUCCAAAAUAUAUUCUUUACGAAUAAUGUGGUUCAAACACACACUAAGUCUAAAUAUCCAUAAGGGGCACUUAUAUGAUCAUUCAAGACUGCAUUAUAAAUUAAAGCAAGUUCAUACGAAGGAUAUGUCAAACUAUCAAGGCUCAAAUAAGAUUGAAGUCUUAUGAACCUAGCUCACACAAUUUUUCUUUUCAUCCUUUAAAUAAAUAAAAAAAUUAAUUGUAAACUCACAGAAACAAAAUGAAGACACGCGAGAUGAAAUAAAUCAUGGAGUCAAACAGAAGUGUUUGAUGUCAUGCAGUAAACUAGAUGGACAUGCUUUAUAGUCUAUCUAAACAGAGUUAUACUAGAGAAACAGGAUGCCUGCUGCUGUUUGAGAAGAAUUAUUGAUCUAGACAUAAAGUUGCAGAUGUCCCACGUGUGUCAUGACAUGGUUAGAACUCAGCAAUUAUAGAGUGAUGUCAAACAGGUCGAGCGGCUCGUCGGCUCGACCGUUGAGCUCGUAAAAAUGCUGCUCGUGGGUUGUUUGAACUCAUCAUCAUCUCAUGCGAGCUGGGACCACGAGCUUGGGCUCACAUGAACAGUGAUCGGAAUGGUCACUGUUCAAAGUUCAAUGACCGUUUCAAACGGUCACUGAAUUUUGAAAAGUGGUCAGAUCGGCCACUUAAUUUUUUAUAUUUUUCUCUAUAAUUACUCAUGCCAAUUUUCAAUUUUUUCAUACAACAAUACAACAUUCCAAAUUUUCAACAACUCUCUUCCACAAUUCUACAAUAUACUACAUUCAUUUUUACAAUUUUAUCUUCAAUUUCAAUUAUUCAAUAUCAAUUCAUUUAAUUAUCACACUAAAAAUUUACAAUUAUAAAUUCGCAAUCUUAUACACACCAACUUUCUUUCCAUACUCUUUACUUAGUGGAGCCUUAGUACUUACUAUACCAUCUAUACAUUUUAAUUUCAUUUCAAUUCACAAAUGGAUCCACACUCAUUUGUUGAGGGCUUGUUCGAUGUCGGAGGCGAAUCACCUAUAACACCCCAAAAUCAAUUUCGGAAUGAAUUUUUCGAUCUAAAUGAAGUAUCCAUUCUCGAAGAUAUUCCAAAUUUGGCUGCUUAUAGAAGCAAUAAUCCAAUUUAUUUGGAUGACGUUUAUGUUCCCAAAGCAGAAUAGGAGGAGGAAAUUGAAUUAAACAUUCCCGAUGUAAGAGGGAAACGAAGGGGGAAAAAAAGGAAAAAUGUUGGGAUCAUUGUAAAUUGAUUUCAACGGGUCAUGUGGUCGAUGGAGUCAUAGAGUCUAAAGCAGUAUGUAAAUAUUAUUAACAAUGAUUGGCGUGGCAAAAAGGUAUUGGUACCACCCACCUCAACCGUUAUUACAAAGCAUAUGUGGUCAAACAUGAACUUUUUGAAGCUGGUCAAACACAAUUGCAAUUUGGUAGCCUAGACAUCGGUUCUUCGAUUUCGUCCCUCAUCACGUGAAUGUAUUCGGAGAAGUAUGCUCGAACGAGAAUGGUAAAACUUGUUGCCGGUGCUGAGUUGCUUCUAGCAAUAGUGGGCAACCAACAUUUUGUCUGUACGUAAAAGAAUAUCUUCAACUGAGGUACGUAGGGGUAAGUCGAAAUAUUCUUCAUUCAGAUACAAUAGAAUAUUUCAUUCAAACAAAAUAACAAUUGAUUAUGGAUUUGCAAAAAUAUAGGGUGUUAUGUCUUUAAUUUCGGAUAUAUGGAAAGUGAUUAAUAAAAGAACUUAUAUAGCUGCAACUGUACACUACAUAGACCCAUCUUAGUGUAUGCAUAAAAAAAUAUUACUUUUAAAAUUAUUGAACUUCUUCAGAAUGCUAACAAUACAUAUAAUGUUACUAUGAGCAUUAUUAGAAAAUAUCAUUGCAAAAGUAAAAUUUAUUCUUUUAUAUUCGACAAUGCUAGUGUUAAUAAAGUAGUUAUCAAUAAAUUGUGUAGAGAAUUGCAGCUUGAUUUCGAUGUUUAUUUGUUCCAUAUUCUUUGUGUGUGCCAUCUUUUAAAUUUAAUUGUGCAAGAUGAUUUGAAACAUAUUAAAGAUGAAACGCAAAGAACUAGGAAUGUACUAAUAUAUAUCACAAUCUCCCCUAGUAGAAAACAAGCAUUUGAGGAAUUUUGUAUCAAAUUUGGAGUGACGAAUACAAAAACAUUUGUUAGUAAUAUAGGGCAUAGAUGAAACUCUACUUACUUAUUAUUAAAGUUAUGCGGAUGUUUUAAAUAUUUAAUAACUGAGUUUUAUAGCAAUAUGCAUAUUAGAAACGAUGACAACACUAUUUUAAAUGAAUCCAAUUGGCUUUUAACUUUAAAUUUAAAAAAAAAAAAUUGACGACUUUUUGUAACUCUACAAAUAUUUUAUCUUGAGUUUACUAUUUCACUAGCUGUAUGCUACUUGAACAUCUUUAUAUAAUUGCAAGGAUAUCUCAUAAGUAUAAAAAUGAUCCCGAUUUUAAUGCAAUUAUAUAUUUUACGAAAUUAAAGUUUAGAAAAUAUUAGGAAGACUUGCUUAUGUUAUUUUCUUUAGCAUGCAUCAUGGACCUCUGAUAUAAUUUAUCGGAGAAUAAAUAUGUAAUUGAUCGGAUUUUAAGAGUUUUAACCUUUAAUACACUUAUCACGUAUAGAAAUUUAGAACAAACUUUAUGUGAAAUGUAUGAAUUAUAUGCAGAACGAAUGGACACAAAUAAUAUUCGAGUACCAUCUGUACCUAUCCCUUCCACUGAUAUUGAAGAAGAUAAAACUGAAAUAUUAGCUUUAUUCGAAGUCAUUAACACGUAUAGAUAUGACGCAAAUGCAAUAUGUUCAUCUAGUAAUAGUUUGUAUUCUAUAUGUAAUCAAACAUCAGACGCAAGUUCAAUGCAUUGCCUGCUGAAUUAAUUGAUUAUUUUAAUCAUAAUAUGACUACCAACAAAAUAAUUAAAAAAAAGUUUAGAAGAAGUUAUUAAAUUCUAACAAAAGUACGAAAGACGAUGGUUAGUGGUUUUUGCAAUUGCAAAAGACCAACUGACACAUUCGGUUAACACUGUAGCUUAGGAAUCUUCUUUUACUGAAGAUAAAGGGGUUUUGUUCUAGGUCAGGAGCCAGCUGAAAUAAAAUAUUUUGGAAGCAUUAAUGUGCGUAAAGGAUUGGUUGGACUCUCAAUUCUUACUACAAGAUAAAUAUGCCGAAAUUUUAUGUCGUCAGUUAAGUGAUAUUUAAUUCAAUCAUAUUAAUCAAAAUUUGUUAUUUUAUAAUAUUAUUUUUAAUUUUCUUUAAAAAAUUGUACACAUUACAAAUUGUUUGUAUACAAUUUUUAAUUUCACUUACUCAAAAUUUAAGUAACUGGUCUUAAACCUGAAUAAAGGAAAAGGAUUUAUAUUUUUUUAUAAUUUUUUUAAAAGGGAAAUUACAGGAGCUCGCGAGCUGAAGCUGGGCUGAACCACGAGCCAUGAACUCAGCUCAUGCUCGCUCGUGGGUGUAAGGGCUGAGCCAAGCCGACUUGGCCCAUUGCCACCGUUAAGUACUAUGCUUUAAAUUAUCCAAUAAUAGAGUGUCAUAUGACAUUAUGUAAUCUAUUAUAUAAGACUUGAUGUACAUGUGGCAAGUCCUUGCACUAAUACAUUGAUCUUCAAUUGGAACUAGCAUACUUGAUAACGAAGCCUUUAUCAUCAGAAGUUUUUGCAUAAUCUUUCUCAUCAAGUUUUGGAAUUUCAAAGACGUACUAUAUAUAGUCCCUUUUUGGGCUCAAUUUUUCAAAACUCAUUUUUAUUCAUACAAUCUUACAUAGAAUAAUGUUAUAAAUUUUGUUAUUAUUUAAUAUAUUUUCUAAAAAAUAACUAUUGCAAACACAUUUCCCCCGACAAUCUCAUUUUAGUGAAGCCCAAACAGGGGCAUAGUAUUCUAACAUACUGAUGUCUACGUCUUUUUAUUAAAAUUUGAGAUUUCAUAUUAAAAAGUCAACCUCAUUAAGAGGAGUAGUCCAAUCUAUUAUAAGUUAAUCUAUAUUUUCAUCUUUAUUUGAUGUUGAAUUUUACCCCUUAACACUUUUGUCCCAAUAUUUAAGUCAUUUUUAUCACCGCUCCAAGUAGGAUUCUCGACUUUCUUCUCUCCCUUCAAUUAAUUAAUAACUCACAUUGAAAUUCAAAUACUUUAAUAGAAAGAAAAAAGAAUAAAUGCCUGAAUCUUGUUAAAAACGAGUUUCCCAAAUUCUGUCCUGGUUCGUUCCAACAUACGUACGAACUUUUGCAUGAACAUCCGAAUUUAACAAUUUUAUUUUAACAUUUAUUUUCCAUUUCAGAUGAAUGUCACGUUUAAUCAAAUAAUCCUAGAUGAUCUUGGAAUUAUUUGAGUAGUCAAUAAGGAAAGUAAAAUUAAUUUGGAUACCUCGGUGUCAUACAUCCACCUCAACACAAAAUUCAAGAAAAAAUUAAUCAAGAUAUCAUAAUGGAAUGACUGCCUUCCCUUAUGAAAAUAUCACAUACAAAUUCCAAUCUCUGAAAAAAUCGAAAUUAACAAAUUCUGGUUCUAUUAGCAGAUGCAUUCGAACAGACGGAUUGUUUCAUUCACAGAAAUGUUCAAACAAACGAGCUAGACAAAUUUUCGACUACUUCAUCCAUUUAAAUAUGAUGACCCUAAAAAUCUUCGAAAUUAGGAAAGCCAAUCAUUUAUUUAGAAAAGAAAUAUGUCACCACCAAUGUUUUAAAAAGCGAACUAUGCAUUGACCUAAGAAGACGAAAGAGUCAUGGGAGCUGAGCUUGAAAUAGAGUCGAUUAGGUAGAAAAUAUAUAAAAUAAAUUUUUAAAUAAUAAACAAAUAUUAGAUCAUAUUAGUACUGCUAAUAAAUGGCCCUAACUAUAAAAUAAAAAUAAAAAUAAAACAAUCUAUUUUUUCAGUAUGAAAAUAUAUUAUUUUUUAGUACGAAGGAGAGUCAACUCAAUGAGAAGGAAUUUUUUAAAUGGAUAGGGCGCGUCGAUGACAUGCGCCCCACCUAUAGGGGAUGCGACAUCGCCUCCCUAUUCAAAUUGGGCCCACAUGAUCCUAUUCGAACAGCUUUUUCCAACGAGAGAUGGACCUUAUCUGAAGUUUUACUACUUCCACGUAAAAAUUUUAUCAUAUGAAUGAGAGAAAGGGAUUAUUUAAUAUAUAAAAGGGUUGUCGUGUGUGAAUUAGGCAGUGUGCAUUGAAAGUUGAUGCGCCUGCGUGGGAUUUGCAUUAAGAAUAAUAAAAUCCAUUAUUGAGUUCUCUUCAUCAGUAAAACAAUUGAGUAUAUCGUGUCUAGUUCAUCGAGUCUCUAUUGAACUACCCGAUUUAUAAGCUUUUAGUCGAUUUCAAAAUAGAUGGCGUUUGCUAGCAAUCCUAUGCGUUCGAGGAACCAAUUCCUUGUUUUGUUGAUUGAACUGAUCGAUCGAACCGAUUUUAAUAACAUUGGUCACUACACAUAUUCUCUCAACAAUACAUAUUGGUGUAUAUUUUGCUAAAAUUUUAUUAUCUUUUUGAUGGGUUAAACUUUAAUUUUAAUUACAUAUUUAUAAGAUCCACGAACUUAUUAUCAACUUUCAACUAUAUAUUUCAUCAACUUUUAUUUAAAUUUUUAUUAAAAACUUUGUCAAAGAAUUCUUAAAUAAUUUUUAUGUUUAAGAAAUUGGGGGACAGGGUGGAGUGGUGGGAAUUGGAGAAGAGAACCUAUUUUUAAAAUAAUAGUAAUAGUACUUUUUCUGUACACUGUGUAUUGUGAAGAUAAAUUUAUAAAUUAAUGUGACAUCUCACUCAAAUCAACUAGGUAGUGUUUGAUUCAUCCAAUUCCAUGGCAAUACUCAAAUCAAUUAGAUAGUGUUUGAUUCAUCCAAUUCCAUGGCAAUGGGUGGAAAAUAAAUUUUCCACCCUAAAUUUUCCACCCAAAAUGUUGUGUUUGAUUCACAAAAUUUUCCACCCAAAAUGUUGUGUUUGAUUCACAAGAUUUUCUCUGGAAUUGGUUUCUAACUUUUAUUGGAAGUUAUACUAUUCCUUGAUUUGGUGGAAUUCCAGCUACUGUAGCGAUUUUUUUUAAUAUUUUUUUAAGCAAUGGAAACCAAUUGUAAGAAUUAUUGUAAAAAAAAUAUUUCUCUUUCAUUGAUAAUUUUCAUGUAAAACAAAACCAAACGAACACUAAAAAAUAGAUGAUUUUCUUGAAUUUAUUAUUAUUUUUUUGCUUUUUGGCAAUGGAAACCAAUGUCAUCUCCAAUACCAGUAAAUUCUAUCCUUUUAAUUGACAAUUUUCAUGUAAAAGAAAAUUAAACGAAUAUCAAAAAACACUUUUAUUUCAAAAAUUUUCACGUGGAAAAUUAUCCUAAUCGAACACAAUAAUUUACAAUUUUCAGGAAAACAAUUCUAAGCAAUUCGAUUCCUUAGAAUUCGUUUUCCACCUAAUUCAAUUCCAUUUUCGCAAUCAAACAGAACUUUACAGUUUUUUACAGUUGUAAUAUAAUGUGUGCAUGGAUUAAUUUCAGGUGACUGAACGCAAAAUACAUUUAGGUGGGGAUCUUGUCAUUAGCGUGCCUAAACAGGAAAGUGAAAACAAAUCAAGUUAAGUCAAUAGAGAUGAUAAUUAAGCUUUUGUGGAGCAUAUCCCCACUGCUUAAUUUCUAAUUAUCACUUACCUUGACUGCAAUAAAAUAUUGAUACUUAAUUUUCCACUUCCACGCUCAAAAUUAAUCACCAAUAAUUUAAUUCUCGAACCUAAUAUUUUCUGUUUUGAACUCAACAAAUUGCAAUUAAUUAACGAUAUUUUAUUGUGUUCAAUCAUGCACAAAUACUAACUUUAAUUAAAAAUUAUAAAAAAAAUAAAAAAUAAAAAAUGAAAGUCAGAAUCUUUGUUGUGCAUUUACUCAUUAAGAAAUACACAGUAAGUGGUUUUUGGUAUCUUCCAACUAUUUAUUGUGUUCGAUCGUGCACAAAUACUAACUUUAAUAAAUAAAUAAAUAAAGAAAAGAAAGAAAGACAGAAUCUUUGUUGCAGUAAGUGGUUUUGGUAUCUUCCAACUAUUAAUUUGAAUAUUUAAAUUAUGUUUAAAUUUUUUAUAUUUUCUUCGGGUUGCUAACUCAAUUGUUUCAAGCACCGACAGAAUAGGAAGCACGCCUUCUUUCAAACUUUCAACAAAAGGAGGACGCCUAGUCAAGUCCCUCUUUUUCUUUCACAGCGAUAAUCAGGAAAGGGGAUACGAAUUAGAUCAAACAAAGAGAGAAAUAGGGGCUAUGUAAAUGUUGAGCUACUCAAAGGGUCGGGAGCUAAAGAAAAAAUAAUUAAAAAAUCUCUCUAUAUCUUGUAUCAUAUUUUUCAUGACUAUAUGUCACGUUAUAUAUAUAUAUAUUUAAUUUUUUUUUAUUAUUAUUAUUUUUUGGCACAAAUUUUCAUUCUGAAGUGAAGAUAGUUUUUGGAAACACGAAAAUUUAUGUUGAUUUCUGAAGUUAAUACCCGUUACCCCAAUCACUUUGGUCAUUUUUUAAAUGUGCAAAAAAAAUAUGGAAUUUUUUCUAUGUUUAGCUCGUUAAAAAUAAAAAAAUAGUAAAGUAAAAAUAAAAUAAAAAUUGUCCUCUUUCACUACCUCUUUCAAAUAAUGGCAUAUAUGUCUAGUUAUAAAAUAUCAAUUUAGCUCAUCGGCUUAGGUGGUUGGUGGCUCAAUUUGAAAAUAGUUUGAGUAGGCUCAGCUCGAGGCUCAAUGGGACUGAGCCUUGGCUCAAGCUGAACCUUAUCUUUGAGCAUAGACCCAAGCCCGAGCCCGAGCCCGAGCUUGAGCCACAUGGGCCGGCCUGUAAAGUUGCUCCAAACGACUUGUGAACAUGGGCCAUUUACAAAAGUAGGCAAGUUGUAGCUGCAGUUGCUUGUUUAAACAGAGGAAAUCACCCCAAUGGUCACUGAACUUUGUAAAAAAUUCUCUAAGAGGUCAUCGAAAUUCAAUAUGUCCCUGAAUGGUCAUUGACCUUUUUUAAAAUCCCCCAAGAGGUCACCGAACUUCAAAAUGUCUCCGAAUGGUCACUUAAUUUUGCAAAACGUUCCUGGAAGGUCACCAAAUUAGUUAUGUAUAGAGUCCCAAUUUGCAAUGUCAAGUGACCUCUCUGAGGGAUUUCGAUAAAGUUCUGUGAUCAUUUAGGGACGUUUUGAAGUUCAGUAACCUCUUGAAGGAUUUAGCAAAGCUCAGUGACUAUUUUGAGACAUAUUGAAGUUCGGCGACCUCCUAGGGGAUUUUCUGGAAAGUGCAGUGACCAUUGGGGGGAUUUCCUCAUUUACACAAGCAGCUAGUAUAUAUAUAUUUUUAGAAUUGUUAAAAAAAAAUUAAAUUUUGGGACUAAAAAUAGAAAAUCGAGCCAGCUCAGCUCGGGCAAAAAAAAAAUCAAGAUAUUUUUUACCCAAGCCAUGAUCGAGCAGCGAUCUUCAACUUGUGAGCUAGCUUCGCUCGUUUACAUCCCUAUGUUAGUGCCAUAUCAUAUACAAUCACUAAGAAUUUUUUUAAAAAAUAUAUAUAUAAAAAUAUGUACCAAAAAAAAUACAUAUAACGAUAGUUUUUGUACAGCACGAAUAUUUCACUAUAUGGUAUCUUGAUGAUGAUUAUUAUCAUUGUGUAUUUAGUCGACUAUAUAUCUUGGUAUGAUACGUUUUUACAAAGACUGGACAUCAAACUUUGUGAUGCUAAUUAUCAAUAAAAAUUUCGUGAAGAAAUUUUAAAAUAUAAAAAAUAUAAAAGUUUAGAUAUAUUAUUAAGAAAAUAUAAUAUAAACAGCAAAAAUAUAUUUCUUUAAUUCCAUAAUUAAUAUUCCUCCACUAAUUAUCCAAGUCAUAUGAGAAUGACACGUCAACUAGAAGUUGGGUGUGGGGCGCCGUAACACACUUUUGCUCCUAAUAUUUGCUUCAUUUUUAAACCACAAAUCAAUGUAACAGUUUAUCAAAACCCUAGAAUCAACGACUGAAUGAUUUCUUUUGAAAAACCUUCUCAACCUCAUAGCUUUUUCAAAACCAAACACUUCAUACUAUUGCUGAUUUAUUUUGAUUUGAAAUCUCAUUUAUCUAACACUCAAUUCUAAGCUGAAGAUUAAUUCUCAGCAGCCCUUUAUCUAUAUAUGCUUGUGCUUCAGACAAAGUUGAUUAUGGUAAUAAGAUUUUCGCUGUUCAUUUUUGGGUCUUCCAUGUGUAUAAACGAUCAUUUUCUCAGUGAUGCAGAGAUGAUAAAAUGCAGUAAGUUUGGCUUCUUCAGUUUCUCUUUUUAUGGGGUAAAAGAAAAUUUGUUGGGUUGUUAAUUUCCUUUAAGUUGAAGAAAGCCUGCUUUGAUGUUGCUUACGACAAGGAUUAAUUAGAUUGUGCACAGAAUCAUGAUGGAAUUCAGAAAUGAAGGAAUAUAUAUAAUCAGAUUUCUCUUUGAGGGCAGAGACUUUAAUUUCUGAUCAUCCACCAAUAUACUGGUAUGGUUUGCUAGAGUAGAACUGUGAGGGGGAAAAGGGGCUUAUUUCGUUCGUUUCAAGUGACUUCGAAGAAGCAUUGUGUGAAGAGAAAAAAAAAAAAAAAAAAAAAUUGAAAAAAAAGAAGAGUUUCGAAGGAAAAUAGAAAACUGCAGGAAAUCCUUUACAAAGCAACAAAAGAACAUGGAAGAGACAUCAUACUCGCAUUACAUUUCUUUCAAAAAAAAAAUUGAAGAAGAAGAAGAGUUUCGAAGGAAAAUAGAAAACUGCAGGAAAUCCUUUACAAAGCAACAAAAGAACAUGGAAGAGACAUCAUACUCGCAUUACAUUUCUUUCAUUUCACUUUGGAGAGCUUUUCUAGCGAGAUUUAUUAUUAUUAUUAUUAUUAUCAUUAUUAGUCUUGUUCACGAUUAUUACUGGAUAUAGAUGCCGAUGGAUACUUAGAAGUGAUUCCAGAGGUUCUCAUCUUCUAUAUUUUCGGGAGCAGCAGUGUCACCCAGGCGAGGAGGACUAAGAAGCAUUCCCUGAGCCAUGUUCACCAGAACAUUAGGCAUAUCAAAGAUCAAAUCCUCAUCAAUAAAUUCAGGGAUUUCAGACAGCCCUGGAUAUGCAGUCCUGUCAACAGUAUUGUUUCUACUAGCAAGAGCAUCAACCGCCGCCCCAGCUGCGGCAGCUGCACUGGCGGCAGCAGCCUGAAUGUCACGCGGCGAGGCAGAAGCCGGGACAGGUAAAGAAGAAGCUGAAUUUGGGAAAUUAAGCUCAGCCUCAGAACCUUUAAGAGCAAGCGCAGCCACAUCAUAGGCUACUGCAGCCAUUUCAGGAGUAGGAAAUGUGCCAAGCCAAAUUCUGUUUGGCGUUCUUGGCUCCCGAAUUUCAGACACCCAUUUUCCACUGCUUUUACGACGCCUAACUCCCUUAUAAACUGGGUGCCGGCCAGAAUUUCUGUUCGCUGUGCUACUGCUGGACUGUGACAUUCUAUAAGUAAAUUCACUUGUAUAUAUUUAUAUAUAUUUAUUGCAUGCAAGAAACGAGAACAAUUUAGGAUAUGAUCCCAGUAAAAGAUUUGAGCAGCCAUUUAUGGAGGUUGAGUUUUAGGGUUGCAGUGUAUGGGGAUGAAUAUGAGAUGAAUUAAGUGCAAACCAGUUGUUGAUGAAAUGGUGAGGUGUGAGGAUAUUGGGUGUAAGCCAGAUAUAUGUUGGAGUUCUGGGUUGGAUACCCGUUUUUUGUGUAAUUUGCGAGGUGAAGCGUCACAACAGUUUGCGGAUAUGUGUUGAGAUUCGAUUUUUAAUAACUUUUUUGAAAUUUAUAACUUGAUUUGAUUUGGAUGAAGGAAGAACAUUUUACUUAAUCCAUUGCAUUUGAAACAACCAAUGGAAUUUUAGAAAUGAAAUAUGCGAGAUGGAUGUCGACGAGUGUGUUCUCCGUGUUUGGCUCUCUCCAUUAAAUUUAUCAUACGUAGGUACUUUACGUCUUGUUAGUAAAUAGGAAGAUUUCAUUUCAAACGUGAUGUGACUUAUGGUGUACUCUACCGCCUCGUUUGAGAAAUUUAGUGGGAGGAAUAGUUAGUAGAUCUCAACUUGGAUGUUGGUAUAUAUAUUUUUUGAAAGGAUAAUUAGAAUAUAUAAAUAUGGUACGAAUUUUAAGACGAUGUAGUUCAACAUGUCAUCCAAGUACGUAAUGUUUUCCAUUCAAAUCUUACUACCGCCACUUAUAAAAAAAAAGUGACUAAUUUUCAUUUGAUUAACAAAAAUACCAAACAACCCUCUAAAACAAAUCGAUUACGACAACUCGAGCUAAGUCUUAACACAGGCAUCGAAGUGGGCACUUCUUCAUUGACCUCGCCCAAGGACUCUUCUGAUCAAACCAAAUCUAUCAAUUAUUUUCAAAAUUCGAGUGUCAUUUGGCAUGAUCAACUGCUAUGCCAUCAACACAAAACACUUUCCAUCAAACCAACUUCCUAACAUAAGCAAUCUCUAAAUUCAUUUAUAGUUAUUUUGAUUGUACUACAUGUACCUAAUGAUUUACCAACAAAAAUACAGGCAUACUCAACCAAAAUUUGCUUACAUAUUUAUGCUCGAAAGGAACAAUCCAAAUCAUCCACAUUGAAUUCAGCCUUCAUCAACGAAAGAGAAAUUAAAUUGUUCUUUCUAUCUGUUUUUAAUGAUUUGAAGGCAAAAGAUUUCGUCAUUUAUCCAUUUUUCUCCCUAUCGUUGUAUCUAUUGGAGCAAUUUUCGUCUUGCAAAAGAAGAAGGUUUCUUCGACAAGGGAUUUUAAAAUUAAGGCUCAAGAUUUUGGGCAUUCACAUCUAGCUUUAUAAGUGAUUUCAUAGUGGUAGCAGAUUAAAGUUAAUUAUGAUUAAAUUAAAGUUACUUAUAGUUAAUACCUUGAUUUCUAUGCCCUCUUGUAGGGUUUAUUUAGGAUUUGAACAUCUUGCACAACUCAUUCAACGUUUGUUGGCUUAGAAGUAAAACGAGUUAAACAUGAGCAAGUAUUCAACUAGUAGUAGUAGUAAUAAUAAUAAUAAUAAUAAUAAUAAUAAUAAUAAUAAUAAUAAUAAUAUUAUUAUUAUUAUUAUUAUUAUUAUUAUUAUUAUUUUGCCUUCCCUCGUAUGUAUUUAUCAAAAACUUCAAGCAAAAUAUGAAUUAUCAGUCAACAUUCUUUUAUUCUCUUAUAUUCUACUCAAUAAAAGAUCUAUCAAGAUUGAAUAAACUAAAAUUAAUUUAAAAGUAUAUAUGUUCAAGACUCGUGUAUAUUAUCAAACAAUGAAAUUACAAAAUGACUUAUACCCCGACGGUUAUGUCUGCAAGGAGCUCAGCUAAUUAUUUAUUACCAAAAACACGAUAAUAGAAACCCAGUAUGAAAAUACCAUGUACACAUAUGGUAAAAUUUGAAUUCGAACAAAAGCAUUAAUUAUCCUCUUAAAGUAUUUUCAAGAAGCUCUUUAAACAUAAGAUAUUCCUAUUUUAAAGUGUCGGAAUAAGGGUGUUCGCUUUGACUGUUAAGAGUAGGUAGCCUGUUCCCUGACUCAAUUCUUAAAAUUAUGAUCCAAAAGACUCUUUAAAUUAAUAUUUUAAUUUGGAGAGUCAAACACACUAUCUAUAAUCUAAUGCAUUCAAAGUAUUUCAAUUUUCAAUAAAAGAAAAUAAUAUAAUAAUUUACGGCAAUAGCAAAAUUAAAUGUUAAAUAUAAAAAGCACGUUUCACAUUUAAAAAUUUUUGCUCUCUAAGUUUAAGGUAAGGCCUCUUUGCCAGAAAAAUGUUGAUAGAUGCCUUGAUAUAAUGGGUGAUGAUAAUGAUUGAGUGAAAAAGUUGAUUGUAAUUUAAACAGUCCAAUGAUAAAAUGUCAUGUGACAUUAAGCCAACCUCUCAAACGCUAUAGCACAAUUCUUAAAUAUAUAGAUGUUCUCUAAAUUGUAGAAUAUACUUUUUAAAAUUAUAAAAUUUCUUGGAGACGCUCUUACAUUUUUACACCAAAUAAAUUAUCAUGUUUGAGUACGUUGAAUUAAAUAAAAUAAAUGAUAAACUUUGAAUUUGAACAAAUGCAUAUUUUCACAGCAAAUAAAUUAUCAUGCUUAAGUACGUUUAAUUAAAUUAAAGAAACAACAAAUUUUAUCUUGUAAAUCUUAUUUAGCCCUUGUUUGGUUUCGAUAAAAAUUAAUUUUUUAGUAAUGAUAAUAAUUGAUGGAAUAUGUAGUCCAAAAAAUUGAUAAAAAUUUAAAGUUCAAUAAAAUGAGUUUGACAAUAAUGAAUUUAUAAAAUUGGAAGCCAAAUAAAAACUUAUUAUAUCCGUACCUUACUUCCGCUUGCCAUCAAUCUUGUUUUCUCCUAAUUUCUAACUCCAACUUAGAAAUGAUAUUUAAGGGCUUGUUUGAGCCACAUUAUGUUCAAAAAAAUACAUUUUUCAAUUGUGAUUUGAUAUCAUUUCAAUCACAUAUUUUUCAAUAAAAUAAUAUUAUACGCAAAUCUAAACCCCUAUUUGAGCCACAUUAUUGUAAAAAUGAGAAUGAAAAAUAUAGCCGCUAUGAACUCCACACAAAAGAUAAAAAAUCAAAUAUGGUGACUUGAUAUGACGGAUAAUGGUCAUAUUUUUCAUUUUAAUGAGAAAAUAAUGGGGCUCAAACAAGGCCUAAAAGUCUAAUUUUUGUUAAUAUAUGAAACCACACUCAAGGAUGGGAACGGUUGGGAGCGGACGCAGAAAUUUUUUGUUAUUGAAAUAUAAUCAAACUCUGUACAAAUCAAAUACUCUGCUCUUGAUUUUUGAAUGAUUCAUACUUGAUUCAAGAAAAUGCAUAUUUAUAUUUAAAAAAUAUUUUUCAUUAAUAUUUUACUUAUCAUUUUCAUCCAUUUGAUUUCGAACGAUCAUUUUACUAAUGUUUUGCUCAUCACAAGAAAAUGCAUAUUUACGUUUAAAAAUUCUAUAGUAUAUUUGAUACAAACAAUCAAUUCAAGUGAUCAAAAGGAAAAACAUAUAAUCAAUAUUUAAUUAAAUAAACACAAUUCGUUAAAUAUAUGUUAAAUUGGAUACAGUUGGUUCAGAUACAUUCUAUAUACACAAAUAAGAUAGGAGAAAGUGCAAAUUUAGAUUUUAAUUAAUUGAAAAUUUGUAGUAUAUAUGACGAUUUAUAGAUAAAUUAUAGAUAAAUUUUAAAAAAUUAGAGGAAUUAAGAUUUUGGUAAAAGGUUGAAAGAGAGAGUAUGAUGGAGCAAGAGAAAAAAGAAAAAUUCCAAAUUACUGUGACUUUGUCCCUGUUUGGUGAGAAUUAAAUUUUUAGCAAAUUUUGAUAAAAGUUAAAAAAUUUAGGAUUUCAUGAAAUAUGUUAUUAAAAAUAACUAUUAACUUUAAUUUAGAUUUGAAUCAAUAUCAAACGGGACAUUAUCCAAAAAAAAUUUAAAAAUAGAUCUCAAAAAUUGAGGAGUACGUGACCCCAGGACCUCCUGCGUCCGCCAUGGCAAUGGUAAUGGAUAGGUGGGCCACCCAUCCUAUUCCUAUUAUUAAUCUUUGAAUUCAAUUUUAAAAUGUCAAUUUCAUUAAGAGGAUUUAGAUAUGGCAAUUUGAGCCGUCAAAAUCGAAAAUUGGGGUUAAUCGAACCGAAUGGGACGAAAAAAAUCGAACCGAUAGUGCAAUGGGGUGGAUAUGGUUUUCAUUUUAAUGAACCGGUUCGUGGCGGUACGGGUAUGAUAUUUACACCGUCGAACCGAAAUCGAACCGAUUACCCGCUAAAAAUAAAUAAAUUGAAUUGAUUAUUGAGAUUUAUACUACUUUUCUAUCUAGCCUAAAACAAAAUCUCCCCCCCUCCCCCAUUAUUUCUACAUGACUCAGUCGGUCAACCCACUCACCAUUACCCCAUAAUAAUAGCAUUAGUAUGACAGUAUAUAAAUGCAAACCCUACUCUUCACAAACCACAAACUCAUGCACGACUCAUUUUAUUGUUAAUUUUUUUCUAUUGUGGGUAAAAAAUUUUACUUCUUCAUCAUACUUUAAAACUUGUGUAACGUUUAACGAGAAGGAAGCUGACGAAGAGGUACUUUUUUAUUAUUAUUUAAAUCUUAGUUAAGACCAUUCUGAAAUAGGUAGUAUCGUUGUAUUUUCUACUUACAUUUCUUAUUUACUAUAUAGAAAUCAACUUUGAGUGUUGAUCUAUGCUGGUAAGACUUGUGGGGAAGAAUGAAUCAAGUAAUUUCGAUGCACAACAAUUAAGAAUGAAGGAAAAGUUUAUUAUUGUUAUAUUUAUAAUAUUAUUUGUUAAAUUUGUAUUUUACAAUUGAAAAUUGGAAUAAUGUUUCCAUUUUUGUUUGGAAUAUUGUGUUUUUAUUUUCAUUGACUUUUUUCAUAAAUUGUUUUCUAUCAAUUUGACGAAUGAAACUAUAAAAAAUAAUUUAUUUUCGUGGUUAUUAACCGAAUCGAACCGUGCCGAACCGAGAUACGAACCAAAUCGAUUUACGUGGUUAUGGUGCCGUUAUGGUAUGGUAAAAAAAUUGGUGGUGUGGUUAUGAUUUUGGCCGAAUCGACCCAUAACUGAACCGUUGCCAACCCUAAGAGGAUUAGUCCAAGACUUAAUAUGUUUGUCUAUAUAUAUUUUUUUUUAUUCGAUGUGAGAUUUAUUCAUUAAUAUGCCUCGCAAUGUAGUGAUUAUUUUUAGCAAACCAAUCUUGAAAUUCGCCUGCUCAUUUUUUGAGUAUUGGAUUUCCAUCUUUAAAGAUCAACCUUAUUAAGAGAAAUAGUUCAAAUUAUUAUAUAUUGAUCUGUAUUUUCAUCUUUAUUCAAUGUGUGAUUUAUUCCUUAAGACAUAUUUCGUCGAGAUUUCUCAAAACGCAGGGCAUAACAAGGAUUAAAACAUGAGGAAAUUGUACUCAAUCCAAUGUUCUAACUUUUCAUUUCAAAAAUCUAAAUUUUAGUCAAGUAUUUUCAAAACUCAGGUAUAUACUCCACCCCACCCCACGCCACCCCACCCCAACUCACCCCUCCACUCCACAACAUCUAUCAUUUAAUCUAUUUCUCUCUCAAUUCUCAAAUCCACAUUGACGCCUAUUCACCUACACCCACCCUUCAUCACCACCACUUCCACCACUGUCACCGAAAAUGCAUAAAUACAUACCCAGUUGUCGUCGACUUUUAACCUGCUUCUUAGGACAGAGGGAACAUAGAAAAGUGGCAAAGCGACUAUUAUGUACAUCAUUAUAGAUGGAAGAAUAAUGGUUGACGGCGGAGGGCUUGAUAGUGGAGAUUUCUCCGUUAGCAAUUGGAAAAAAAAAUACCGUCAGAGCAAUCAUGGUCGAGGAGGUCGACGACAAAGAAAGCGUAGCUCUAGGUAUAGUAGCGGACGUGGAUCUUUUGAAAGAGUACAAUUUUUUUGGAGGUGAUAGUGGUGAUGGAUUUGAGGUGGUGAUGAUGGCUUGGGUGGCACCGACGGUGGUAGAGUUGGGUGAGAUGACAAGUAAUUGCGACUAGUUAAUUAUGAUUUAUAACUAAUAAAUGAUUUGUGACCCGUUAAUUGUGUGAUUUGUGAAUUAAUACGGCAUGUGACCCAUAAAUUAUGCGGUGCGUGAUUGUGACCAUACCUAACUUUGUGAAUAGUAUGUGAUCGCGACCAUAAAUGUGUGUUCAUUGUGAUUGUGACUUGUUUGAUUAAUAGUAUGUUUAGACCCCAUUUUUUCAAAAAAUUAUUUUUAACUAUAUAUUCUCACAUAAAAUAAUUUUACACGUAAACAUUCAAAAUUUUUCCUUAUUUUUUAAUCAUAUAUUCUCCAAUAAAAUACUAUUAAAUUUACAUUUUUACCGAAAAAUAAGGCUCAAAUAGGGGCUAAAUAUAGGUCACAACAUUUUAUCAGAUGUGAAAUAUGUGACCACCUGAUUUUUUAAAGAUUUCAUCAAGUUUAUUAAAUUUCAAAGUGUAUUUUGUAAAUAUUAUAAUUAUGUAUUUUUCUCUUAAAUUAUUUUUAUUAUCGUCACACUUGUCCUUUUUCUUUUAAAUGCAAUUCAAAUUUAUAAAAAUAAAAUAAAAUAAUAAGAUUCGAGAUGGGAUCAAAGAAGAGGGCACGGACCAUGUUUCCCGACUUUGCUCUACUGCCUCAUUUAGGUCAAGACAAUGCAAGGUGGUACAGGAGUAAGAUAUAUUAUCCUUUGUUUUAAAAAAGCACGCCAAGUUGCGAAGCUUGGUUGAAUGCUCCGCAUAGGGCCUAGGCUUUCGAAUAGGCGGCCAAUUCUUUUGUUGAUUGUCUAAAGUGAAAAUUACACCCAUCUAGAUUUGCGAAGUUUCAACUUCAAAAUUCAAUCCUAAAGUUUUUUAUACAAAAAAUCAGAUGAUAAUAUAAUUUUUAAAUAUUAAUUAUAACAUUAUAAAAUUAAAUAAAUUAAUCUAUGUAUCUCCCCCAAUCGCCUCCACCUCACCCAGUUUUACACCCAAAACUUAGAUUAUUUCCCUAUCGCCUCCUCUCUCUCUCUCUCCGAGUCACAAUCUCUUCUUCAAUGACCAUCUCUUUUCAAUUGUCGUGCAACCUCGAUCUCCAGCAACUUAUCCCCAGCACAAGGAUGCGCUGCACCGCUACUCGCUGACAGCAGUGGCACUUCGCUGCUUGCGACGCACAGCGCUGCUAUUGGUUAUAUAAUUUGUUAGUGGUGAUGGUGGUGGUUAUGCAUAUUGUCAUAGUUUUGGUAGUGGUGGUAAUGUGGCGUCGCUUUUGGUUAUUGUCGGUGGGGCAAUUAUAUGAUUGACAUGGCAGUGUUGUCGAUGGUGGUGGUAGGGUGCGGUAUGAAGAAUGUUUGUAACUAAUUAUUUAGGUGGUGUGACUAAUAAAUUGUUAAUUUGAGACCAGUAAAUAGUAUGUGAUAAAAAAGAAUGUAUGAUUGUGACUAAUUACGUAAUUGUGACCAAUUAAUUUGAUAAUUUGUGAUCAUGAAAUAAGUUGUGACCUAUAAAAUUUGUGAUUUGUAUUGUGAAAUAAGUUGUGACCUAUAAAAUUUAUUAUUUGUGGCCAAUAAAUAAUUUGUGGUCUAUAAAAUUUUUAAUUUGUAAUCGAAAAAUAAUUUGUGAACAAUUAAUUUGAUAGUAUAUAUACGAGGAAUAAGUUGUAACCUAUAAACACGUAAUUGUAACCAGAAUAUUUUAACUAAUAAAAUAUAUUUUUAAUUAAUUAUUUCAUAAAUAAAAUAUAACUGAUAUUUGAUUUUUGAAACAAUAAACAUUGUUUCUUAAUUUUAAAAUUGAUCAUACUUAAUUUGUUACAUAUGAAAUUUUCCCAAUCUAAAAGUAGUGUUAGGACUUUUUUUUUUUUUUACCCAUUUAUCUCUUUUCCUCAUUGACUAAAUUAAUUUUAAGGAAAACAAAAAUCAUAAUUAUCAUAGUUUAAGUAUUAUUUUCAAAAAUCAAGUCAAGCUGUGAAGCUUGGUUGAGAUGCUCCAACUAGGGUCUUGGCUUUCGAAAAGGCAGUUAACUCUUUUAUUGAUCGUCUAAAGUGAGUCCAGGCGUAUGCUUAUCUUAAAAAAAGAUUUUUUUUUUUAAUCCUUUAAAUGAACGGUUCAAACUAAUAAUUAGUCCCUGUUUGUUUCUAAUUUUUUAAAGAAUGAGAAUGAAAAAUGUAAUCGUUACGGAUCCACACAAAAGAUAUAAAUGCAUAUUUGGUAGCUUGAUGUUAUAGAUAACGAUCAUAUUUUUCAUUUUAAUGAAAAAAGAAUGGAAACCAAAUAGGGACUUAAUGUGGUCUGGACACUAAAAUCUAAAAUUAGUGUUAGGACUUUUCUUUUGGGACUCAUUUAUCUCUUUAACUCAUCGACUAAAUUAAUCUUAAGGAAAAAAAAUUAUAAUUAUCAUACUUUAAGAAUUAUUUUCAAAAAUAUCAAACUUGUAGAAUUUGUUCAAAAAUCAGGUCAUAAAUCAAUAUUAUCUUUUCUAAAAAUUAUAAAUAUUUGAAUUUCUACAAAAUAAUAAUAGUUUAAUACCUUAUACUAUUUGUUUAGUCUUUUUGACGCAAGAAUUUUUGUUUAAUUUUUUUUUUCCAUUUCCACCUUUUUUUAUUAUUUAGUUUGAAAUUUAAACAUAGAGUCUUAAGUGUUAAAGACUCUCUUAACUAUUCAAAUGAUAAAAAUGAUUGUAUUUAUCAUUUUUAGAUGUAUGGCAUUCAUUAAUUUAAUAGCUCUCGAAUAAUAUCAAAAAUAACAAUACAUUUUUUACGUCUAGACUCGUAAAAAUUGAAAUUUGCUCUUACUAUUUAGUCACACUUAACGCUUUUAAAAUACUAAUUUUAUCAUCCCCAAUCACACUACACAAAUAAAAUCAUGUUACACAUUCAAGAUCAAAUUCAAACACAAAUUCGAAUGGGACACAUAUAGAUACGUGAUUGGACAGUUUGAAAAAUUAAAACAAAUAUGAUUCAACUAACGGGUAAAACAGUUAAAGGUAACAAAUUACUGUAGUACCGGUUCUUUAGGUUGCACCUGCACCGCGUGGUGACUGGUGAGACAGUAUCCGUGCUGUUAAAUCUUGUGGGUACAACGUUAGCAUCAAUUUGAUCUGUCAAUAAAGGAUGCAAGCUAUGCUAACUGUAUUAUUACCUUUUUACCCAUGGGUUAAAAGUUAUUAAACCGUGUGCUUUACGAGUAGUAGACAUUAGAUCUUUACCAAUGGCUUUUUAUGUCGGUAAAUGUCAUAGAAAUUGUGUUUUUUUUUUCUUUUAAUAUUUUUUGAGUUCCGUAGACAUUCACUGUGCUAUUGGCAUCUAAAUAUGUCACAAAGAGAAAUGCUAUAUGUACAUAACUGUCUACAUAAUAGUAUCCAUAAUUACACAUGACACUGAAUUCAACUUUUAAUUCAAAUCUUAUACUUGCACAUUAAUCAGAUGAUUGUCACAUCACAUUAUUGAUAUCAAUAUGUGCAAUAAUUAUAUACAAGUAGAAUUUUCCUGUCACAAAUUAUAACAUCCAACACACAAUCGACGCGCCGACGACACAACACUAAUGGUAAAAUAUUCGGUGUAUUAAACUUGUGUUGUCGGCUUGAGAACUUUGUCAGGAUAAACUCGUAUUGUCGGCUAUUCUACUAACUGAAAAUAAUAAACGUCUUAAAUAUAGAAGUCAGAAGCAGAUUUCGGACUCAUUUUGGGGGCUCAAUUUUGAAAAAGUCAUUUUCGAGGCUCUAGCAAAAAGAAAUCGACAAAUCUUUUCUUUUUCUUAUUAAAAUUAUAAUCUACUUAUUUCUUUCACACUGCCUACUUAUUCCUCAUCCCACCCAACUGGUUUAUGGCAUAUAUCCUUCCUUUUUUUAUCAAUAGAAAAUAAUUAUAAGCUAAUUUAUCUUCGUACCUGCUGAUUUACGAACUUUUUGUAACUGAUGAUAACAUAUAUUUUUGUAACUGUAAAUUUGAUAUUGUUAAGGUUUUUUUUGUGUUAGUACAUAUGAAAAUUCAUCGUUAGAUUAAUAAUUUUGAGUUAGUAUAAAUGAAAAUUAAGAAUUGUGUCAAUUAUAUUAAAUUAGUAUAUAUGAAAAUACAUCAUCAAAUCAACUAAAGAGAUGCAAAACGUGUUUGCAAAAAUGCAAAUAUGAAUAUGAAUUCAAACUUUACGUUAAAAAGUGACAUGGUGCAAUACUUUAUUUGUAUUGCAUAUGAAUUAAGGUGCUGAAAUUUAAAAGCAACAUACCCUGCCACUUUUUUUUUAAAGAAAAACAUAUUAUCUCAUUUAAAUUCUUUUUUGAUCGAUUAUUGAGAUGCAUAAAUGGUAUUUGUGAAAAUGUAAAUAUGAAUAUGAAUUCAAACUUUGAUUUACAUAUAAAAGUAAAUAUGAUGUAAUAAUUUAUUUGUCUUGUAUAUGAAUUAAGUUGCUAGAAUUUGAAAAUGAUGUGCCCCGCCACUUUUUUAAUAAAGUCGCACACUACUAAUUUGAAUUCUUUUUGUAGAUAUAGAUCAAAUUAACACCUUCAUCUGUUAUUGGGACAAAUGAAAACAGGAUAACGCAUAUAAAAGUUGAAGAAAUCAGGAAUGAAACGGGAAGUGAAAUCAUUUCAAUUGUUAUAGGAAUAUUUAUGAAACUUGAGUGUUCAAGAUGUUAAUUUUGGAUUGUCUUUCAAUUUUUGUGCUACUAUAAAAUAAAAUACAUUUUAAAGACUUUUAUCAUUUUUACUUUUCAAAUAAAAAUACUAAUAUUAUGUCACUUUUGAAAUAGAAAGUGGUAUCAGGUCAUUUUUAUAGAAAUUUAACUAAAAGACAUACAAAAGUUCAACGGGUUAAAAUGACGUUGCUAAACUUCUUGUUUAUGUGUCUCACCGAUCGCAUGCAAAGUAAGAGUUGAUUUUCUGAAGACCUUGUUUCAUUCCUGGAUGUUAUCUCACACAAGGUUGUCACUUUUGGGGAAAAAAUGACAUAUUAAGGGCAUCUCCAAUGCUAUCAUCAAAAUACCAAAAUUUGGUGCAAAAGCUCUUCAACAUGGCACCAUUUUGCACCGAAUGGUGCCAAGUCAAAUUUGCCCCCUUCUUUUCCAUUUGCCAAAGAAAUUAAUGGAGGGUAUUUAUGUCAUUUGUAUUAUAUAUUUUUUAAUACAAUAAUUUUUAUUAUUUUUAUUACACCAAAACUUACACUAAAUUUUAAUGGCAUGAUUUAAUAUUUUCAUUUUUGUAGUAUUUCUACUAAUUGUACUAUUUGUUUAUAUUUAUUAAUGAAUUUAAUAUUUUCCUUAAUUUAACGUCAUUAUUUAUCUACUAAUUUAUGUAUUUGUAAAAUAAAUAAAUUAUUAAGAAUAAAAAAAAGAGAGAAGAAAAUGAUUAAAUACUGUUCAUUUGGUGUAAGUUUCGAUGUAAUGGUUGAAGAUGAUUUUUUUGUUUAGUGCAAGAUUUGGUGUAAAAUAGUGCAAAACUGACCUCAAAUGGUACAGAGUUGAAAAUAACCUAAAUAUUAAUGAUAAUAAGGAUAUUAUCCUAUUUUCUAGCUUUUGGACAUCACUGAGCCUAAUUUCCUUUUGGCCCUUGUUUGAGCCCCAUUUUGGAGGGAAAAUGAAUUUUGGAAUAGUGUAUUGAUGAAAAAUAUGUUGUUAAAAAAUAAGAAAAAAUUUUGAAUUUAAAUGUAAUAUUAUUUUAUUGAAAAAUAUGUUAUUAAAAUGAUAUCAAAACAUCGUUUAAAAAUAUAUUUUGUGGAAAUAAUGGGGCUCAAACAGGGGCUUAUUCCAAUAUUCAUUAUCAAAUCAUAUAAUCUUAAUCUUAAGACCCUUAACAUAAACAAAUAAAUAGUAAAAAUAAGGGCUGCGAAUUUGUGCAUGUGAAAUUAGAAAUGAAUUUUAUUAUAUUGGACUGACAGAGUACAAUGAUGCUACAUAUAUACUUUAUUUGACAUCAAAUUUGACAUUGUGUCAUGUGUCACAAUAUGAGUGGCCAGUUUUAAAAUAACACACUUUUCUGUCCAUCCAUUUUUUAAUUUUCAAGUGAAGUCAAACUCUAUGUACAACAUGGGGUAUACAAGGAGUAUUAUUCGACAGAGUACGGGUAUUAGGGCAUACGGGCUAAGAACCCUACUAUUCAGUGGACCGCAUAGCCCCCUAUUGGCGGGGAGUUAUUUAUGUUUGGGUUAUAGUUAAUUUUCGAAAAAAAAAAUUAAGAUAUACUUCCAAUUUUAAGAAACUUGUGAAAUUCUUUCAAAAAUCAUUUGUGAUUACUUACCUAUUUUCAGAUCAUUUUUCAUUUUUAAUUUCCAAAAACACUGAAAACAUGGUUAUUUACCUAUUUUCAGAAACGAAUUUUCAAAAACGAUUUUAAAAUUUACAAAGAAAAUGGAAAAUGCCAAAAAAAUCGUUUUGGCUGUUUUCAGUUAACUAGGCAAUAAUUCAAAAAUGCGGAAAAUGGGUUGUUUUGCAAUUAGUGGGAUGGCUUAAUUGGUUGAGUCAUGGAUUUUUUAAAGAUCACGGGUUCAAUUCUAUUUCAGUACAAUUCAAUAAAAAGGAUUUUUUUGUUAAAAUACACAAUACAAAAAUUUUUAAAUAAAUUGAUGGGUAGGUGGAUUCGAACCUGGGUCACCACCAUGAAAUUUAAUGUCUUAACCACAAUGGUAGCUACCUUUCUUUUUCAUAGAAGUAAAUGAACUAUACUCCUGUUUGAGCCUCAUUCUUCUAAAAAUUCAUUUUUUUCAAAAUUUAUUUUUAACCACAAAUAUAUUUAAGGUAGGAAUCCAUCACCUACUUCUUCUUCAUUUAUUUUAGAAUAAUUGAUUAAAAUCUAAUUAAAAAUGUAGGCAAGUGGACUCACCUAGGUAAUAGCAACAUUAUUGUGGCUUCUCAUAGAAGGUAUUUCCUCUUCUCAAAAAUUGUGUCAAAUUGAUAUAAAAUUGAUUAAUUUUUUCAUGAGGGUAAAGUAAACAGUUUGAUAUGGAAAUUGGACAUUUUUGCAAGAAUUAUCAAAAUAUGACACUUUUCAACUAACACCCCUAAAAUUGGACAUUCUUGAAAAUGCCUCAAUGUAUAAAUAUAAAUGCUCCUGAAUCUAUAAUUUAAAACAAACAGUACAUCGGUAUGUUGGGAGAUUGAGGUAAGCGAACUAGCAAGCAAAUAGGUAGGAAUCCAUCACCUAGAAAAAGUGUUACAUAAUCAUCUCAAGUAUUUUUUGGAAAACGGCUUAUUUCUAAGCUCAGUACUAUUAAGAAAGAUACAAAAAGAAAGUUUGAAAUACUGCUGGAAUUAUAUAUAUAAAAUAAUAAAAAUAAACAUUACAAUAAAUAGAGUAAUAAUAAAAAAAAAGAGGAAAUAGUUCUUGAUGUGGUAGCGGUAUUGAAAGGUACUGAGACUUGUGUUGCACACAGUUUCCUUAAAAUAGCUUUCCUCCAACUGUGGUGCAAGAGAUUGACGGCGUCUGUUUUAUAGGAUGUAAAGUAGCUAACUAUCCCUGAGAGGGAAUUGGGUAAAUUCGGCAUAAGCGAGUGAAAAUGAUUGGAAAUGUUUCAAAAAAAAGUAGGCAUACGAGUGUUCAUCUUUCCGAACAAGGGAGAUUGGAAUGAUUAUUAGAAGAAAAUGGAAAAGGAAGACCAAGUGGGAUCAAAGAAACUAGCUAACUGAUCAUGAACUAAGAAUGCUCACAAUUCUAUUAUUGAGCUAGAAAAUAAUUAUCUAAAUCACGAAGAACGAGACUCUUGAAAACAAAGAGAGAAUAGAGAAACUUAGAGAGAACUUAGAGAGCUCUCAAAAUUUGGUGUUAACAGUAAAGAUGAGAACAGCUCCCUAUAUAAUACUAAGAUUAGGUAUGCUUUAAUUUUCUUAGUUAAUUUUGUAUUUAACACAAAUAAUAUUAUAAUAAUCAUGAAUGAAUUUGUAACCACAAGUUAACUACGGAAUUGAACCAAUUCAAAUACAUAUUAACUAUAGAAUUGAAUAUAUUUGAAACCUACGAAUUUUUGUUACGAUUUUUUCAUUAACUUUAAUUUUUAAUUUUUGAAUAUUUUUCAAUAAUUCUCCACAUGAAUGAAAUUAACAACAAUGAUAAACAGGCAUGGUGAAAGAAUUCAAUAGUCAAAAUCAACAUAGGAUAGGUAUAUGUCACUCUUUGAACCUUUCCUUGUGGAAGUAUGUUUACUUUACUAGCUGAUUCGUAGAUUCAAUUUCUUUGAAUUAUUCUACAAUUUGUGUAAACGAUGACAUACUCCACACAGGAGUCUUCUUAACACAACUCAUUUCUCAUAGUUAUGUUAAUUUUACCCUUGAACAUUUCCCUAGUUCUAUGAGAGUUUAUAAAGAAUUGGGCAAUUAUAAUUUCCUUUUGAAGUGGUCCCACUUCUUUCUUACAUGGGUGAUCUCUUAACUAAGAUAAUCCACAUUACUCCUUUCAAAAUUUUUGACACAUAAAGGUCAUUAAAAGCUUAGCUUAUCCUUUAUUCCUUUCGGGUGUCACAGUUUUUAUCAUAGGAAUGGACUGAGAUGAGUUCCCACAGUGAUCUAACAUGAUCUUUAUAAUUAAGUUGUCCCUUUGAACCUAGGUUGGAUUUCCAAUAUAUUGAUCUAUUCUUUCAUGAGCUUUAGUCUCAUUUUCUUCGAUGAUUUCUCAGCUAAUUCUCUAUUGUCAGCAGAUCAAUAAUAUUGUCAUUUGAUUUUAUAUAGUCAAUGGAGAUAUUUUCAGUAGAGAUUAGGUGUCAAUGCUAUUAUGUUUUCAAAGAAUAUGUUUUGACUUACCAUUGUACAAGAUGCUCUGUACCCUACCAAUUGUAAAUUGACUAUAACAAUGUAUGCAUUUGCGGGUAUAAGCUUUGAUCACCUUCGAAUACCCAUGAGAAAUAUGUAGCCAUUCUGCUUCUUCCUCACAUUUAUCCAGUGUAAUAAAUUCAUAUUCCAUUGCGGAUCUAGCUAUAACGGUUUGUUUCAAGAAUUUUCAAAAAAUAACUGCACCUCCUAGUGUGAACAUAUAUCUACUAGUAGAUCUUGGGUCUUUUAUAUCUGAUAUCCAGUUUGUAUCACCGUAUCCUUCUAAGAUAUAUAGAUAUCAUGUACAGUGCAAUCCUUACUCUUUCACUAAGUCUAGGUUCAUCUUGAACCUUUUCAUUUUUUUCGUGUUCUUGGUCUCAAAUGUUCGUUUUGACGAACUUGGUCCUUCUUUUGAUUUACAAGAAAAUAAAUGUUCAAAGAAUGAUACAUUUCUUAAUUUCAUUAUUGUGUUUUUGUGUAUGUCGAAAAUUUUAGACUCAUGCACAAGGAAUUGAUAUGCAUUGCUAUUAUGUGUAUAGUCAAGGAAAAAUACAUUCAAUUAUUUUUGGACCAAUUUUUACCUUCUUGGGUGUAGGUACAACCACUUUAACAAAAUAUCCUCACAUCCAUAAGAAUUUAUAGGAAGGCUUCCUUUCUUUUCAUAAUUUAUAUGGAGUCUAGUCUUCCUUUUUUCGAGGUACCUUAUUUAAAAUAUAGUUUGCUGUCAAAAUAGCUUCUCCCUACAUAUUCUGAGACAACCCGUAACUUAGUAACAUUGCAUUUAUCAUCUCUUUCAAGAUUCGAUUUCUCAGCUCAGCAAAACCAUUUGACUAGGGAGAAUAAGGCGCAGUGGUUAUAUAGAUUGUAAUGACCCGACAUCUAUGUCCAAAUUGUUAACUUACGUAUUGUCCACUCUGGGAGAGCUUGAAUCUAUCCAAUCCCUCACGAACUUCUAUCGCGUUCAUAGGAUUUGAACCUUUGACCUUCUCUUAAGAGUGCCUUAAGUUGAGUUUUGAUACCAAUUAGUGUGAACACAUAUCCACUAGUAAAUCUUGAGUCUUUUAAGUCUGAUAUACAGUUUGUAUCACCGUAUCAUUCUAGGACAUGUGGAUAUCUUGUAUAGUGAAGUCCUUGUUCUUUUCUACAACUAGUUUCAUCUUAAACGUCUUCAUUUUCUUCGUGUUCUUGAUUCUGGCUAUUUUUACUAAUAGCCUCAAAAGUUCGUUUUGACGAAUAGGUCAUUCUUUGAACUCACAAGGAAAUACAUGUUCAAAGAAUGACGUAUUUCUUGAUUUCAUUAUCGUGUGUGUUUUGCGUGUCUGAAAUUUUGAACUCAUGCACAAGGAACUGAUAUGCACCACUAUUAUGCAUAGGGAUGUCAACGAGCCUAGCCAAAAUUCUAGGCUCGGCUCGAGUAAAAUGUUCGAGCUAUUUUUGGGCCUGAGUCGGCCCGAGCAAAAGCUUGGCAAAAAAAAUUAGGCUCGACCCGAACUUUCGACUCAGGCCUAGCUGGGCCGGCUUGGGUUUUGUUUGGUUUUAGUUUUUUUUUUCCUUUUUAAAUUAAAAAGGGAGUAGGUUGUUGCCAAUUUGUUGCCUAUUUUUGGCAAUAGCACGCUACUUUAAGUGUUGCUGCCUUUAAUUUUACUUUAUUUAAUUUAAUUUUUAUAUUUUUUAAUAUAUCCUCAAUUUUUCCCAGCCGAUGAGCCACACGAACCGACUCGGGUUUUACCCGGCACCUAAAAAUGAGGCUCGCACCAAGUCUCGUCUAAGUUCUCCAGAGCCUCGAGCCGGACGGACUGGAGCUUUUUCCGAUUGAUCCAUGGGCGGCCCGAGCUAACGAUCCCGAUUGCCAUACCUAAUUAUGCAUUUAGCCGAAAAAAUACGAUCAAUUGUUUUUGGACCAAAUUUUACCUUCUUAGGUGUAGGUACAACUACUUUAAUAAGACAUCCCUACAUUCAUAAGAAUUUAUAGGAAGGCUUCAAUAUUUUUCAAUGUUAUCAAAAUCAAACCAGACCGGGCGGUUCCACCUUAAAAAUGGGGAAUCGAUCCGACAUCCGUUUCGGUUAAUGCUAAAAAAUCAUUUAAUUUAAACCUGAAAAAAUCGGUAUAUUAAACUGUAAACCAAAUGACCCAUUACCAGUUCUUCCGAUUUUGCUGGUUGGAUAACUAAAUUAAAUGUUAUUGUUUUAUGAUUUCAGCCCAACACACUUAAAAGGCCGGUAACAAACACUUAAAAAUGCUCAGUAGCCCACACAUAUAUAGAAGUAAUCUUCAAGGGAUUUGAUAUGAGAUUUCGAUGUGAGAUUCAUAAAAGGAUGCUAAGUUGGUAAAUAGUUUUUCAACUAUAAAAGUUAAAUAAAUUAAAAAAAUAAUAGCUCUAUUUAAAGGUAGGAUAAUGUUGGUGUAAAUUAUUUAUCUUUUCAAAUUAAUUUCUUUUUUUUUUUCAUUUCCAAUCAAAUUUAUGAGAUCAUUUUUGUUUUAAUUUUAAAUACAUUGGCACAAUAAAAUACUAUAAAAGUAUUAAACUAUUCACUUUAUGACAAAAUAAAAAUUAAGUGUAGCCAAAUUUAAAGUUUUAUCUUCCUUUCUUCGGGAUACCUUAUUUAAAAUAUAGUUUGCUGUAAAAACAACCUCUCCAUAUAUUCAGAGUCAACCUAAAAAUUAGUAACACUGCAUUCAUCAUCUCUUUCAAGGUACGAUUCUUCUGCUCAACAACACCAUUUGACUGAGGGGAAUAAGGUGUCAUGGUUUCAUGCACUAUCCAUUUUAAGCACAGAAUUCACCAAAUGGUGAUUCAUACUCAUCAUCUCGGUUUAGUACCUUAAUUUUCUUGUUGAGUUGAUUCUCAACUUCACUUUUAUAGAGAACAAAUUUCUCUAUAACUUCAUCCUUAUUUUAAGCAAAUAUACAUAAUAAUUUUUUGUACUAUCAUCAACAAAAUUAAUAAAAUACUUAUUACCUCAUCUUGUUUGUAUCAUGUUUUUAAUCACAUAUAUCACUGAAUUAAAUUAAAUAGUUCAAUGUUUCUAUUAACACUUUUAAAGACGAACUUGUCAACUUUGCCUCUACAUGAGUUUCGCAUUUUCUGUUUCAAAUCAAUUUGGAAUGCCGAUAUGUGAUUUAAGCUAAUUAACCUUCUUAAAGUAUCAUAAUUAAUAUGUUCUAAUCUAUCAUGUCAUAAAUUGAAAAACUCAAGUAAAUACGUAGAAGAACUAGUUAUACUGAUAUUUUUCUUGACAGCCACUAAUUGAGCUUAAAAAGCCCAUCAAAUACAUACUCUUUGCCAAUAAAAAGUCCACUCUUUGAGAAAACAAUUUUAUUAGACUCAAAAGCAAUGCGGAAACCAUGGUUGCUAAGUAGCGAACCAGAGACUAGAUUCUUUCGAAUUUUCGACACAUAAAGCACAUUGUUUAAAGUCAACUCUUUCCCAAAGGUCAUUUUCAAGAUCACUUUGCAUUGGCCCUUGAUCUCAAAAGUAUCAAAAUUUCCCAUGAAGACAAUAUUUACUUCUUUGCAUGAAUGGACCUACAUGGGAUCAUGUGGAGUAAAUUGACCCCACAAAAGUUUCUAUUUUUUUAAUCAGUAAAUUAUCCAAACAUUGUCCAUUCCCGAGCCCUUUUUUUAACCAGUAAAUUAACCAAACAUUGUCUAUUGUCAAGCCCAAUUGCACAAACCUAUUUAUUGCUCCGUCACUUGUCAAAGUGACCAAGUCCAAUUUUUCUUUCCACUCCUUCACGUGACUCUUCAUUUGCAUUUGGAUUUUGUCCUAAACCCUGCAGAGAGAGAAGAAUUAAUGUUGUGGUCUAUGGAGAGUUCGAGACCGCCAUUCAUAUUUUUUAGAUUUUCUCUGCUUGUGCUAAUUUUGUUAUUUUUCUUCAUCUAGGUAACAAAUCGACAGCCUACUUGUUUGAUUUUACAUGUUUUUAAUUAUAAAAUUCAUUCAAAUUUGAGAUUUGAGAAAUAUUGUCGACCACAUUCCAAAUUGCUUGUUAUCUUGUCUGAAACUCAAAGUUUGAGUGCUUGACACAAUCAAUGGUUCAACCUAAAGUUCAUAGUUAUUCAAAUUUAUGAUCUCAGAUUCUCAGACAGUUUAGAUUUUCUAUUAUUUUCCUUUACUACAUAGUUCAAUUUUCAACUUAUUUUAUCUUCAUAUUUAAAUUAAAUUGGUUAUAUUUUUAGUUUGAAAAUGACAGAAGACAAAAACAACAAUUGCGUUUAAAUGUCGUUUGGAAGUCGAAGAUAUGAAAUUGGACAAUGCGUUUUAACCUUCAUUUGUAUAUUUUAGUUGGCAAGUGAUUGAAAAGAUAUAUAUUACUUGAUCAAAAGAAAAUAUUAUCAAUUUCAAGUUUAGACAUCAUUCACAAUUUCAAGUAAGUAAUGACUUUCUCUAACUUGAUGACCCAAAAUUGUUCAUGAAAUUAUUUCUUGUCUAUUAUGAUUUAUGAAUUUCACGUUGUCUUUUGAUGAAAAAUGAAAUAUGGUAAUUAUUUAUUUAUGUAUUUAAUGAAAUAUGGUAAUUAUUUAUUUAUGUAUUGAAUUUGAUUUUGUAACAGUCGUGGAAAAUAUUUUAAACGAAAAUCUGUAUUUUUAAGUGGAGAGCAAAAUGUAUUGUUCAAUGAUUUUAAACCCAUAGAGAUCUUGACACUUGAAGAGCAAAUUCAAACAUGUUAUUGAUAUGCUCACCUACGAAGAUUUUGAAGGUUACAAGACCUUAAUGAUCUUGCGAAAAAGUUGGUUGAGACAAAAAAGAUGAGGUGUACCCAUUAGUUUACAGGCUUGUAACAUUAUCGUUAAUUCUUCCAGUUGCUACUGCUCUAGUAGAGAAGGUAUAUAUUUUCUUCAAUAAAAAUUGUCAGGAAUCGCCUACGUAAUCGAAUGAGAGAUCAAUGGUUAAGUGAUAGUUUAGUUACAUAGAUCAAGAACGAUGAAUUCGACGAUAUUGAUAAGAUGUAAUUAUAUGAUGUUUUCAAAGUAUAAAAACACGUAGGCUACAGUUGUUGCAGUGUACUGACUUAUCUUCAUUAAUGAUUUGUUGUUUUAAAAAAUUGUAUUUUAAUCAAUACAAAACUUCUGGUCCAUCCCUGUUUCUUUGUUUCUUAGGCAGCUUACUUUAGCUUGUGAUCCCUUUUCUCACAAUUGAAGCACUUUACUUGGAAUUUUUUCUUCUUUGAGAUCCCCCUUUAGGUCCCAACUUGAACACUUUGUUGUUUGGCUUCUUCUUCGCUUUGGAGAUUUGACUAUCGUCCACAACUUCUGCCAUGGCCUCAUUUUGGUAAGCCCUCAUUUGUCAAAUCAUUUGUUGUAUGCCUCAAUAUGAAGUCUAACAAUCAAAUCUUUAACAUUCAUCUCCUUUUACUUGUAUUUAAGGUAAUUCUUGAAAUAUUUCCAUCCAAUGGACAACUUCUCAAUAAUAGCAGCCACUUGAAAAGAUUCACUUAGUGACAUCCCUUCAACAUGGAUCUCAUGUAAGAUCACUUAGAGCCCUUGAACUUGACUGAUCACAGUUUUGGAAUUGACCAUCUGGAAAUUUAGGAAGCGGCCUACCACAAAUUUUUUGGCGCUACCAUCCUUAGUUUUGUAAUUCUAAUCAAGAAAAUUCCAGACCUCCUUUGCUGACUUCUUUACACUAUAGACAUUGUAUAAAGAACUAGUGAGCCCGUUCAUGACAUAAUUCCGACAUAAAUAUUUAGAAUAUUUCGAAGCAUCUAUUGCAAUGAUGAAUUGGUUUUCAGUCAUAUCCUCCUUCAACUUCGAAGAAUCUUCAGUUAAGAACUUUGCACGAGAACAUAUUUUGCUGCCACUUCUUUAAGUUCGGCCAAUUGAAUUUUCUUAGAUUUUUCUCCAUGAGUAAUAGAUGACGAUAUCUUUGGGGGUGGGGGGUUAACAAAAGUGGGUCCACUGCCAUAGCACUAGCUGUGUUCACAACAAGAGUAGACUCAUGGGCCACAUCAUUGUUUACGUCAAUAACAAUGGUUUCACUUGCCAUUUUUCUGAAUUACCAAAUAAGUUUCGUUAAUUUGAGAAAUAGGAAAUUAUGUUAUUUUUCAAAUAGCUUUAAAAAUUAUGUUACUUUUAAAAUUACAAAAAUAUGCUAAUUUUUCACUUGAAAAAUAUACUGCUUUUUCCAAAAUCAUUUGAAAAAUAUUUAUUUUCUCAAUAUAAAAAAUAUGCUAAUUUUCUAAAAAAUAUAUGUUUAUUUUCAAACAUGAUAAAAAUUAAGCCAUUUUUUUUUCGAUAACCACACUCUACAAACAAUUUUCAAAUAAGACUAGAGUGGUCUAAGCCUAACCUCAACAACGCUUGCCUUGUUGAGGCUGAAGUUGGCUGAAGUAAUUACAAAUAGUCCCACUUAAAACCAGUCGCUUUGAAAGAACUUCUCUAUAUCAUAACCUUCAAUUUGUAAGAUUUUAUAAAUUUUGUGGUACAAUAUUAUUUUCACAAUAAUAUUUCUUUGAAAUCCAGAACCUCCUUCAUCCUUUGAAUUGAAUUAGUUUGAAGAUGUUAGGGAAAAAAAAUACAAAAAGAAAAUUAGAAAUACUGUUGAAAUUAUAUAAAUAAAAUAAUGAAAAGAAACAUUACAACAGAGUAAUAAUAAAAAUAGAGGAGAUGGUUGUUAAUGUAGUAGCGAUAUUAAAAAAAAUCAAGACGUGUUGCACACAGUUCCCUUAAAGCAAAUUUUCCUCCACUGUGGUAUAAUAAAAUUGAUGGCGUCUAUUUCUCAAAAUACAACGUUGAAAGUAACUCGCUAUCAUCUCGUCACUACUUUAGAUGAACUAAUGAUGCUCACAACUUUGUCACUUAGCUAGAAAUAAUUAUCUAAACUACUAAGAAUAAGAUUCUUGAAAACAAAGAGAAAAUAGAGAAAUUUAGAUAGAACUUAGAGAGCUCUCAAAAUUUGGUGUGAAGAAUAAGAAGAACACCUCCUUAUAUAGUACUAGGAUGAGGGAGGUUUUAAUUUUCUUAGAUAAUUUUGUAAUUAACACAAAUAAUGUUAUAAUAGCGAUAAAUGAAUUUGUAACAACAAAUAAAGUAUGAAAUUGAAUUAUUUCAAAUACAAAUGGUAUUAAAUAGAUUUGAAACCUAUGAAUUGUUGUUGCAAUUUCAUACAAAUUAUUUUUUUAUUUUUGAAUGUUUUCCAACAAGUACUUAACGAUUGGAGAGUUCAGAAUUUAGCGAUUAGAUUCCUAAAUUAUCUUUGUCAUUCAAUAAGAGAGAGUUCUUGAAGAAAAUGUAGCUUUGAGAGCUAGAAUAAUUAGAAUGACAAAAUGAUCAUGUUAACUAGACUAUAAUUAUUGAAUAUUUGAAUGAGAGUAAGACAUUUGAUCAGUGGCUCACGGAAUUUUAAAUAAUGUAGUAAUAAUAAUAAUAAUAAUAAUAAUAAUAAUAAUGCAAUUUAAAUAAUGUAAUUCUCAAUCUUUUCGUGAUUUAAAUCGGAAUUAUUGCAAGCAUAUUAUAUUGGAAUAAUUCUAAUAUGAGCUUCCCUUUUAAUUGUAAAUUUUACGAGUUAAUAGAUGGCUUAUAAUGAUAUUGUGAUUAGAUCAAAUUUUUUAAGUGAUCAAAUGGACCGCUUUACACCUUAUGGGCUAUAUUUAAUUUGAUGUGAUAAUUUUAUGUAUAUGAACCGUCGUAAUGAGAUGGUUAAAUAAUUUUCUAUAUAAAGGUUAGGUCCAAUCUCCUCUCCAUAUUGUUUUUUAGCUUGCUCCAUUGACAACUAAUACUUUGUAAGGAGGGGGAGAUCUAACUGCUAUUAUUAAUAUCCACGAUGUCUUCCUCAAAAAUUCGAUUUAUCAAUUUAUAAUUUUGUGAUUUUUGUGUCUUAGCAUGAUUAUCAUUAAAUUCAAUAUAUUAAGCAUCUAACCUAUUUAAUUCGUAGUUCACAUAAAAAGUUUAGGGCUUGUUUGGUUUAUAUUUCAAUUUUCAAUUUUGAGUUUUAAAUUCAUUUUCAGUUCCUGUUUGAAGUUUGUUCUAAGAUUUCUUAAAAGCAUUUAGCUUGUCAUUUGAAAAAUUAGAUUUCAAAAUAGAAAAAACGUUUGGUUUGAACUUUUAAAAAAUAAUUUUAUGACAUUUUAUUCCAUUAAAUUUGAUAAUUCAAUAAUAAUAUAACAAUUUUAUGUUAAUAUAUUAUCAAGUAAUAUAAUAUUAUUUAAAGUUGAUGAAUCUUGAAAUAUUUUUUCUCUUUACAACAUAAAAUAAAAACACAAUAAAUCGAGUUUAAAAUAUUGAAAAUAAAAAUAAAAAUUAAUAACAUGUUUAUAAAAAAUUAUUUUAAAUUUUUAUUUUUCUAAAACUUUUGAUAUUUUAUGUUUUUGAUAUUUUUAUUUUUUAUAAAUUUGUUUCUCUAAAUUUUUUUUAUAAUUAUAUAUUUUAAAAAUUUUUAAAUUUCUAUUUUUUUUAAAGAAUUUAUCAACACUAUUCUUUGAAUUUUAUUUUUUUUACUUGUCAAAUUUUUUAUUUUUUAUUUUUAAAAUUUUAUUUUAAACACUUAUUUUCCCUGUUUUGAGUGUAUUCAGAAUUUUCACUGAAAACGUUUAAAACUUUAAAAAUACGUUUUGAGCUUUAUUUUACAAAUUUAUCCUUAUUUUUUAAAAUGUCCUUUCAAAAAUGCCGAACCAAACACAUAUUUAGUAUAUUGUAAAACUGAAAAUUGAAAACAACUCGAAAAACAAACCAAACACAGUACUGUUUGCUGCGAAUGGAGAUGACAAAAAAAUUCGUUCAGCCCGAUACUCGUGAGGCCCCGUCCCGAAUAGGACGGGUAAUACCCGCCUAACCGGGUACAUAGGAUGGGUAUAGAGUGAGAGUCAUUGCCUCGAAGCGGGUAUGGAACAUGUACGGAAAACAUAGUCCACAUUCCAUUACUCGCCCGGUUUAAUAUUAAUUUCAAAUUUAAUUUUUUAUUAAACAAAAAGAAUAGAUUUAUCAUCAUUUUUAAGGAGAACAUAAAUUGUUUUUAACAAAUUGGUAAAAAAAUAAUGUUAUUUACUGACUAAAGACAUAAAAAUAAAAGCAAAAAAUUAAAAAAAAAAAAAAAAAAAAAAAAAAAAAAAAAAAAAAAAUAAAAAAAAAAAAAAAAAAAAAAAAAAAAAUAAAAAAAAAAAAAAAAAAAAAAAAAAAAAUAAAAAAAAAAAAAAAAAAAAAAAAAAAAAAAAAAAAAAAAAAAAAAAAAAGAAAAAAAAAAGAAAAAAUAAAUGGGGCAAGUCUCUUGCCCCGCUUUAACCGAGUAUGGGUAUGAGGUACGAUAACAAAAGUACCUGACUGGACCGGGAUGGGAAUGACCGACGCAUCCCAUACCUGUCUCGUUGUCAUCUCUAAUUGCAGGACUAGUGAAAUAGGACCAACACACUUCACUGACUAUACAGUCUGUACUAUUAGCUUCGUAAUUUUUGGGGUUUUUCUCCUUGUACAGUUCACGAGGGACUGUACAAGGUACAAUCCCCUCACAUGAAGGGGUCUUUUUAUGUGAGAGAAUUGUGCAUGAUAUUGUGUUCACAGCACUAUCCUAAUUUUUAUGACGAUGAAUGAAUGAACGGGGACAGGCCCCGAAUUAUCUUCCUCUAUUUGAGGAGCAUUUUCUAUUAUUGAAUUUGCAUGGCUAGUUCGGUCCAAUUUAAGUAGCUCUAAAAAAACUAUUCAUACCUAAUAUACACACAAACUGUUCUAUACAAAGUGAAACCUUAGUUCCCAUUCAAUUGUUAAGGGUUGAAAUUUAGGGAAACCUAUGGUGUACCCUACAAAUCUUUUUGUCUGAUAAAACCGCAUUUUCAUUUAAAGUUCACAACCAUUUUGAAAAUAUUGGUUCUUCGACAAAUCGUCAUGUUCAAAUGCUCAAAUAUCAGCUGAGAAAUGUUGCACUAUGUUUUUUAGUUGACCAAGUGAUUAAAUGACUUCGAUAACCUAGAGAUAAUAUAAGCUGAGUGCUAGCUUGAUGAAGCGUUGCGUAACACAAUUUACAUUUUGAUCGAUAAUUAAUUAAGUUUCAAUCAGUGAACAAUGGUUGUUACCUUGUUCUUAUAAGAUCGUAGUAUCAGAUAUUCCGCCAAUUCGAGUAAGCAACUUGUUAUAAUUGCACAAUAGAGUUUUGAGCAGUGACACUAGAACAUCUUGCAGUACAUUAAAUUGAAACAUGUGUUAAAAUUUAAAUAUUAUAGCAUGAACAUAUGAAUAAUUCUAUUUCACGUGACCGUCUUGUAAAUUACUCAAGUCAUAGACGAUAUAAUUAUCACUAUUCUAACUUGAUAUGCUACUAAGGGAUGAUAUUGUCAAAUACACUGAUAUGUUUGGUAUUUGAGAGUAAGAGUAACAAACAUUUAUUUUAUUUUUUUCCCUUUUAAAGAAGCCGCGUUAAUCAUUUUUAUUUUUUUAUGUUAAAUAUUUAAGUCCGAAAACACGAUAACAUCUGUAUUGAUUCAUAGGACCGCUGGAGAAAAUGAGAACUUAGAAAUAAAAAUAAUGUAUUUAUUCACAGGACCACUGGAGAAAAUGAGAACUUAGAAAUAAAAAUAAUAAUGACUUUGCUACAUGUACAUCAAACUUUACAUAAUGACUUUCAUAAUGCCAACUUUACAUAAUGAAUUUCAUAAUGCCACGUCAGGCCAUCAUUUGUCAGUUCAAACUACAAUCAACUUUUUCAUCCAAUCUUUCUCCUCUACAUCAUUUUAUGAAGUCCUUUAUGCACAUUUUUAUGCACAUUUUUUAUGUACAAAUAGCAUAAUCCUUAUGAAGUCCUUUAUGCACAUUUUUUAUGUACAAAUAGCAUAAUCCUAGAGUUAUACGAUGUAAUUGCAUAAUCUAUGGUUUCAUAUAAUUCAAUACUGCAAUCUCCACUCUUAAACGAGGAUAGAAAAGUAUCCAUAUAACGCAAACAAUGACAGAGAUAGUGCAGAGACGCGUUAAACCUGUAUAGCUUCAUUAAAUGUUACAAAGUUGGAUACGAUUUAAAGUCAUCAGCAACAAAUGCAAAAAGCAGCCUUUUAAUCAAAAACAAAAAUAAACAACUCAAAUCUCACAGUGCUGACAUUCCUCAAGCUUAUUAUAACAUUUCAAAACAAGUCUUAAAGACAGAAAAAGGGGUAGAAAAAAAAAAAAAAAAAAAGCCUAAAAAUUACAUAUUGCCCGAUUGCCCUCCAUAAUAUAGCGGAAAGAUUGAGGGAUGCAGAAGUUUGGCCUAGUACUUGUAGUCCUUGACGUGAAGGCUCUCAGAGGCGCCCUCACUCAAUGCACCACCCUGGUAAGUUCCAAGGGUUGCUUCGGAAUUGGCCUUGCACCUUGCAAGGAAUGCAGCCUGAGCCUUCCCAAUGUUUUCAUCCUUUCCAGCCCAAGCCUUGAGGGUGCUCUGCUGCAGAGCACGCCCAAAAGAGAAAGAAAGGGACCAUGGCUUCUUGGUCUUCAGUUUGUUCAUCGCGUUAAGAUUUCGUGUAGCCUCCUCUUCGCUCUGCCCACCAGACAAAAACACCACAGCAGGAACUGCAGCAGGCAUUGUGCGUUGAAGGGCACGAACUGUGUGCUCGGCAAUGACCUCUGGUGCAACCUUGGCAGAAUCAGAUCCUGGGGUAACCAUAUUAGGCUUCAACAAAGUUCCCUCAAGGAGGACGUGAUGAUCAUUAAGUGCCUUGUAGCAAGCAGCAAGAACACGUUCAGUCACGUCAGCACACUUGUUGAUAUCAUGGGAACCAUCAACAAGGAUCUCGGGCUCAACAAUAGGUACAAGACCAUUCUCCUGGCAGAUGAUGGCAUAACGGGCUAGGCCAUUGGCAUUUUCAUUGAUUGCAAGCUGUGAUGGCUCAGUAGGACCAAUCUUGAGAACAGCCCUCCAUUUAGCAAACCUAGCACCAGCUGCAUAGUACUGCUGGCAGCGUUGAGCAAGGCCAUCGAGACCUUGGGUGGUGGUCUCACCAUUGGUACCAGCUAGCUCCACUGUACCCUUGUCGACCUUAAUCCCUGGGAGGACUCCAGCCUCCUUCAUGACAUCAACAAAUGGCUUUCCUGCAAACUCAAAAUAACAAAGUUCUGUUAGUUUCUUCAAUCAUUUUCAAUUAAUUAGUAAUAAUUACUCGUCUUUUAAUGAAUCCUGAACCACAACAGACCGACCAUAUAUACUAUGAUCCUCUACAAACUAUAUACCUGUUGCAGUCUUCUGAUAUAGUGUUUCCUCAAAGAGGAUAACACCACUGAGGUAUUGAAGAGCACCAGGAGUGGUGAAAAGAAGCUCACGUAGAGCCCUCCUGUUUGUCUCAACAUUCUCGACAUUGAUGCUAGCUAGACGCUUGCCAAUUGUGCCAGUCGACUCAUCAGCAGCAAGGAUACCCUUUCCAGGGGUCCCAAUGUAUGCAGCAUUGGCAAUGAGCUCAUCUAUGAAAAGGAAUAAAUUACUAAGAUACAGGAGAAAUAUGCACAAACAAUCAAAGAAACACAAUACCAUUUCUAGUAUAACUCCUAAUAUAACUAGAUCUAACAUAUAUAUACAGAAUAAAAUCCACAAUUUCCUCAAAUUAAAAGUUGACCUUGUCAAUGUAACACAAAUUAUCUUGAACAAUUUCACCAAUCUCAUGAUGCCAUACCCAGAAAUAGUAAGAAACAUUUUUUUUUUUUUAAGUUACAGUUAUCUAAAUCAUAUUGUUCAACAAUUAAUAUAUAAAAAAAAAAAAAAAAAAACCCAUAUUUUUAGAGCAACUGAAAAUUUGAUCGUAAGGAUUAUUUCAUUAGUAAAAAAUUAAUGGAGGCUACAAAAGAUCCAGGCCCCAAGGCACACCUAGGAAAACUUGUACCCUCAAAAUGUCCAUAUAACUAAUGCUUAAGCUGCAGUAAAAUCCAAUUCAACAGUAAAAAUCAAUGAAAAAUAUCAUGCCAAAAACUGUUCUUGAGCAGAUCAGAUAAAAUAAAAUAAAAUCUCAGGCCAACGCACUCAAAUUCAAACUUUAGACAAAUUGAAAGAAAUGGUGUUCCAAAAAUUCACAAAUAAAACCAAAAAAGUUGCAGAUCUGAAAAAUAACAAACAAAAGGAAACAACUAGGUUACCCGGAUCUAAUGAAAAAUACAAUCAUUUCAAGGCAGAAAAUAGAUAAAUAAAUAAAAUCAAACUACACUAGUAUAGGAAAAUUCAAGACAAUAAAUAGGCGAAAAACAAUUUACCGGCGUACUUUCCCUUAUAGCAAGACAUGGUUACAGAGGAAGAAAUUGAAGAAACAAAUAGUGUUUAUCGAGAGAGAAAUAUAGAGGCCGAAGCAGAGUUUGGUGGAGUGAGUGAUGAUUGCUGUUAGGGUUUUAAUUAUAGUGCGUGGGGCUACAAAGUUACCAUCGAUAUUAUCGCUAAAUCAAAUCUGGACCCUCCUAAAGGAAAAACUCGUUCUGUGAUUUGACUAUUUUGUCCUUAUAAAAUCCAUUCUCUUGCAUUAAACGCCCUCAACCUUUGAUGAAUAGCACUUUGAUCCCUAACCUUCAUACUGGGGCUUUUUAUGUCCCCUUUUUGGUAAUAUUUUGGUGAGUUUAAACUACACGUGAAUUUAUUUUGUUCUUUUUUUUUUUUUAACCAUUUCUCAUGUUUUAGUUAAAUUUUUUGUUCAUAUAAUGAUCACGGUAAAAAUAUUUUUUUAAUAAAAUUUCAAAUUAUAAUCAAAAGAUAGGAUAAAAGUGGUAAAAUAUAUUUUAAUAAUUGUUAUGCAUUUCACAUUAUUUGUUGUUGAGGAAAAUAUCUAUGGUGAGGGAGAAAACAAAUUUGAUAAAAUACAUGUAUGUAAUGACAUCAUUUUUCAAAAUGUUCAUGCUGAAAAAAUGGAUUUUUGUCUUAUCAGAGUUCUCAUCCAAUUAAUUACUUAUUAAAUGGUAUGAACUUUUGAUAUAUCAUCCGUGAAUUUGGCAAGCAACUACCCAAUCAAGAAUAAUAUUUGCCGUGAAAUUGGGAUCUGACGCAUGACAUCUUUAUUCUUGAUCAAGAAUAAAGAUGUCAUGCAUCAGAUCCCAAUUUCACGGCAAAUAUUUUUCGAUGGCUCCAAUAUGAAAGGUGGCACUAGAGUAAAUCUAUUUUUUUUCCCUCUCUCGGUGAAUGUUGGUCCAUCCAUUAAGGACGAGAGCUGCCAAAACAAAUAGGUGGCUACGUAAAUAUCCAUUUUAGAAUUGUUAACCAAACUAUCAAAUGCUUCAAAGAUGAGGGACCUAUGUUGCUAUUUUGUUCAUCAUCCGCAAUAUUAAGGUUAUACAUGUAAUUAAUGUUAAGCUAAGGGGUAUAUUCCUUGGAUUCCACGAAAACCACAUAUUGACAUUUGGUGGGUGGGAAGUGUCAGUCAAAACAAGGGAAAAAAAUGGCCCACAGCACAAGGCGGUUGUAUAGGGUGGAGCAACCUUUUUGCUGGAGAAAGUGGAAAAAUGAAAACCAACUGCGACACCUAAAACGGCGGCGGGUUCCGUAGGUGGUAUUGGCCUGCUGUAUUAGUUCCUUCUCCUGCACGUAUUAGUAGCGUGGUUUCGCUUCGAAUAAUGCUAUUUGUUGAUAACCAUUCGCAAUACAGGUUUAUUAAGCUUCCGUUUGGUUUGUUAAAAAUCAUAUAAUAAAGUUGAUAAGAAAUAUGAUUGAAAAAUUAAUAAAAAUUAUAAAAUCUAUAAAUUAUGAAGUUAAAAUUAAUUAUUAUUUUCAAAUAAUGUGUUUUGCAUGAAAAUUUUGAGCAACAAGAACUAGACCACACGGGACCUAAUACAUGACCAAGGGACGGCACAAUAUAAGUCCCUAUUUGGCAAUUAUUAUUUAGAUAAAAUGAAAUUUUGAAUAGUGAUUUUUUGGAAAAUGUAUGAUUAAAAAAUAAGAAAAUUUUUUGAAUUUAAGUGUAAAAUAUUUAAUUUUGUGAAUGUGUUGUUGAAAAUGAAUAUGUAAAAUAAAUUGAAAUAAUGAUUAUCAAACUGGAAAAUGAAUAAACAUAAAAGUCAAUUUUUAUGCACUAUAAUGGUUGUUACUCGUUAUCUUCCACACCCUUCAUUGUUACUCAACUUUUAUUUUAUAUAUACAAAAUUUAUAUCAUAGGUUCAAUAGUUAAUAGAAUAAUAUUCUAGUCCCCAUUUGAAUCUCAUUCUUUGGCCACAAAAAUAAAAAAUAUGACCAUUAUUCAUUACAUCAAUUCACCAUAUUUAACUUUCUAUUUCUUGUAUGAGUCACGUAACAAUUAUAUUUUUCAUUCUCAUUUUUAAAUCUAUGUGAAUCAAACGGGCUCUAAUGUAUUUCCUAUCUAUGUAAGCAAGAACUAGAUGCUAUUAGUAUGCCUAAAACCUUCUCAAAAAAUAGAAGGUCGUUUAAUUAACAAAACCUACAUCCAUCGGGAAUUAGAAAAGUACAUAUACUGCAGUGAAAGAAGCAUCACAACCCCUCUUGUGGUAACAAUACAUUAAGGUCCCGUUUGGUACCCAUUUUUUUUCAAAAUGUAUUUUUCUCUCUCUUCUUUUCAACUACACAUUCUUUAUUAAAAUAAUAUUACACGUAAAUCAGAAACAUUUUCUUAUUUUUCAACCACAUGUUCCCAUCAAUUUACUAUUCAAAAAUGCAUUUUUACAUAAAAAUAUCUCUCAGACACCCUAUAAUACUUGUGCCAUUUAUUCAAAAUAAAGAACAUGAAUCCAGUUAGUGGUUGUAAUCAGGUGUGAGAAGAAUCUAACUUGUGAAAUUGGAAUUGUCACCAAAUUGCAAGUCACGGGUUACUGCAGAAUUAAUCUCCAUAUAUAUGAAAGGUGACUAAAUUGCUUCUCAAAUAACUGAAAGAAGAAUUAACUUGUAAUAUCAAAUUUACAAGAAAGAUCCGAUUGAGAAAGGAAUUUAUAAUUGGACUUAAGCAAUUUUGUCAUUUAUAUAGAAGCAGGAAGAUUACAAGGAGAUUCAUUAAACUACAAAGUGAAAUGAUCAAUCCUAUAAUGAGAUUUCGUCAUCUGUUAUGUAACAAAGAAGAAUGUUUCUAUUUUCUCUAUCAGUUAAACAAGUUGAAAUAAAAUAUAAAGCAUGGAUGAUUGUACACUAAUUAACCUGCUUGGCUAAGGCACCCAAAUUAUAUCAUCAAGAGGACAUGUUCACAUUUUUUUUUGCUAAUUAUUUGAAGAUCUGUAUGUUUUUGCCGUUAGUUUAUCUUUUUAAAACAUGUAUACCCAUUAAGUGCAUAAAUAAUCAUUCUCAAAGUGUUUGCAAUAUAAAUUCAUUUAUUUAAUAUACUCAAACACACAGAAAGAGUCAAAGUCUCACAGCGGCUCAUUACUACACUUCAAACUAUAGAAAAGCAGGUAGAGAAUUGAAAAACCAGCUUAAAAACAGCAUAUUGCCGAUUACCACCACCCUGGUGAGCUCCACGGGCUGCUUCAGAAUUGGCCUUGCACCUUGCGAGGAAUGCAGCCUGAGCCUUCCCAAUGUUUUCGUCCUUUCCAGCCCAAGCCUUGAGGGUGCUCUGCUGCAGAACACACCCAAAAGAGAAAGAAAGGGACCAUGGCUUCUUGGUCUUCAGUUUGCUCAUCACGUCAAGAAUAAGUGUAGCCUCCUCUUCGCUCUGCCCACCAGUCAAAAACACCACAGAAGGAACUGCAACAGGCAUUGUGCGUUGCAGGGCACGUACUGUGUACUAAGCAACGAUCUCUGGUGCAACCUUGGCAGCAUCAGAUCCUGGGUCACCAUAUUAAGGCUCAACAAAGUUCCCUCAAGGAGGACGUGAUGGUCGCUGAGUGCCUUGUAGCAAGCAGUAAGAACACGUUCAGUCACCUCAGCACACUUGUUGAUGUCAUGGGAACCAUCAACAAGGAUCUCGGGCUCAACAAUAGGUACAAGACCGUUCUCCUGGCAGAUGAUGGCAUAACGGGCUAGGCCAUUGGCAUUUUCAUUGAUUGCAAGCUGUGAUGGCUCAUUAGGACCAAUCUUGAGAACAGCCCUCCAUUUAGUGAACCUAGCACCAUCUGCAUAGUACUGCUGGCAGCGUUUAGCAAGGCCAUCGAGACCUUGAGUAGUGGUCUCACCAUUGGUGCCGGCUAGCACCACUGUCCCACUGUCGAUCUUAAUCCCUGGGAGGACUCCAAACUCCUCCAUGACAUCAACAAAGGGCCUUCCUGCACUCAAAAUAACAAAGUUCUAUUAGCUUCUUCAAUCAUUUUCAAUUAAUUAGUUAUAAUUACUCGUCUUUCAAUGAAUCCUGAACCAUAAUAGAACUGAGUACAUAACCUGCUGCAGUCUUCUGAUAUAGUGUUUCCUCAAAGAGGAUAACACCACUGAGGUAUUGAAGAGCACCAGGAGUGGUCAAAAGAAGCUCACGUAGAGCCCUCCUGUUUGUCUCAACAUUCUCAACAUUGAUGCUAGCUAGAUACUUGCCAAUUGUGCCAGUCGACUCAUCAGCAGCAAGGAUACCCUUUCCGGGGGUCCUAAUGUAUGCAGCAUUGGCAAUGAGCUCAUCUAUGAAAAGGAAUAAAUUACUAAGAUACAGGCAGGGCGGCCCACAAAUUUUAGGUGCCCUGUGCGACAUUUCAAAAUGGUGCCUCUUUCGUGUAAUAAAAAAUAUAUUAUAAAAAAAUAAUUCAAUAACAUCAUUUCAACCAAAAAUAUGACAUUUAAAAAUUUGUUUAUUUUUUUUACAUAUUGUUAAUAAAAUAAUAAAACUAAAGCUCAAAAGCAUUCUCCGAACUUCAUCAAAAUUUAUGUCAUCAAUAGAGAAUCAUCCAAACUACUAACCUCUUGGUACAAUUUCAUAUGAGCAAACUUUGAAAUCAAAAAUAGCCAAGUACCACAUAUAAAUCUUGAAAUACAACAAAUCAUGUAAAAAUAUUUGUUCUCGCAUUUUUGCAUUUUUAGAAAUGAACUCACUAAUUAAACUUUCUAAUCAAUAUGUUUUAGCAAAUCCAUUUUAAUAAAUAUCAAAACUAACGCAUUCAAUCAUAGUUAUAAAAUGGUUGACACAAAUUAGAUUUUAAUAGCUUUAGUUUCGAAUAACAUUUUUUGACAAAUGCAACAAUAACAAUAAUUAUCAAUAGUAUUAUAUGAGCAAUAAAUAUAUUAAAAAAGCAAUCUAAUCUUCUCAAAUAAGUCAAUAUAUCAAAAGCUAUUUUUGUUUCUUUUGGUAAAAAAAAUUCACAAAAAUUGAAUUUAAUCAACUAUCAGUUAUUACCCAACAAAAACUAACCAUUCUAGAACCAAAAUAAUAAUAAUUAUUAUCAUCAUCAUGAAAUAGCAAUUCACAAGUGGACUCGUUCUUGUGACAUGAUUGAUCGCAAAUAAGAUUUUAAUAGCUUUAAUUUUGAAAAAUAAUUUUUGACAAAUGCAACAACAAUAAUAAUUGUCAAUAGUAUUCUAUAAGCAAUAAAAAUAUUCGAAAAGCAAUCCAAUCUUCUUAAAUAAGUCAAUAAAUCAAAAGUUAUUUUGUUUCUUUUAGUAAAAAAAUUUGUAAAAAUUGAAUGUGAUUAACUAUCAGUUAUCAUCCAAUAAAAACUUACCCUUCAAAAUAAAUAAAAAAUCAUAAAUAGCAAUUCACAAGUGGACAACGGGAUCCAACAAAUAGAUUGUACUAUUAUAGAAUAAGUAAUAAAGAUUGACAAUAAAGUUUCCUCUCUAUCUUAUUUGACUAUUUUUCGUGGGUUAAAGGAUGAAAAUGAGAGAACUGAUAAAAAGGGAUUUAGUAUUAGCUUUUCACUCUCCAUUUUAAUCAUUUGAAUUUUGGGCUACUUAUUUUCUUUUUAGGUUGGUAAUUGAUUAAUGAAGCUAAUUAGACAUUUGAUAUUGUGACUAGUAAAAUAGAUAGUUUAUAAUAUUUUUGAAAGCAAGAUAGUUUAGAAUUAUAAUUUUUUUUUUCAAUAUAUGUUAAAUUAAACAUUUAUUUUCAAUGAUCUAUUAAAUUAAACAAAUAUUAACAUAAAAUAAAAUUUUUUUACUCUUUCUUCGUAAAUAUUGUGCCUUUAACUUAAUAUAAUAAUAACAAUUUUAAAUCUUAAAAUUAAUAAAAUAAUAUGUACCAUUAUAAAUAUGUACUUCUACAUAUAUAUAGACUUAUAAAAAUAAAAUAAAAAAAUGGUGCCCCUACAAUGUUCAGGCCCUAUGAGGUCGCUCAACUCGCACGCCCUCAGAGCCGCCUCUGGAUAUAGGAGAACAAUCAAAGAAACACAUCAUAUAUUCACCCAAAAAUUAGCUGUACCAUCUAGUAAAUAAACAAAGCAGUAAUUAUUAUGCAGGCAUUCAGAUUUAUUGAAGACAGGCUAUGUUUGAUCUACUACAAACAAAUCUAAAAAACUAUAUAUCUGUUUUUUUUUUUUUUUUUUAAUCCCACGUAAAUAUCCGAUACCAUUUCUAGUAUAACUCUAUUAUAACUAGAUCUAACAUAUAUAAACAGAAUAAAAUCCAUAAUUCCUCCUCAAAUUUAAAGGUAGGCCUAGAGAGUGUAACACAAAUUAUCUUGAACAAUUUCACCAAUUUCAUGAUGCUAUACGCAGAAAUAGCAAGAAAUCAAUUUUUUUUUAGAGCAACUGGAGAUUUGAUCAUAAUCAUAGUAAAAAAUUAAUGAAGGCCACAACAGAUCCAGGCCCCAAGGCACACCUAGGAAAACUUGAAACCUCAAAAUGUCCAUAUCAAUAAUGCUUAAGCUGCAGUAAAAUCCAAUUAAACAGUAAAAAUCAGUGAAAAAUGUCACGCCAAAAACUGUUCUUGAACAGAUCAGAGAAAAUAAAAUCUCCAGCCAACACACUCAAAAUUCAAACUUUAGACAAAAUUGAAAGAAAUAGUGUUCUAAAAAUUCAUAAAUAAAACCAAAAAAAUCUCCAGAUCUGAAAAAUAACAAACAAAAGGAAACAACUAGGUUAGAUAAAUAGAUCAAGGCAGAAAAUAGAUAAAUAAAUAAAAUCAAACUACACUAGUAUAGGAAAAUUCAAGACAAUAAAUAAAAAUACAAUCAUUUCGAGGCAGAAAAUAGACAAAUAAAUAAAAUCAAACUACACCAGUGUAGGAAAAUUCAAGACAAUCAUUUCGAGGCAGAAAAUAGAUAAAUAAAUAAAAUCAAACGACACCAGUGUAGGAAAAUUCAAGACAAUAAGUAAAAAUACAAUCAUUUCGAGGCAGAAAAUAGAUAAAUAAAUAAAAUCAAACUACACCAGUGUAGGAAAAUUCAAGACGAUAAAUAAAAAUACAAUUAUUUCGAAACAGAAAAUAGAUAAAUAAAUAAAAUCAAACUACAAAAGUAUAGGAAAAUUCAAGACGAUAAAUAAAAAUAAAAUCAUGUCAAGGCAGAAAAUAGAUAAAUAAAUAAAAUCAAACUACACCAGUGUAGGAAAAUUCAAGACGAUAAAUAAAAAUACAAUCAUUUCGAAACAGAAAAUAGAUAAAUAAAUAAAAUCAAAAUACAAAAGUAUAGGAAAAUGCAAGACGAUAAAUAAAAAUACAAUCAUUUCAAGGCAGAAAAUAGAUAAAUAAAUAAAAUCAAACUACACCAGUAUAGGAAAAUUCAAGACAAAAAUACAAAUAAAAUCAAACUACACCAGUAUAGGAAAAUUCAAGACAAAAAUACAAUCAUUUCGAGGCAGAAAAUAGAUAAAUAAAUAAAAUCAAGCUACGCUAGCAUCGGAAAAUUCAAGACCAUAAAUAAAAAUACAAUUAUUUCGAGUCAGAAAAUAGAUAAAUAAAUAAAAUCAAACUACACUAAUAUAGGAAAAUUCAAGACAAUAAAUAAAAAUACAAUCAUUUCGAGGCAGAAAAUAGAUAAAUAAAUAAAAUCAAACUACACCAGUGUAGGAAAAUUUAAGACGAUAAAUAAAAAUAUAAUCAUUUCGAAACAGAAAAUAGAUAAAUAAAUAAAAUCAAACUACAAAAGUAUAGGAAAAUUCAAGACGAUAAAUAAAAAUAAAAUCAUGUCAAGGCAGAAAAUAGAUAAAUAAAUAAAAUCAAACUACACCAGUGUAGGAAAAUUCAAGACGAUAAAUAAAAAUACAAUCAUUUCGAAACAGAAAAUAGAUAAAUCAAUAAAAUCAAAAUACAAAAGUAUAGGAAAAUUCAAGACGAUAAAUAAAAAUACAAUCAUUUCAAGGCAGAAAAUAGAUAAAUAAAUAAAAUCAAACUACACCAGUAUAGGAAAAUUCAAGACAAAAAUACAAAUAAAAUCAAACUACACCAGUAUAGGAAAAUUCCAGACAAAAAUACAAUCAUUUCGAGGCAGAAAAUAGAUAAAUAAAUAAAAUCAAGCUACGCUAGCAUCGGAAAAUUCAAGACCAUAAAUAAAAAUACAAUUAUUUCGAGUCAGAAAAUAGAUAAAUAAAUAAAAUCAAACUACACUAAUAUAGGAAAAUUCAAGACAAUAAAUAAAAAUACAAUCAUUUCGAGGCAGAAAAUAGAUAAAUAUAUAAAAUCAAACUACACUAGUCCAGGAAAAUGCAAGACUAAUAGGUGAAAAACAAUUUACCGGCGUAAUUUCCCUUGUAGCAAGACAUGGUUACAGUGGAAGAAAUUGAAGAAACAAAUAGUAUUUAUUGAGAGAGGAAUAAAACAGAAACAGAGUUCGGUGGAGUGAUUGAAAAAUGGGGUUUGUAGGUUUUUAUAGAGGAACUUUUCCCAUGCUAGCAGAAAAUUUUUUCACAUGAAACCUACAGAAAUCUCUCGAUGAAGUGGAUGUCAAUGAAUAAAAUAAUGCAAAAACCCCACAGACUCAUUGCUGUGUCGAUUCUGUAUAUGUUUUGUGUGUAUAUUUUUUGCAUUUUAUCGCCUAAUCUGGACCCUUCUCCACAGUGAUUUGACUAUUUUGUCCUUAUAAAAUUCACAAACCUUUGAUGAAUCCUUCAUUGUGGGGCUUUUAUGUCCCCUUAUUUGGUAAUAUUUUGGUGAAUUUCUUUUGUCCUUUUACUAUUAUUUAUUAUUUUUUUUCAUUUUCCGUGUUUAGGGUUUUGGGUCAUUUUCCCUUUUUUAUUUAAAAUUUUUAUUUAUAUAGUUCUUGUUUGACCCCCAUUAAAUUAAAUUUUAUUUUUCUCUCUCAUAUUUUUAAUCACACAAUCUUCCAUAAAAUAAUAUUACACGUAGAAAAUUUUUCUUCCUUUUCAACCACUCAUUCUUUAAAAAAAUAUUUUCCACCCAUUUUAAUUUGAUAAAAUGAGAGCCAAACGGGAAUGAUCACGGUAAAAAUAUAUUUUAAAUAAAAUUUCAAAGUUUAAUCAGAGAUAGGAUAGAAGUGGUAAAAUAUUUUAAUAAUUUUUAUGUAUUUCAUAUUAUUUGUUGCUAAGGCAAAUAUAUAUGGUGAGGGAGAGAAUUGAUUUGAUCAAACACAUGUAAUGACAUCAUUUUUCAAAUUGUUCAGACUGAGAAAAUGGAUUUUUGCCUUGACAAAGUUCUCACCCAAUUAUUUACUUAUUUAAGGGAAUGAACUUUUGAUAAAUCAUGACUUUGGGAAGCAAUUGCCCAAUCCGGAAUAAAGAUAUCAUGUAUCAAACCCCAAUUUCAUGACAAAUGUUUUUCGAUGGCUCCAAUAUGCGAGGCACUAGAGUAAAUCUAAUUUUUUUUCUUCUCUCGGUGAAUGCUGGUCUAUCCAUUAAGGACCUGAGAACUACCAAGACAAACAGGCGGUUACGUAAAUAUCUAUUUUAGAAUUGUUAACCAAACUAUCAAAUGCUUCAAAGAUUAGGGACCUAUGUUGCUAUUUUUUUUCCACAUCCGCAAUAGAAAGGUUAUACAUUUUUAAUGUUAAGCAAAGAGGAAUAUUCGUUGGAUUCCACCAAAACCACGGAUUGACAUCAUUAGUUGCGCGGCUUCCAAUCGACUAAUGGUAUUUGUUGCAGUCAAGGUUUAUUAAGCUCUUGUUUCAUUUUGUUAAAAUAUUUUUAGUUGAUUUUAAUAAAGUUGUUAAGAAAUAUGAUAGAAAAUUAAUAAAAAAAUAUGAAACAUAUAAAAUAUAGAGUUAAAAUUAAUUAUUAUUUUCAAAUCAUGUAUUGCGCAUGAAAAUUUUGAGCAGCAAGAACUAGACCACGUGAGGACCUAACCUAAUACAUAACCAAGAGACGGCACACCCCUGUUUGACAAUCAUUAUUUGGGUAAAAUGAAAUUUCGAUUAGUGAUUUUUUGAAAAAUAUGUAGUUAAAAGUAGAAAAAAUUUGGAUUUAAGUACUAAAUAUUUUAUUGUGUAAAUAUGUGAUUGAAAAUUAAUACAUAGAAAAAAAAUUUUAAAUAACGAUCCUCAAACUGGGUAAAUGAAUAAACAUAAAAAGUUAAUUUUCAUGCACUGUGAUUGGUUGUUACUGGUCAACUUCCACACCAUUCAAUUGGUACUCAACUUUUGUUUUAUAUUUACACAAUUUUUUAUACAAUGAUCAUUGUAUAAGAAGAAUGUGGUUGUCUUGUGGUAAAAAUGUAUUUUUAAUAAAAUUUCAAAGUUUAAUCAAAAGAUGGGAUAAAAGUGAUCAAAUAUAUUUUAAUAAUUUUUAUGUAUUUCACAUUAAUUGUUGUUGAGGAAAAUUUCUAUGGUAAGGAAGAGAUCAGAUUUAGUCAAACACAUGUAAUGACAUCAUUUUUCAAAAUGUUCAGACUAAAAAAAGGGAUUUUUAACUUGUUAGAGUUCUCAUCCAAUUAUUUACUUAUUAUUAACUUUUGAUAAAUCAUUUAUGACUUUGUGCAGCAAUUGCCCACUCCUUAAUAAAGAUGUCAUGCUUUCAGACCCCAAUUUCAUGGCAAAUGUUUUUCGAUGGCUCCAAUAUGCAAGAUGGCACUAGAGUAAAUCUCAUCUUUUUUCCUCUCUGGGUGAAUGUUGGUCUAUCCAUUAAGGACCUGAGAACUAACAAGACAAAUAGGUGGUUACAUAAAUAUCCAUUUUAGAAUUGUUAACCAAGCAAUCAAAUGCUUCAAAGAUUAGGGACCUAUGUUGCUAUUUUUCUUCUCAUCCGCUAAAUAAAAGGUUAUACAUGUCAUUAAUGUUAAGCUAAGGAAGGCCUUAGGGGAAUAUUCCUUGGUGUACACCAAAACCACAUGGUUUCCCGUCAACUAAUGCUAUUUGUUGAUAACCAUUUUCACACCAUGUUUCAAUCCAGCUGUAUUAUGCUCUUGUUUCAUUUUGGUAAAAAUCAUAUUUUUAGUUGAUUUUAAUAAAAUUGAUAAGAAAUAUGAUAGAAAAUUAAUAAAAAUUAUGAAAUAUAUAAAAUAUGUAGUUUAAAUUAUUUUCAAAUCAUGUAUUUCGCAUGAAAAUUUUGAGCAUCAAGAACUAGAUCAUGCGAGGACCUAAUACAUAACCAAGAGACGGCACAAUAUAAGCCCCUGUUUGGCAAUAUUAUCUGAGUAAAAUGAAAUUUUGAAUAGUGAUUUUUGAAAAAUGUGUAAUUAAAAGUAGAAAAAAAUUUGGAUUUAAGUAUUAAAUAUUUUAUUGUGUAAAUGUGUGCUUGAAAAUUAGUACAUAAAAAAAUUAAAAUAAUGACGUCCAACUGGGUAAAUGAAUAACAUAAAAAGUUAAUUUUUAUGCACUAUGAUUAGUUGUUACUGGUCAACUUCCACACCAUUCAAUUGGUACUCAACUUUUGUUUUAUAUUAAGGGAGUUUGUUUCCCAUUUUGGUAAAAAUAAGAAUGAAAAAUAUAGUCGUUAUGGAUCCCACACAAAAGAUAGAAAUUCAAAUUUGGUAACUUGAUGUAAUGAAUAACGAUCAUAUUUUUCAUUUUAAUGAAAAAAGAAUGGAAAACAAAUGGGGGCUUACAAAAUUUUUCAUAGGUUCAAUAUUUAAUAGAAUAAUCUUCUAAUAUCAAUUCAUGUCGUCAUGAUUUUCUUUUCGUUUCAUUUUUUCUUUUCCUCUCUUUUGUGGUUAUAAGUGUUAAAAUAAGCGAUCAAAUAUUUUUCUUAAUCUUGGCACUGUUUUUGAGAAUUGAUUUUAUGACCGUUAAGAGAAAAGUGGGAGGCUACCUGUAAAAGAAGAAGUCAAAUUUUAUGGUUGAAAUAGUAAAAUAAUGAUAAAAAAAAAUCAAUUUUUUGAGUUGAAAAAUCACUCCCAAACACCCCUUUGUUAAUAAUAGUAUAUUCCAAAAGGAAUAGACUUUUUCUCUCACAGAACUAUUAUCACGUAGAAACAGAUGACAAUUAUCGGAAAAAUAAGAUUAGUCAAAACUAAAUGCCUUCUGGAAACUGGAAGUCUGAAAAAUCAGAUUAGUUAGGAAUAAAUAAAUGCCUAAUGGCGAUGUAUAUGACGAGGACAGAAUAACAAUUAUCCAGAAAUCAGGAAUCUAGUAAUAAAUAAAUGCUUAAUUGCGUUGGAAAUGGCAUGGAAAGAGAGAGUAGUUCUCUCGAAAAUCAGACUAGUUAAAAUAAAUGCCAACUUUUGUGUAAACAUCUUUGUUAUCUUCACGAUUAGCAUUAUAAAAGACGUUUAAAAGUGUAGAGAAACACCAAUUCACAUUCACAGCAAAGAAGCUCUAUGGGAAGUUCAUCAAUGGCUUCAACUUCGAUUGGAAGGCAUCUUUGCCCUUAUACUUUAGUAAAACUAAAUUUGUCAUAAGCAUACUAGUUUCAUCUUAUGCCUUUUGCAAAGUGUUUUUCAAUUUCAUUAAAAGAUUCUUUAUCAAAGUGGCGGAUCUAGCACCUAACGAACCCCUGCGACCGCUCGUAUUGGAUCUAUCGAGAGCCCUUUUUUUUUAAAAUAGAUAAAUGUUUAGGAUAUAUUAGUAGUAAUUCUUUUCGUUUUCAAUCAUUCCUUCUAGCCAGGUUGGUUAGUGUGUGCACUUUUUUCUUGGAUGUUCUGGGUUUGAAACUUCUAUCAACCAAUUUAUUAUAUAACAUUUGUAGUUGUCAAAUUUUUACCAAAAAUUAUUGUAAUAUGGAAAUCACGUGAGGGAAAUCGAACCUAGGAGCUUUUCUUAGAAAUAUCGAGAGAUUGACUAUUAUGACACUUAUUGAGUUCUGACAUCAAAUUUAACAAAAUAAUAUAUGUUAGAUUUUAGCAGUUUUAAUGCAAUUGUAAAAAUUCAAACAACAUGCUCUUCCUUUGAAUUAUACAAAGCAACAAUGUCAUUUGGUGAGUACGAUUUAUUCUUAUAAUAGAAUUAUAUAUGUUCAACUUCAACAAAAUAAUUGUUUUAUUUAAAUUUUAAGCCUUAUUUAAUUUCCAUUUAUUUUAGAAUACAUUUUUCUUUCUCUUAUUUUCGAUCAUACAUUUAACAUCCUGAAUUCACCACUGGCAAUAGUUACCUUAUCGGAAACAACGUCACUAAAUGUUUUUGAAAUUUCACGCUUCAUGAUCAAAAGAUUUAUGUGGCUUGAACGAUCAGAUUUAAGAGUAGUUGGUUGUUCAAUCUUUAACACAAUGUCUAGAUCCAUGCCCUUAAAAUUUGGUUUCUUUAAGAACAGAAAUUGAAUUAACGUCGACGGAUAUUGGAAAAUAGAUGAAUUAGCUUAAUAGAGAACUUAAACUUAAAUAACAUGUUCACAUGAGAAUUCGUAUUGGACAAUUAAUAAUUUCAAAUAAUGGUGAACCACAUUAUAAGAGACCGAACACAACAUUAAUAUUUAGUCUUUGGAUAGAAAUAUCAAAUUGUAAAUUGUAACCUCAAUGUAAUAAUCAAAUAUUGUCAAUAAACCAUGUCAAUCAAUAAACAUAUUUUUGAAUCGAUUUAUUGUUCACGUAAACCAAAACUUUAUAGUUGUUUCAUAUUCAUUACCAUAGGUGUGUAUGUAAUUAUGUCAAAUAUUUAACUUUCCUUGGGCCUGUGCGGAUCUGUAUGAAUUACAUACUCCCAACCAUCUUAAUAUUCUAUAUAAAAUAAUUUAGACAAAAGAGAUUACUUUGGUAAUACGUUGUUUCAACUAAUCUAUUUUAAAAAAUUAGUAAUCCGAAAUAAAUUUAAGGGGGUGUUUGAUAAGCAUUUUUACGUAAAAAUGCAUUUUAGAAUAGUCAAUUGAUGUGAAAUGUAUGGUUGAAAAAUAAGGAAUUUUUUUUUAUUUACGUGUAAUAUUAUUUUAAUAAAAAAUGUGUGGUUAAAAAGAAGAGAGAAAAAAAUACAUUUUAAAAAAAAUGACUACUAAACGGGCUCUAAGUAAAGAUUUUAAAAUGAUUGUCCUUUUUUAUUUUCUUUUUCUUUUUCUUUUUGUUUUGUUUUAACAAAAUAAAUAAAUAAAAAUGGACAGAACUCCAUUGCUAGAGCUGGGCACCGCCAUGCUACUUGAAUGGCCGUCGUCGGGCGCCGCAUCCGUCGCAGUUGCCGUUAUAAACCAGAAUUUUUCCAAAAUAUCCCAAAAAAAUUGAAAUUUAGGGUUUUAAAUUUACAUCCCAAAAUUUAGAAAACUAAAUUAAAUUUCAACCUUGAAGAUAUUCAUUUAAUCUCAAUGGUUUAACAUAUUUUGGCUUUGAUACCACUUAUUGAAUCUUUAUGAAACUUAAACUCUAUAAAUUAACAAGAUUUCCAUUUCAGAUCACCAAGACAAUUAAUUAAUGUGGAACAUACAUUGAUCCUUGACUUUAUAUCUUGAAGAUCAUUUUGCAAUCUCCUCCAGAUGGCUUCUUGCUCUCAGUCUUGAUUGCCUUGUUCUUCAAUUUAAGUGCUUCGAUCCUUUUUCUUGAUUCUUGAUUGUAAUUCUUUAAUCUUGAUUGUGGGUUUUGAAUCUUCCUCUUCGAUAUGUUUUCUCUUGUAUUCUUAUGUUGAUGAGAUGACAUAAAGAAUGAGAAUUAUAUAUGAAUUGGAUACCAUAAUCCUAUGUAUAGUUUCCUAUGCAUUUUGUCCAGCAUAAAAUAUAAUUUUAAAAAAAUCUAGCCUCCACACAUAUUUAGGCCUACAUUUAAUUUAGAUGCCCAAAAUUUCUUAUUUGAUCGGGUUUAACAUUAAAAUAGAUUUUAUACACAAUUAAUUACAUAUAUAGACCCACAUAACAAAUUAAUAAUUUUUCAAUGAUAAAAUCUCUCUCUUAUCCCUAGCCCCAUCAAAGAAUUUGAAUCGGAAUGGGUCCAUGGGAAACACAGUCAACACCCCAGAUCAUACUUUUUAUUUUACGAGUGGGGAUCAUGCAUUGCACAAUUAACGUCAUAAUUUUAGAAGGAAUUUUGUUAAAAUGGCAAAUUAUUUUACAAAAUCUAAAUAUUUAAUUAUAUAGACUGAUUCAUGUACUUUUAUAUUAUAUUAGAACAUCAAAACAAGAUUUAUGGUUUAUAUUUUUUGAACAUUCAAAUAUGUUUUGAGUUCAAUAAAUUAGGCACAACAUUGGGUUUUAUGGUUUAAGUUUCGAAGCUUCCCUCUAUAGACAACAGUGGGAGAUUUCUCUCCACUCUAAAACAAUGAAAUCGCUGCGGAACUCAUUUUGUCUAUUCCACACAUAUUCAUGGAAUGAGUGAUGAUAUUAAUAUUAUUUUGAUUUCAAUUGAAUUAAAAGGAUCCCAUUAAUGCCAUGAAAAACUCCAUUCUAAAGUCUCCGUUUCAUUUGAAAAGGAGAAACUUUUAGUUUAUGAAAAUGCUUAAAUAAUAUAAAACAAAUAGACCAAAGGGCAUACAGGCAUAGAGAUAGACACUUGAUAUAAUUAGUAUGUGUGACGAAAUUAUAUAUUAAUGUAUAGUGAGGAACAAGAAAAUGUAUAAACGAACAUAUUCCUUCAAAAAUUCAAUAGUGCAAAACUGUAUAUAAUUGAUAUUGCCAGAAAUGGAUGCAGAUAACAAAAACACCUAUUGGAUCGAACAUUUGUACCUAGAAAUCAAUAGUUUCUUAAAUUAAUUAUAAAGGAGCUACACAAUGAUGACAAAGUUUUAUUCAAUUCAGGUUGGACAUAAUUCAAAUUGUUUGAAGUCGUAAUAUGAAAAGAACACUUGCAUUGUCAUAGCAUUGCAAACUGUUAUAAAACUGAGGUUAUUUAAAGUGUCAAAAUUAUAUUGGAAGUUAAUUUUGUCUCAAGGACAAAUAUCAGCAACACCUAUGCUUACCAUCAAUUUAGCAUAAAACCUUUAAAAUUUCCAUUCAUCAGAUUUAAAACAUCAAAAUGAUAGUAAUAAAAUAUGCCAAGGAAAAAUAAAGUACAAAAAAAAAAAAAGAAAAAAAAAAGGCAUAAACUUAUGAGCUAAAAGUAUCUUGAAAAUUCAUUCCGCCAAAUCACCUAGUACCACCACCAUUGACAGCGUGCUGCUUAAGUCCCCCCCUCUUCACCGUACCUAUCAUAUAUACUCUUCUUCUUACCAUCCAAUAAAACUUCAUCUGCUAUUAAAACCCAACAAAUCAAAAUUGUUUGCAAUCAUUUUACUCAUCACAAAUCCUAACUCAAUAUAAAAACAAAAGUAAGCCAUAUGCCCUAUGUUCAAAAGCUAGCUAUGAUUAUGCAACCAUAUCUACAUCAUAUCCACAAUCAAUGCCGUUAAAAGGGAAAAAAAAAUCUCCAAAGAACUCUAGCUGACUAAGUCAAUUAUUAUUAUUAUUAUUAUUAUUUUUUUUUUUUUUUAAAGGAAAGAAAGAAAGAGUCAACAUGAGAAUAAUGAAUUAUAUGAAUGAAAUAUGCCGCAUUACGUGUAAUGGCCCUUUUAUUUACUGUGAUCUUAUUCACAUAAUGUUAGAAUUAUGUUGGCUGAUCAAAUUAAGUGGAAUGCAUUCUCAAAGCAUUCUGUGUUAAAAUAAUAUACAAAAGACAGCCAAGAGUCGUAAAGAUCAAAUCAUUGAGUAAAAAAUACCAAAAAGAACCCAAGGUUUCUUAUUGUAUAAUCUGCUUAAAUUUUAUCCUAUAGAGAGAUCAAUUCUGAGACCAUACAAAUUUACCAGCAUAAACUCCUCCAAUUUUGCUAACUUCUAUUCAAACUCCAAUCCCACUUGCAAAAUAUCCUUCUAUAACAUAUGCCAACUGUUUUUUACUUCAAUGAAGCGAUAAGUCAUCAAUAUCACCAACUUUUCAUUCAUCUAAUUAUUACAAAUUAUCCUACUCAGGUAGCAAUUCAAAAAAAACCUUACUACCAUUAGCUAAAUGAAGAAUUAAUAGCAUAAGCAGCAGAACUGAAUUAUAAUAGUAGAUAGGAUAAAUAAACAACAAAGUAACAUCUUACAUUUCCUAAAGAGGUGUUGACAUACACAAGAAAACAAUAGCAAGUAAUUUAUAAAAUGAUGACAAUAGGCAGAAAUUAAGGGUAAGAAAGAAAGACUGAAAAUCCAAAAUCCAAAAAGUUAAAGUAAGAUGUAUAUUUAAAACUCAUCCCUCAACCCCAGAGCAUAACAGUAAGCAACAUUGAAUAUGAGUAGAUAGAAAUUAAGGAAAACAAAGAAAGACUGGAAAUGCAAAACCUAAAAAUGGAAAAGUAAAAUGUAUUUUAAAAACUCGUCCUCAACCCCAGAGCAUAAUAGUAAGCAACAUUGAUUAUGGUGAUACUAUUAAACAAAUCAAUUGAACUUAAAGCACUGUGAGAGCUUACCAAGCAGGAUACCAUCUCAUGAAUUAAAUUAAUGUCAUAAACAAUAUGAUUAAGAUUAGAUCUAACCUUGCUUACCUGCAUAAUAUUAGUAAUAGUAUCGAUCAAAGAGAAUACAUUUGCUUUGAUGCAAGUUGUGUAGUAAUUGUUAUUUUCAUCCAUUGAACUUCCACACUAAGAAACCCCAAAGUUCAGCAAACAUAUGAACACAGAUGAGCAUCAUAGGUUUGUAACUCAAUCUAUGCUCACACGCAAUUAAACGACAAAGAGAAAGUUAAUGAAUCUUUUGAAUUGUCAAGACUUUUGAUCUUCUUUCACUUCAGAGAAAUCUGCCCAAUAUUUGAGAACUAAUGAGAUUGAAUAUUAAAAUCAUGUCAUGCACAAAGCUUAUAAAAUGUUUUGAGGUUCAAUUGAUGUAGUGCAGCUAAUGAUAUUUUCGACAUUUACCUAUUUUUCUUCUUUUUGUUUCUGUAGUGUUUUCUUUUAAAUAUUCUUUAGUUUUUUCCUUGUUGGUUCAGGUAAGAGGCAUCAAUGAAAACUCUAAAAUGUUUCUCCCAUUGUAGUCAAUGCUCAAAGAAUCUUAAUGAUAUCUUCAUAUUAUUAAAUACGAAUGUGAUAGUUUUUUAUUUCAUCCAAGCGGAAGUUAACCAUUGAAAACUCUAAGAUGUUUCUCUUAUUGUAGUCAAUGCUCAAACAAUCUCAACGACAUCUUCAUACUAUUAAAUUUGAAUGUUAUAGUUUUUAUUUCAUCCAAGCGGAAGUUAACCAUUGAAAACUCCAAGAUGUUUCUCUCAUUGUAGUCAAUGCUCAAAGAAUCUUAAUGAUACAUUCAUAUUAUUAAAUUUCAUCAAAGCAGAAGUUAAUCUUUGAAUCUGAAGAAACCAUAAAUGUAUGAACCAUACGAUUUAAAAAGCCAUUGUAGCAUGUGUAAUUGCAAAAGUAAAAUUAUCAUGACAAAAACAAGAUAUGUAAUACAUCAUUUACAAUAAGCAUUGGUGCUUGCCUCGGCUCAUCCACCAUUCAAUCCAAAUCCAAUCUCUUUGUCAAAUGCCUAUUGUUGACCGCAGGGAAAGUGAAAUGAGCACAUAAUACAUAUGAUUAAAAUGAAAGGUGACUAAAAUUAUCAAAAUUUAUUUAUAGUAUUUUACUUAUAGAAAAAGCGUCAGAAACAUGCUCUAACUGCUACCAAACAGAUGCAACAGAAUUUUCCAUAUUGUGCUUAGUAACAAACAUUACAUCAGAAAAUGACCAGCCCUGCGGAGUAAGCAACAUAUAAGUUAUUUAAAAAAAAAAUUACAGGAAAAAGAUAAAGAAAAAUAAAUCAAAGACAGUGGAUUAGUAAACCCCAUUUCGACACAAAGUGAAUUUGUAGAGAGAGAGUCAAAACUCAAGAAUAUUCAAAAGCAAAGAAUCAUGUAUAGAUAUGUCGUAUAAUAACAACUAUUAACAGCCACUGAUGAAUGUCAAAUAGACAGCUUGAGAUGCAUAAACUAGUUCAAUUAUUUUGAGCUAAGAACUUCAUAUUAAGAAAGUUCCCAUCAAAUACAACUAUUUAGAGGCAUGUCUUAAUGAAGACGGUAAAAGAGCUGAACUUUCAUAAGCAUGAAAUCAUGUGCGAAAGAACUGAAUCCAUGAAAUUCACAAGUUAAAGUUUCAUUUCAGAAUAAAAAAAUCUUGCAAAUCUGAAACCAUACAGUAAAAUUGAACCACCAUACCUUCAAUUCAUGGCAGAAAUCUAUAUUUACUUACCACAGAACCUUGUUUCACAAAUUCUUUGGAUUGAUCUAUGAAAACUUCAAACCUUUGCAAAAAUAAUAAGAAAAUAAAAAAUAGAGGAUUAGAACUUUUAGGAUGGUCAGCACCAAAAAGUGGAGAAAUUACACAACAUAGAGACAAAAUCAUGGUUAUAAGGAAUAGAAAAGAGAAGAAGAAAUGAGAUGAAAGAAGGAACUCAAGGAAGAACCCUGCUUUCAGCACCAAAAAGCAAUAAUGCCAUGCUUGAGAUAAAAUAAAAAGGGAUAAAUUUAGCCAUUUUCAUUCUUUUCUCAUUAAAAUGAAAAAUAUGAUCGUCAUCUAUCACAUCAAAUCACCAUAUUUGAAUUUCUAUCUCUUAUAUGAGGCCCAUAACGAAUAUAUUUUUUCAUUCUUAUUUUCACAUAAAUGAAAAACAAACGGGCCUUAGUAUUAAAAUAUGACAUUAGCAAGAUGGUAGCAUGACGCAUAUGAAUAGUAACUAACUUUCACUACUAUAUAAAAAGGGGAAUGUUUCACUACUAUAGAAAGAACGGUAGAUUUUUUCAUUUCAGAACAAAUUUUUUUGUUCAUCUCUAGAGCAAAAAUGACGUCGUCUACGGCCAAAAAAAAAAAAAGGUGCAGGCUACAGUGAUGCACCAACUUGUCCUCAAUUUAGAUGAAUCUUUCUUUUUUCUUCUCCAUUUUCAGACGCUACUGUCUGUUCUCUCCAUUUUACCACACAAAUUAUUUAUUGUAUAUUUUGUAUGGAUUGAUUGAGAUCUGGUUGUUCUGAUUUUAGUUCUUAUUCUUGUUUUUAUUGAAAUUUGUGGCCAACAACUCAAUUUCAUUUAACGGAGCUUGAUUGAUUUUUUCCUGCGUUUUGUGUGAAUUGGUUUCAUUUCGAAUUUUUGUUGUUAAUGUUUUUUUUUUUUUGGGUAUGCAAUGGAUCCGUAUCAAAAUAUUAAAAAAAAUAAAAUGAAAUAUACGCAUAUGGUGGUUUCUAUAUAAAUGAAUAUAAAACAUAUGUUUUGGUGAAACAAUGUAUCUAUUUCCAUAAUGUGUAUGCAAAUUUCUUAUAAACAUUAUAUUUCAAUUAAGGAGUUCCAAUAAAGGAAUGGUGUUGUAUUGUUUAAUUUUAGAUAUUUGAGAAUCAUUGAAAUGUGGAUGGAAUAUGUUAGUAAAUAAGAGAGAAAAUAGAGUUGGGUGUAGAAAUAGCAGAAUAGGUUAACAUUGGUUGGAAAAAUGGAUAAUAUGUUACCGAAAAAGUCUGAUCUUACUCUUCCCAAAAACAAAAGUAAGGAGAAAAAAAUUAUUGAACUAUCGACGCGAGUGACUAUUUUAUCUAACACGUUUCACACAUUAUUUGAUUGCACUCAAAAGGUUACGAUUGGAAAUGUGGUUAAUAUAUCUUUCAUUUAUUUACAUUUCUGUUCAUUUGAAUGAUUUAUAUAAUCUCUGUAUAUAUAUAAAAAAAUUGAUCUAUAUUUUAUAUAUUUAUUUUAGGAAUCACAUCUAUUAAAAAACCUAAGUUAAUUAAAUGAAAUUAAAUUGUUUUUUUGAGAGUCAAUGAAGGAAAAAGAAAGAAAAAAUAUGAAAUUUGCACCUCCGUAAUUACGGAGGCAUUUAGCUCGAAAGUGUUGAAAUUCCGUAAUUACGGAGGCUCAAUGCUUGAGCCUCCGUUAUUAUAUGAGCCUCCAUAAUGCCUCCAUAUAAUGCCUCCAAAUGCCUUUGUUAUUAUGGAGGCUCAAAAGCACGAGUCUCCAUAAUAACGGAGGUAUUUGCUUGAGCCUCCAUAAUAACGGAGGUAUUAUGGAAUCUUCAUAAACUACUAUAUUAAAAGAGAGGAUGAGGGUUUACUGUUCAUUUGUGCACCCUCUGUUUCACACCUAAACUGGUUUGUCUACUGUUCACAAACUGGUUCUGUAAAAAGAGGAUCAAUUACACCUCGUUCCAAUUGAAUUCUAGCCUUUCUCCUCUGUCCGCCCUUCUCUCCAAAGCUCUGCCAUCUUCACUCUCUCCCAAACAACUGAAACCACAACCCGAUUCUUUCUUCCACAAAACUUAUUUCACUUCCAUUUAUCCUACUGUCUCUUUCAUCUGCAAUUCUCCGCAUCACAUUCAAGAUUAGAUAUUUCGCCAGUAAUUUUGCUUUUCUAUACUAAGCAAUGAAUAUGUAACGAUUAUGUUUUGGUGGGGCAUCAAUUUUUAUUUUGUUGACUUUGAAAUAGAGCAAGUUUCUUUUGUUCCAUUUCCCCCUUCUUUAAAGCAGUGGUUAGAAACUGUAAUAGAACAAACUCAAUAUGCUUUUUUCCUAAUUUCAACACUGGGCUUUCAGUGGAUUGGGGAUUUAAUAUUUUACUUGCAGGUAAUGUAAAAAGUUUUUUUUUUUUUUUUUUUUUUGGAAUAAUCUUGUUCAAUCUGAGAACUUGAUUUCAGAAAUGACAAAAAUUACCAGUUGCAAUUUCACAUCGAUAAACUGAAAUGAUUUAUUGAAUAAUAAGCGUUUGGAUUUUGUUAUCUUUGUUAUCUUGAAUAUGAAUAUGAACUCAAAUUAUAAAAGCACUAUGACAUGUAUAUGAAGUUUGUCAAAUAAACUGUCCAUCAUUACGAUUUUACCGUAUUUACGCGAUCUUCAUUGUAAUUACUUUUGAUCAUAGUUACUAUUUUAUAAUCUCCACUACUCAAUUCUUUUUUUUUUUUUUUUUGGGUAUUGUGCAAUUUUUUGAUACUAUAUUUACUUUUAAUUUGGAAUGAAUGUAGGAAAGGAAAACAAUUUAAUUCUUGUGGAGUUUUUAAAUGAUUAAAUUUGAAGCAUGCUAUUUAUUGUUUUCAAUAUUGCAGGAUUAGCUGUUAUCUUCUCUCUUGCUUUUUUAUUGACUUUCAAGGUAUUGUUCACCAGAAAAUCUCACUAACUAAAUAUUGCAAGUAAAAAUUUUUUAGAACAAAUUAGCUAUUUCCGAACUUCAAGUCUCAAUAGAAAUGCUUCAUUUCCUUUUUCUCUUUCUUCUCUAUUUAUUUUCUUCCUUCCCCGUUAGUUAUAAGUAAAUUAUGUAGUUACACAAAUUAUUAAAGUUGAUGGCUUUCUUACAAACUUCAUUGACCAUCCAUCACGAAAAAAUGUACUUCUAUUUUAACAAGAAAAAAAGAUUAUUUGUAUUUCCAUUAUUUUGAGGGAGUGCCCUUUAAAUUUCAGUCUAAUUCAAAAUGCUGUUUGAAUUCAUUAGUCACUAAAUUUAGUUUUGGAUUUUCAAUUUCAUUUCAUUUGAGGAUUUAAUUCCGAAUAUCCUCUUUCACUUUGUUUAGUAUUAAACUAAUGGAAAUUAGUGCAUUAUUCCUUUUUCCUCUAAUUUUUACAUAUCCGUAACUUAACUUUUUUACCUUUCUUUUUCCUUUAUUUACUAUAUGCACAGUCUUAAAUUUUACCAAUCUCAUGAGUCAUUAUAUACAUAAAAAAAUCUUACACAGACAGAUUAAUUUUGUACCUUUAUAAACAUUUUGUCUCAAACUGUAACUAAUAAAAGAAAAUCAUUUCAAAUUACCAGUGAUGUUUCUCACUAAGUUACUCUUUAGUUAUAACUAUUUUCACCAGCAUAAGAAUUAAGACUUGGAUAUUCUCUCCUAGAGUUAAGUUGCUGAGUGUACUAUGGUAAAUGCUUUGAAGUUUUUGUUCACAUCUCCAGGCAUAUGUAUUGAAUCUUGUUCAGGAUAGUUCCAAACAUCCUUUUUUUAGCAGUGAAAGUGCAGCUAGAAUUGGAAUAACUCUUUAUUUUUCCCAAUUCACUGUUCAACUUUUUCAUUUGAUAGUUUUGAACAUUAAUGAUUUAGUAGCUGGAGAUAUAAUUAUUAGUUUAAAUGAAAGAGAUAAGGACAUAAAAACCAUUGUGGCUGCCACAAGAAAGGCAAUGGAGGAGGGUGGUAUCUUGUAAGUAUCUUGCAUUAUAGUUUAUCCCAAGGAAGCAAUUUGUUUCAAACUUGUUAAAUGCUAGAGUCUUUUUUUUACCCCUUGAGAAUUGCGUUCCCACAACUAUUUUAGUAGUUGUUGCUCAUAGGACUAAAUGCUUUAGAUAUGUACAUAAUCUAGAUAACAUUUUUACAUUCUAUUAAUUUUUAAUAGUCCACUUCUCUCGAAGUACUGAUAACACACUUUUUUCCAAUCUAAGAGUAAAGAUAUCACUUGUUAGUUUGUAUGUGAAUUUGUAACUUCUUCCAGGAUAUGCUUACUUGUGACCUUGGUUUACCUAAUCUUCUUGAGAUUCAACAAUUAGUUUAUUUAGUCGACAACAUCAGCUUAGAAUAUUCUAUGUAAUAAAAGGCUGAUUUUCUAAAAGAAGAUGAUUCCUUUGAAGGAGAGCUUCAUUUUUAUAAUAUUCAUCCCUCCUUCUGAAGUGGAUAAGAAAAAUCCGGGUAUUGUUAGAAGCAUACAUAUUAUGUAUAGAGGAUAAGUUUAUAGAUUUCAAAAAUAUUGAAUCUCAAUAUUGGACAGAACUAGAUGUAGUAUUCAGUAAUGUUAAGGAGUUUUUGAAUUCAACAGAGGUUGAGUCAAUGAAAUAUCUAUCAGAGCAUCGUAUAACGAUAAAGAGCCUUGAAGUUUAGUUACACUGCUCAAAUUCCUCAUCACGAAUGGACAUCUAAGUGUCGUAGAACAACCGUGUUUUAAAGAGUACUCAACAUUUCAUUAAGGAAAAUAGUCGUUGAAGAAGAAUUUUAGAAUUUUCAGGUUCUAACUUCUGCUUUACCUUGAAUUAGGUCUCUACUGUACAAUAAUACAUUUAUAUCUAUUAUAAUUUGUUGAAGGACGUAUUGCUAUGGUGCUAGCUUUUUUUGCUUGAAAUGCUUUUAUUGUCCAGUGGAGUAUUUCUUUGACUAACUAUGGCUUGAAUUCUCAUUAUUAAUGAAUUUUAUUGAUUCUGGAACUUUUGGUAGAAAAAUGACAUUUUGUGGAAGAAAGACAAGUGGUCAACUUGUAUAACUGGUUAGUUCCUUGCCAAUAAUUCCAUCUUCCCAUAUAUUUUCAAACAUAUUCAAUACAUACGCUAACCAAACCAUAAUUCAUACACAACUCGUGCAUCACACAUAGCAUAGACUAGUGUUCUUUUAUAAUGUAGAAGAAGAAGAGAUAGAGAUUUUUAUAUUUUCAAAUUAAAUCAUACUUAAAAAAUAAUAAUAAUAUAUAAAUCUGAGUAACUGAGUAGAGGUAAAUAAAAAUAUUAUAAUCCUUGCCCCGUCCCGUCACCUCCCUACCUCCCAAAAAUACUUGACAAGGCGAAAACUGGGAGGGAUGACCAGCUCGGUCCCCAUCCCUUCAUAAUUUAAUAAGGCUUAAUAUUGGUUAAAAUAAAAAUGUGAUUAUUACACCAUACUUCCUAAUAAAUCUCAAUUUUUUUUUCACAAAUACUACCUUUUUUUUUAAUUCCACACCUACCGUAAAUUAGCAUUAACUACUGCCGACAUUGGCACCUUCUUCUUCUACACCCAUCGACAUCGAUACCAAACACCACAACCAUACUCGCUGCCACCAUCAAUAUAGUUGCUAUACUCAACCACCACCACCACCACCACCACCACCACUACCACCAAUCUAGUCUCAAUCCAAAAUUAGGGCAUCUCCAAUGGAUGCCCUAUUGCACCAAAAUUUGGUGCAAACUUCCUUCAAUCAUUGCACCAUUGCACUAAAUUUUGGUGCAAAAUGGUGCAACACUAUUCAUUACAUCAUUUUUUACACCAAAUGGUGCAAUGUCCAUUUUGCCCUUAUUUUUCAUUUUUCAAAGAUAAUGUUCAAGGGUAUUUGUGUCAUUUUCGUUCUAUAAUGAUAAUGAUAAUGACGAUGAUGAUGAUGAUCAUAAUAAUAAUAAUAAUAAUAAUAAUAAUAAUAAUAAUAAUAAUAAUAAUUACUUAGCCCCUGUUUGAUCCCCAUUAAAUUACAUUACAUUACAUUCUAUUUUUCUCUCUCUUAUUUUCAACCACACAAUCUUCCAUAAAAUAAUAUUACACGUAAAUAGAAAAUUUUUCCUUCUUUUUCAACCACUCAUUUUUUCAACAAAACACUAUUCCCCCCAUUUUCAUUACCAAAAAUGGGGGCCAAACCGGGGCUUAAUUAAUUACACUAUUAAUUAUAUUAAUAAAGUUUAUUAUUUUUAAUAAUAUAAUCAAUAAUAAUUAAUGUAAUUGUUAAGUUAACUAAAGUUUAAUUCGUAAAGUUUAUGUUUAAAGUUUAAUUUAACGUAAAGUUUAAUUUAAUGUAAAGUUUAUAUUAUUAAAGUUUAUUAUUUUUAUAAAUUUAACGUAAUUGUUUAUCAUAAACUAAUAAUAUAAUCAAUUAUUUUUAUCAAUUUAACAUAAUAUAUAAAACACGUGAAUAAUUUAGUAAUCAAUAUAUUUGUUAAUUUAACGAAGUUAUGAUUUAAUAAUUUAUAUAGUUAUAAAAUAAAUAAAUAAUUUUUUAAAUAAAUACAUUGUCAAAAAGCAAAAGAAUGAAUAAAAUAAUAAAGCAUUGUUCAUUUGGUGUAAAUUUUGGUGUAAUGAUUGGAAAAGAAUUUUGGUUUGCUGCAAGAUUUGAUACAAAAUGAUGCCAAAAUUUGGUGUAGCGCUGGAGAUGGCCUCAGGCCAACCCAACAUUAUAUCACCACCACGUGCCACCAAUGAAGCCAUGCCCAUCUACCACCCGCACUCUAUAAGCCAUCAUCGUCGUCGUAGCCAACUACCACCAUCAUGGGCACCAUCUUUCCUUCCUUCAACCAGAUUGUAGAUCUAGGGCAACACUACUUCCUCCUCAUUCAACCCGAUUUCAGAUUUAGCUUUGGGCAGCACCUCCUUCUCCUUCAACUGAAUUUUAAAUAUGAAAUUGUCGAAUAUGGUUUGUACGACUUUUUUUGUCCAUUUAUGUGUUUGGGUUUGGCAUUGAAGUGGUGAUGGAAAUAUUUUGUAGGUUUGGUCUAUUUCAUCUAUGGUGAUAAUGCUAAGGUCCAAGGUGGUUGUUGAUGGUGACAGUCCUAAUAGUUCUGGUGAUAGCGACAAUGGCAAUAUAAAAUUGUGUUACGUAGUAAUGGUUUUGGUAAUGGACGUCUAUUGUUUUUUUAAUGGUGAUAGUGGAUUGUAACAUAGUGCUUUACAAUAAGAAUAGCGACGGUGGUGAUGAUAGUGAUGGUGCUAUUGUAACAUCAAACGGUAUAAAUAGUGGUGGUGCGACAAAUGACAAUAUAUAUAGACAACAAUGUGUACAACACAUUAUAUUGGUUAAGGCGACAGUGGAAACAUGAGAUGAAAAGUGUGCAAUAUAGUACAACAUAAUGUAAUAUAUGGUAUCACAAAAUUUAUUGUAAAAUAAUUAAAAUAAAAAUAAAAAACAAUAAUUUUGAUAAUAAAAAAUAAAAGUAUGUUUUGAAUUAGUAAAUUUUUUUAGGGUCAUUCCCACAAAAUAUCGAUCGUAUAAGAAAUUUAUUUUGAAUUGGCAACCCAUAAUUUUGUCAUGGACUCCCGUGUGACUUAUUUCAAAGUUGUUUGAGCAGAAUUUUAUAUGGAGUUGAAUUGAGCAUAAAAGAAGAAAUUGGAAGCUUAAAUGAAGGAAUUGAAGAGGUAUCGAGAAGUUGGGGACUUGAUUGGAUGCUUAAGAGAGUUGAUUGGAUAAUUUCACAAGUUUUGGAGAUCAAAUUUGUCAUUUGGAGGGUUUGGGGGCCAAAAUGGAAGAAAUAAAACUUUAGGAAAUUAAAUUGAACUUUUCUCGAACUUGAAGGACAAAAAUUGAAGAUGUUGAAAUCUAGAGGACUAAAUUGAAAGAACUUAACGGUACAGAGGUUAAUGUGGAGGUAUUUUAAAGUUCAAGGACCUAAAUUGACAAAGUUCAAACUCAAGGGACCAAAUUCAAGAGGCUUGAAACUUGGAGGGUCAAAAAGUGAAACAUGAAAUUUAGUGCUUGGGAAGCUUGUUCGGGCAAACUGAUGGGCUGGAGUGGAGGUCGUAGGUAGCAUGUUCCAAACAUGCAACCUCGGUUGUUACCGGAUCAAAUCGGUGUUUAUUUAUUUUCAAAUUAAAAUUAAAGGCAACUUUAGUAUUCUCCGAGGCAUGAAUUUUGAGUUAAUGAGAGCUAAAUAAAAAGCAAUUUUAGGUUAAGAGAAAGAUAUCGCGUCAUAGAGAAUUGAUAGCAAUACAAGGAGAUUUCUUGACAAUGAAGAAGAGAUGAUUUCAAGAUUUUGAAGAGAUUCAUCAUUGAGGAUUGUAUUAUUCUUUACCAAAUUAUCCGCACUAUGAUUUCAUCCAAUUUAUUGUAUUUUCGUAGUUCAAUCAUAUUAGGCUAAACCCUUUGUCACUAGGAUUUUGUUGAAAUCACGUGAAUUCUUUAAUCCAAUAAAUUGCUCAUUGUUAAUUUAAAUUUUUCGCCAAUUAGCUGUUUGUCAUUAUUUUCAUUGAAAUAUAUGUCUUUAUGCUUAGUGCAAUCUUUUAUGAUACUAUAGUUUUGUCUAGCAUUUUUAUCUAUUUGCAUUAUUCAUAAAUGUUUACUCAUGUCAUGGGUAAAAAAUAGUUUAUUUAUCUCGAGAGAAAAUUAAUAUAUUAGAAAUACUUAUUAUCAAUGUAAAACAAGAUUUGAUUAUAAAUGAGUUUUUGAUGAUUAAAGUAUGUUAACAGUGAUGUAUUCAACAUCUAAUGCUUUGCUUGAUUUAAUUUUGCUCCAAGUCUCAAUGUAUGCAUUUAACUUGGCCCCUGUUUGACUCUCUUUCAAUUAAAAUUCUUUAUUUCUUAUACUCAUUUUCAACCACACAUUUAUAUAAUAAAUAUUCAAUACGUGAACAUAAAUAUUUUUUUUUGAAAUUUUUUAUCACACAUUCUUCAAAAGAAUACUAUUUAAAACAACGGUUUUAUCCAAUUUCUCUUUAUAAUGGCCAUAAAAAGGAGCUUAAUUUAGCUGUUAAUUAAGAAAAUCAAAUCUAAAUAUUAAUUAUGUAUGCCAAGUAAGAAUAUAAUCAAUUAUUGUAAGUUCGAUACUCUUAUUCAUCAUUACAUUACAUGUAUACGAUCAAUUCAAUUACAGGAUAAAAUAAACACCCUACAAUUGAUAAGUUUAUGUUAAUUAAAAUUUAAAUAAUGUUAUAGUGUGUGUAGUUUCUUUAAAAUUUAUAACUUCACUAUGUUAUUGCCAAAGUAUUGAAAUUGUAACUUGUUAACCCAUGCAUCGCCAUGACCCACCAUCUGUAAGUAUUAUGCCCUAGGUCCAAUCAACUUUGGAUAUAAAUACUUUUAUAUAUAAUUAAUGCAAUUAAAUGGCAGAUCAAUUAUUUAAUUAAUAGAUAAUUAAAUAAAUAAUAGAGUCCGUAGAUUCAAAUAAUUGUAAUUUGUUAAUCACAAGGAGUUGUGAUUGUGAGAUACAAAUUACAUCUGAUUGAAUCUUAAAUCUUCCGUGGUCGUAAGUAAUAACGAGAUACGGAUAUCGUUAUUACGGACAGACCAUCACAUGUGGCAUUUCUUACUUGUGAAAUAAGUAACUGAUCUCACAAGUUAAAGUGUGGUGACACUUAAAUGAACAUGUGGAUGUUUUGUUAUAGAACAAAAUAUUGGAGACCCGUCGAGAGAUUCCACAUGGAUAACUAUCUGAGUGUCGGUGGUUAAUCUCUAACGUUCGGUAGUGAAAUUGGUCCUUUGACUUGAGGUCGUCAUGGUACCUUAUAUGAGGACAGUCAUACUUUGGCGGUGUUGGAUGUUGCUCUGAAAAGGGCAGCUAAUACGAUAUCGUUCGGGUACGUCAAGAAUCGUAUGAAGGUUGUGAUUGAUCAAUAAAGGAUUCGUCACUCUUAGAUAGUAGGAGAUUAUGAUCUGCGUUUCAUCCAAUUAAGUCAAUGAUCAAAUCCUUGGCCAAGGUGUACUCAUAAGUCGAAAAGGAGUUUUCGAUUUAUAUUGACUUAAUAGUGGAGUGAAAGAUAUGAUCGAUGAUCGAGAUUGACACAACUCCAUAUCUCGUAAUUGAUCGGAUCAUAUUGACGAAGGGAUUAUAGUUUCACGGUAAACGAACGAAUUUGGUUUUGUCAUACCACGUGACAUUUCCCGUCACAUGUAUUGNNNNNNNNNNNNNNNNNNNNNNNNNNNNNNNNNNNNNNNNNNNNNNNNNNNNNNNNNNNNNNNNNNNNNNNNNNNNNNNNNNNNNNNNNNNNNNNNNNNNNNNNNNNNNNNNNNNNNNNNNNNNNNNNNNNNNNNNNNNNNNNNNNNNNNNNNNNNNNNNNNNNNNNNNNNNNNNNNNNNNNNNNNNNNNNNNNNNNNNNNNNNNNNNNNNNNNNNNNNNNNNNNNNNNNNNNNNNNNNNNNNNNNNNNNNNNNNNNNNNNNNNNNNNNNNNNNNNNNNNNNNNNNNNNNNNNNNNNNNNNNNNNNNNNNNNNNNNNNNNNNNNNNNNNNNNNNNNNNNNNNNNNNNNNNNNNNNNNNNNNNNNNNNNNNNNNNNNNNNNNNNNNNNNNNNNNNNNNNNNNNNNNNNNNNNNNNNNNNNNNNNNNNNNNNNNNNNNNNNNNNNNNNNNNNNNNNNNNNNNNNNNNNNNNNNNNNNNNNNNNNNNNNNNNNNNNNNNNNNNNNNNNNNNNNNNNNNNNNNNNNNNNNNNNNNNNNNNNNNNNNNNNNNNNNNNNNNNNNNNNNNNNNNNNNNNNNNNNNNNNNNNNNNNNNNNNNNNNNNNNNNNNNNNNNNNNNNNNNNNNNNNNNNNNNNNNNNNNNNNNNNNNNNNNNNNNNNNNNNNNNNNNNNNNNNNNNNNNNNNNNNNNNNNNNNNNNNNNNNNNNNNNNNNNNNNNNNNNNNNNNNNNNNNNNNNNNNNNNNNNNNNNNNNNNNNNNNNNNNNNNNNNNNNNNNNNNNNNNNNNNNNNNNNNNNNNNNNNNNNNNNNNNNNNNNNNNNNNNNNNNNNNNNNNNNNNNNNNNNNNNNNNNNNNNNNNNNNNNNNNNNNNNNNNNNNNNNNNNNNNNNNNNNNNNNNNNNNNNNNNNNNNNNNNNNNNNNNNNNNNNNNNNNNNNNNNNNNNNNNNNNNNNNNNNNNNNNNNNNNNNNNNNNNNNNNNNNNNNNNNNNNNNNNNNNNNNNNNNNNNNNNNNNNNNNNNNNNNNNNNNNNNNNNNNNNNNNNNNNNNNNNNNNNNNNNNNNNNNNNNNNNNNNNNNNNNNNNNNNNNNNNNNNNNNNNNNNNNNNNNNNNNNNNNNNNNNNNNNNNNNNNNNNNNNNNNNNNNNNNNNNNNNNNNNNNNNNNNNNNNNNNNNNNNNNNNNNNNNNNNNNNNNNNNNNNNNNNNNNNNNNNNNNNNNNNNNNNNNNNNNNNNNNNNNNNNNNNNNNNNNNNNNNNNNNNNNNNNNNNNNNNNNNNNNNNNNNNNNNNNNNNNNNNNNNNNNNNNNNNNNNNNNNNNNNNNNNNNNNNNNNNNNNNNNNNNNNNNNNNNNNNNNNNNNNNNNNNNNNNNNNNNNNNNNNNNNNNNNNNNNNNNNNNNNNNNNNNNNNNNNNNNNNNNNNNNNNNNNNNNNNNNNNNNNNNNNNNNNNNNNNNNNNNNNNNNNNNNNNNNNNNNNNNNNNNNNNNNNNNNNNNNNNNNNNNNNNNNNNNNNNNNNNNNNNNNNNNNNNNNNNNNNNNNNNNNNNNNNNNNNNNNNNNNNNNNNNNNNNNNNNNNNNNNNNNNNNNNNNNNNNNNNNNNNNNNNNNNNNNNNNNNNNNNNNNNNNNNNNNNNNNNNNNNNNNNNNNNNNNNNNNNNNNNNNNNNNNNNNNNNNNNNNNNNNNNNNNNNNNNNNNNNNNNNNNNNNNNNNNNNNNNNNNNNNNNNNNNNNNNNNNNNNNNNNNNNNNNNNNNNNNNNNNNNNNNNNNNNNNNNNNNNNNNNNNNNNNNNNNNNNNNNNNNNNNNNNNNNNNNNNNNNNNNNNNNNNNNNNNNNNNNNNNNNNNNNNNNNNNNNNNNNNNNNNNNNNNNNNNNNNNNNNNNNNNNNNNNNNNNNNNNNNNNNNNNNNNNNNNNNNNNNNNNNNNNNNNNNNNNNNNNNNNNNNNNNNNNNNNNNNNNNNNNNNNNNNNNNNNNNNNNNNNNNNNNNNNNNNNNNNNNNNNNNNNNNNNNNNNNNNNNNNNNNNNNNNNNNNNNNNNNNNNNNNNNNNNNNNNNNNNNNNNNNNNNNNNNNNNNNNNNNNNNNNNNNNNNNNNNNNNNNNNNNNNNNNNNNNNNNNNNNNNNNNNNNNNNNNNNNNNNNNNNNNNNNNNNNNNNNNNNNNNNNNNNNNNNNNNNNNNNNNNNNNNNNNNNNNNNNNNNNNNNNNNNNNNNNNNNNNNNNNNNNNNNNNNNNNNNNNNNNNNNNNNNNNNNNNNNNNNNNNNNNNNNNNNNNNNNNNNNNNNNNNNNNNNNNNNNNNNNNNNNNNNNNNNNNNNNNNNNNNNNNNNNNNNNNNNNNNNNNNNNNNNNNNNNNNNNNNNNNNNNNNNNNNNNNNNNNNNNNNNNNNNNNNNNNNNNNNNNNNNNNNNNNNNNNNNNNNNNNNNNNNNNNNNNNNNNNNNNNNNNNNNNNNNNNNNNNNNNNNNNNNNNNNNNNNNNNNNNNNNNNNNNNNNNNNNNNNNNNNNNNNNNNNNNNNNNNNNNNNNNNNNNNNNNNNNNNNNNNNNNNNNNNNNNNNNNNNNNNNNNNNNNNNNNNNNNNNNNNNNNNNNNNNNNNNNNNNNNNNNNNNNNNNNNNNNNNNNNNNNNNNNNNNNNNNNNNNNNNNNNNNNNNNNNNNNNNNNNNNNNNNNNNNNNNNNNNNNNNNNNNNNNNNNNNNNNNNNNNNNNNNNNNNNNNNNNNNNNNNNNNNNNNNNNNNNNNNNNNNNNNNNNNNNNNNNNNNNNNNNNNNNNNNNNNNNNNNNNNNNNNNNNNNNNNNNNNNNNNNNNNNNNNNNNNNNNNNNNNNNNNNNNNNNNNNNNNNNNNNNNNNNNNNNNNNNNNNNNNNNNNNNNNNNNNNNNNNNNNNNNNNNNNNNNNNNNNNNNNNNNNNNNNNNNNNNNNNNNNNNNNNNNNNNNNNNNNNNNNNNNNNNNNNNNNNNNNNNNNNNNNNNNNNNNNNNNNNNNNNNNNNNNNNNNNNNNNNNNNNNNNNNNNNNNNNNNNNNNNNNNNNNNNNNNNNNNNNNNNNNNNNNNNNNNNNNNNNNNNNNNNNNNNNNNNNNNNNNNNNNNNNNNNNNNNNNNNNNNNNNNNNNNNNNNNNNNNNNNNNNNNNNNNNNNNNNNNNNNNNNNNNNNNNNNNNNNNNNNNNNNNNNNNNNNNNNNNNNNNNNNNNNNNNNNNNNNNNNNNNNNNNNNNNNNNNNNNNNNNNNNNNNNNNNNNNNNNNNNNNNNNNNNNNNNNNNNNNNNNNNNNNNNNNNNNNNNNNNNNNNNNNNNNNNNNNNNNNNNNNNNNNNNNNNNNNNNNNNNNNNNNNNNNNNNNNNNNNNNNNNNNNNNNNNNNNNNNNNNNNNNNNNNNNNNNNNNNNNNNNNNNNNNNNNNNNNNNNNNNNNNNNNNNNNNNNNNNNNNNNNNNNNNNNNNNNNNNNNNNNNNNNNNNNNNNNNNNNNNNNNNNNNNNNNNNNNNNNNNNNNNNNNNNNNNNNNNNNNNNNNNNNNNNNNNNNNNNNNNNNNNNNNNNNNNNNNNNNNNNNNNNNNNNNNNNNNNNNNNNNNNNNNNNNNNNNNNNNNNNNNNNNNNNNNNNNNNNNNNNNNNNNNNNNNNNNNNNNNNNNNNNNNNNNNNNNNNNNNNNNNNNNNNNNNNNNNNNNNNNNNNNNNNNNNNNNNNNNNNNNNNNNNNNNNNNNNNNNNNNNNNNNNNNNNNNNNNNNNNNNNNNNNNNNNNNNNNNNNNNNNNNNNNNNNNNNNNNNNNNNNNNNNNNNNNNNNNNNNNNNNNNNNNNNNNNNNNNNNNNNNNNNNNNNNNNNNNNNNNNNNNNNNNNNNNNNNNNNNNNNNNNNNNNNNNNNNNNNNNNNNNNNNNNNNNNNNNNNNNNNNNNNNNNNNNNNNNNNNNNNNNNNNNNNNNNNNNNNNNNNNNNNNNNNNNNNNNNNNNNNNNNNNNNNNNNNNNNNNNNNNNNNNNNNNNNNNNNNNNNNNNNNNNNNNNNNNNNNNNNNNNNNNNNNNNNNNNNNNNNNNNNNNNNNNNNNNNNNNNNNNNNNNNNNNNNNNNNNNNNNNNNNNNNNNNNNNNNNNNNNNNNNNNNNNNNNNNNNNNNNNNNNNNNNNNNNNNNNNNNNNNNNNNNNNNNNNNNNNNNNNNNNNNNNNNNNNNNNNNNNNNNNNNNNNNNNNNNNNNNNNNNNNNNNNNNNNNNNNNNNNNNNNNNNNNNNNNNNNNNNNNNNNNNNNNNNNNNNNNNNNNNNNNNNNNNNNNNNNNNNNNNNNNNNNNNNNNNNNNNNNNNNNNNNNNNNNNNNNNNNNNNNNNNNNNNNNNNNNNNNNNNNNNNNNNNNNNNNNNNNNNNNNNNNNNNNNNNNNNNNNNNNNNNNNNNNNNNNNNNNNNNNNNNNNNNNNNNNNNNNNNNNNNNNNNNNNNNNNNNNNNNNNNNNNNNNNNNNNNNNNNNNNNNNNNNNNNNNNNNNNNNNNNNNNNNNNNNNNNNNNNNNNNNNNNNNNNNNNNNNNNNNNNNNNNNNNNNNNNNNNNNNNNNNNNNNNNNNNNNNNNNNNNNNNNNNNNNNNNNNNNNNNNNNNNNNNNNNNNNNNNNNNNNNNNNNNNNNNNNNNNNNNNNNNNNNNNNNNNNNNNNNNNNNNNNNNNNNNNNNNNNNNNNNNNNNNNNNNNNNNNNNNNNNNNNNNNNNNNNNNNNNNNNNNNNNNNNNNNNNNNNNNNNNNNNNNNNNNNNNNNNNNNNNNNNNNNNNNNNNNNNNNNNNNNNNNNNNNNNNNNNNNNNNNNNNNNNNNNNNNNNNNNNNNNNNNNNNNNNNNNNNNNNNNNNNNNNNNNNNNNNNNNNNNNNNNNNNNNNNNNNNNNNNNNNNNNNNNNNNNNNNNNNNNNNNNNNNNNNNNNNNNNNNNNNNNNNNNNNNNNNNNNNNNNNNNNNNNNNNNNNNNNNNNNNNNNNNNNNNNNNNNNNNNNNNNNNNNNNNNNNNNNNNNNNNNNNNNNNNNNNNNNNNNNNNNNNNNNNNNNNNNNNNNNNNNNNNNNNNNNNNNNNNNNNNNNNNNNNNNNNNNNNNNNNNNNNNNNNNNNNNNNNNNNNNNNNNNNNNNNNNNNNNNNNNNNNNNNNNNNNNNNNNNNNNNNNNNNNNNNNNNNNNNNNNNNNNNNNNNNNNNNNNNNNNNNNNNNNNNNNNNNNNNNNNNNNNNNNNNNNNNNNNNNNNNNNNNNNNNNNNNNNNNNNNNNNNNNNNNNNNNNNNNNNNNNNNNNNNNNNNNNNNNNNNNNNNNNNNNNNNNNNNNNNNNNNNNNNNNNNNNNNNNNNNNNNNNNNNNNNNNNNNNNNNNNNNNNNNNNNNNNNNNNNNNNNNNNNNNNNNNNNNNNNNNNNNNNNNNNNNNNNNNNNNNNNNNNNNNNNNNNNNNNNNNNNNNNNNNNNNNNNNNNNNNNNNNNNNNNNNNNNNNNNNNNNNNNNNNNNNNNNNNNNNNNNNNNNNNNNNNNNNNNNNNNNNNNNNNNNNNNNNNNNNNNNNNNNNNNNNNNNNNNNNNNNNNNNNNNNNNNNNNNNNACUAUCUGAGUGUCAGUGGUUAAUCUCUAACGUUCGGUAGUGAAAUUGGUCCUUUGACUUGAGGUCGUCAUAGUACCUUAUAUGAGGACAGUCAUACUUUGGCGGUGUUGGAUGUUGCUCUGAAAAGGGCCGCUAAUACGACAUCGUUCGGGUACGUCAAGAAUCGUAUGAAGGUUGUGAUUGAUCAAUAAAGGAUUCGUCACUCUUAGAUAGUAGGAGAUUAUGAUCUGCGUUUCAUUCAAUUAAGUCAAUGAUGAAAUCCUUGGCCAAGGUGUACUCAUGAGUCGAAAAGGAGUUUUCGAUUUAUAUUGACUUAAUAGUGGAGUGAAAGAUAUGAUCGAUGAUCGAGAUUGACACAAUUCCAUAUCUCGUAAUUGAUCGGAUCAUAUUGACGAAGGGAUUAUAGUUUCACGGUAAACGAACGAAUUUGGUUUUGUCAUACCACGUGACAUUUCCCGUCACAUGUAUUGCCCUGACACAUUGCUAGAUGUCAAUCAGGGACGGCGAAUGUGAAUUGACGAUAAAUUAAAAGGGGUGUUUUAAUUUAUCAAUUUUGAUUAGAUCAAAAUAAUAUUUCACGUCGUUAGGCAUCGUGGUCGGGAACCUAAUGGGUCACACACAAAAGAGAAUUGGAAGAUUGCAAAUUGCCAAUUGAUUAAUUUAACAAUCGUUGAAUAAAUUAAUUAAUUGGAUUUGUUAUUUAUAUUUUCGAAUUAAUUAAUUGGAUUAAUUAAUUCACGGACCGGGUUUAAUUAAUUGGAUUAAUUAAUUAUUGGACCGGACCGGGCCGAGCCUGUUUGGGUUUAUAUAAAUAUAUAACUAGGGUUUGAGGUCCAUUAAGGUUUUCAUUAUUCUUGCUAGCACAAGAGAAAACCCUAGAGGCUGCAAUCAAAUUCUCUGUGUGGAUCACCGUUGGAGGCUGGACAAUUGGACAGCUGUGGUGGCGAAUCAAAGUUGUGGAACGAAAAGAAAAGCAAAAGGAUUGCAGAUCUGGAAAAGGUACAAUCUUAUCACAAUUCCUAACCAAACACAAUGAGAUCUAUUGGAUGGGAAUCGAAAUAUAUUUUAAAUUCCGCUGUGCAUGUAUAAGUAGAUUCCCAACACCAUCAUCAUAGUCGUUACCACCACCUUUUCAAAUCAUUAUAUUUGCAACUUUGCCACCAUGGUCUUCUACAAAAACAUAACAAACGGACAAGCAAAACAUAAAACGACACAAAUUACCAUUUUGAAAAGGGUAAUUAGCACAAAACACCACAAUUGCUUGCACUCAUUGUGCAAAUCGUCUCUCAUUUUAAAUUUGAGGAUCACAUCCUCAUUUAGACAUUAUGACUUUGGUCCUCUUCCAGCAAUUCCUUUCGUCAAAUGUAGGUAAUUAGUGCAAAACAUCCUAUCAUUUGCCUUCAUUGCGUAAAAAGGUUUUUACCGUCUAUUUUCUUCAUUAAAGUCUUAUAAAAUCAUUAGCCUCUAUUUGUUUUCCAUUCUUUCCUCAUUAAAAUGAAAAAUAUGAUUGUUAUCCAUUACAUCAAGCCAUCAAUUUUGAAUUUCUAUUUCUUGUGUGGAGUCCAUAACAGCUAUAUUUUUCAUUCUCAUUCUUAUAAAAAUGGGAAACAAACGGGGUCUUAAUUUACUUUCGUAUUUUAAAAAACGAAUAAACAAGAAAAAGUAAUAUUAAAAAGUCAAUAAUUUCAGUCAAAGUUAAAUUUUUUAUAAAAUACAAAUGAGUCUCACACGAAAUAAUUUAAAACAUAUUAACAAAAUAAAAAUAUUUCAUCUUUUCAAUUCACCCCACCUAUCCCUACCCUCAUCGUCUAGGCUCUCCACCACUAGUUACAAAAGUUUUUUUUAGGAAUUUAGCUAUUUUGAGAGAGAGAGAGAGAGAGAGUGUGUGUGUGUACUGCAUUAACUUUUUAAUUUUACUCUUAUUUUGUUUAAGUUUCUUUAGCCAAAGGUCUUGGGUUUGCACUUCAAUGAUCAUCAGUUCGAGUCUCCUUAGGUUCACUGAAGUGAGUAUCCGACUGUAAAUUUCAGAAUCCCAUAAGAUUAGUCGAGGUGCGCGUAACUAGUCUUGACACCCACGAUCAUAAAAAAAAGUUACUUUUGCCAGAAAAAAUGAUGUCUAAAGAUGAAAUUUCUUCUUCCAUUAGAGGAUUCAUUCAAGAUCUCAAUAAUUCGAACCCAACUAAGAGAAAAAUGUUUUUUUGGAAGAUAGUUUUUUUUUAAUAUGUUUUAAAUUUUUUUGUGGAACUCAUUUCACUAUUUGAAAAUUUCGGAUUUUGACUGUAAUUAUUUAUUAUUUCACCUCAUAUUAAUUAUUUCUUUUGUAUUUGUUUACUUAAAGAGGGGGUGAAUCAAUUAUUUUACAAUGCUUCAAUGGAGAAAAUAGAAAAUAAGGACCUUUUUGUUCAAUGAAGGUAAAAAAUGAGGACGUUUUACAUAUUGAAAGCAAACGAUAAAGACAUUUUAUAUUAAUUACUCAUAUUUGACUAAAGAAAUUGAUGAAAUGAGACGGAAAGGACCAAUUCCACAAGAAAAUAUUGAAAUGAGGGUGUAAAUGUCAAGUGUGAAAUGAUAAGAAUGAUUUACACAAUGAAUGCAAACGAUGAGGAAGAUAUGUGCUAAUUACAUUUUUGAAAAUUAUAAUCUAUAAUCGAAAAAUUAUAAAUCUUUAAUCAAACCCUCCAGAAUCACAACCAUUCCCGACAUCACUAUCACUAUUACAAUCCUGUUUCCACCUUAUCUCAACAUAAAAACCACAACAGAUCUAAAUAUCUGAUUACCACCAACUCCUCUAUCCCUACUCACCACAGAAAACAACAACCUCGUCCACAUAUAAAUCUAAAGCCUUUUGGUAAAAUACAGACCCUUUCAUGACUUCCAGCACUCGCACAACAUUCUGUCUCAUUCUGGUGAUGUUCUUCGCAAUUCGCGAUUAUCUCACAACUAUUUCAGUACGUCAGAACAUUUAGUAACUCCCAAGAAAUCGAUGACCUUUUAUACAGCAAACCUAAGCAUUGGAAACUCUUCUAUUGUGCUAGCGAGACUCUAGCAAAUUCCCUUUAUCGAGUAGGUAUCUUGAUUAGAGAUUAGGAAUGAAGGAGAUAAAGGUCGUAAUGAUAGAGGUGGUGGAGCUAUAGUAGACCCACACCACCCCUAUCGGAUCAAUACCACCAUUCGUCGCCGAUGCCAUGAAACCAGAUCUACAAAUGGUAGAUGAGAAAAAGGAUCUUAAAUUAAGAGAUUGAGAAUGAGAGAAAUGGAGGUUAUUGUUGGGAAUUUACUUAACAUACACAGCUAAAUUUAAAAAAUACUUCAAUUUCCAUCAAAGAUCUGUUUUGUGUUUAAAAAACAUUAAUUGUAAUAGGAAUUAUACCUUUAUUGAAUUCUACAAUUUCUUUGUCUAUCUUAAACAAAACAAUCACGAUCAGUAAUUCACGACUGUCCAAUUGUCUAACCGCCAAUGAAAAUUCAUACAGGGAACAAGAAUAAGAGAAUUAGAGUUUCUUUUUUCUCGUGCUAGCAAGAUAAUGAAUUGUGUUGUAUGAUUUCUCAAACCCUAAUAACUUAUUAAUAAAACGGAACAUCACAUAAAUUCACCCAUUUAAAAAUCACAUUUCAAAAUUAACAAACUUUUUAAAACCUUUCAAAAAUUAGUUGAUAAUUAAAUUUAUUAAAUAUUUAAUUAUAAUAUAAUAUAAUUAAUCUACUUACCCCACCCCACCCCCUACGCCCCAUCCCACUUUUGGCGAUUGCUCCGACGACUCCACCCACCUCCAAUGACACCUCCGAAGAUGAUGACAGUUUCGGCGAACCUCCAGCGACAAAUUUCGAUGAACCUCCGAUGACUGCUCCAGGUCCCGUGACAGGUCCAGUUCCGACGACCCAUACCUAUAACUUUUUUUUGGGCAAUGACCUGUGAUCAAUUCUAUUGAAUCGUGACCUAAUCAUGUGGGAUGAAUAUACAUAUAAUCAAUUUCAAAAUUAAGAAAUAAAAUUUGAAAUUUUAAAAUCUGAUACUAUUCAAAUUUUAUUUAUGAAAUAAUUAAUCAAAAUUAUUUUUCUAAUUAAAUAUAUUAAAAUCAUUAAUCUGUACAAUUCGGUUACAAAUUAUUAAGUUAAUUAGUUACAAAUUAUCUUUGGUCACAAAUAAAUUUUUUUAUAGAUUACAUAUGAAAUUUGACUUUUAACCUGUGAAUGCCUGUGACUCAUAAAAUAAAAUGUGAUUUGUGACUCUACAAAAUGUGACAUCUGACCUGUUAAUAUUGUUCUGUAACCCGUUUAUAUUGACUUGAGACCAUACAAAAUGACAGUGACUCGUGAACUCAAACUUAUGACCAGUGAACUAUGACGUUAAGGAUUGCUCUACUGUACAUUUUUUUCUUUUUCUUUUUUUAACAGGUGACAUAAAAUAUGAUUUUUGACCUGAAUUAUUACCUGUGACUUGUAACAUAAAAUGUGACCUGUAAAUUUGAUCCGUGACUCUACAAAACAUGACAAGUUACUUGUUGGUGUUAAUCUGUGACUCGUUUAUAUUGAUUUGUGACCUAUACAAAAUGACAGUGACUUGUCAACUGAAACUUGUGAUUAGUGAAUUGUGACCUUAACAACGAAUUGUGAUCUGUAACCAAGUCACAUAUAGUCAUAGUUAACACAAUCCUGUCACAGAUAGUCAUACAACAAUAAAAAAAAUACGACAAUCACAGAACCGACGCCUGCACUAGGCCAGUACAACCACCAACAUCAACAAUGAAAAAAUGACCACCACCACACAACCACAACCACCAACAACAAAAAAUUGACCAACACAUCAUACUUGCAACACACCAUUAUGUACAGGAAAAAAAUAUAAAAACUGCCUUCGCUGCCUACAAUACAACAAAAUACAACCACGACCAUCGCCGCCUGUACCACACCACCAACAAAACCCACCACCGCCACCUACACUACACCACCACAACUACCACCGACAAAAACCAACAACCAGCACCACUACAACCUUAAAUGCAUCAUCACCGCCACAACAUGCAAGGUAAUACCUAUACCACAACCACCACCUCCAGUUCUCCACUGACCACCAUCAUCACCACCACCACCGAUAAAUCAAUCUACAGCCAUCGGAAAACCCACAUCACCAGCACACAGAGGCAAAAAAAUGUAUGAAGAAAGAAAUAAAAAACUAGAUCUGAAAAUGCAUUAUGAGAACAUUUGAAGGAAGUUAUUGGCAUAUGCUAUUGGCUUGACAUCAGGGUGUAACUACAGUUCAUCAGUAAACCUCAGUCUCAAAAUGAAAAUCGAAAUCUAAAUCCCAACCACCAGAAAAAAAAGAGGGGAUAUGAAGGGAACACAAGCCAAAGCUGGUAUACUAACCAUUGCUGUAAAAGUGACGAUAUUUGACUUCAAAUCAGGGGCUUCAAAAUGAAUAAAUGCACCCUUAUUUCCCAUGUGCACCGAGUAAAGACCACAACUGCUAGAGAGAAAACUACUCAUCGCCACCGCUGGACAGAGAGAGAGGGUGGAACAACCGUGACUAUAAAUCCAAACCAUAGCUUCAAGUCUCCGUCAGCAGCUCUUACAGUGCCAUCGCGUUAGCUGCUCUGACGGCGCAGUGUCGUGUCUUCGGGAGGAUUCGCCGUCAGCUGCUCUCACGGCGCCAUCACGGUGAAAGUAUUCAUCGAUGAUGUAUUCACCGGAGAGAGAGAGAGAGAGAGAGAGAGAGAGAGAGAGAGAGAGAGAGAGAGAGAGAGAGAGAGGGGGGGGGGGGGGUGGGUAGGUUGAAUUUGUACGAAUUAAUUUAUUAGUUUCUAAUUACCACCUGAAUUAUGAAAUUAAACUUAAUUCCCUUUAUUCAUGAAAAUUGAUUUUUAAACCUAGGUUUCCAGGCAAUUUUCCCUUAAUAAAAGUCCAAAUGGGCUUAGCCCGAGAUUUAAAUUUAAUCUGAUCCAAUAUUUAAUUAAUCUAAUUAAUAAAACAUUGUCCAUUAAUUAAUUAAUCUGAUUAAUUAAUUGGCCCAUUAAUAAGUAACUCAAUUAAUUAAUUGCCCAAUAUUUGUCAAUUAAUUAAUUACCAUAUUUCAUUAUUCUAAUCCUCCCUUUAUGUAUAACCCAUUAGGUUCUCAAUCAAGAUAUCUAACGACGUAAAUUAUUAUUUUGAUCUAAUCAAAGUAAAAUAAAUUAAAACAGCUUUUCACUUUGUCAUUAAUUUAUCUAAAUUAAGUAAUUUACAUUCGUUGUCUUAGAUUAACAUCUAACAAUGUGUUAGGGCAACAUAUAUGACGAAAAAUAUCACGUGGUAUAAUAAAAUCAAUCUUGUUCAUUUAUCGUGAAAUUAUAAUCCCUUCAUUAAUAUGAUCAAAUCGAUUACGAGAUAUGAAGUGUGAUAAUCUCAAUUAUUAAACAUAUCUUUAAUCCUAUUAUUAAGUCAAUGUAAGUCAAAAACUCUUAUUGACUUAUGAGUAUACCUUGGUCAAAAAUUUCGUUAUCAACUUAACUGAACAAAAUAUAUAUCAAUCCCUUACUGUCUAAGAAUGAUGAAUCAUCUAUUGAUCAUUCACAAGUUUCAAAUGAUUCUUGACAUGCUCGGAUGAUGUCGUAUUGGCGGCUUUUGGCAAAGCAAUAUUUAACAUUAUCAAAACAUGACUGCCCCAUAUAAAGCAUUAUGAUAACCUCAAGUCAAAUGAUCAAUUUUACUACCGAACGUUAGAAAUUAACUACUGACACCCAGGUAGUUAUCAAUCUCUCUCAAAAGUCUCCAGUAUUUUAUUUUUAUAAUAAAACAUUCACGCAUUCAUUUAAAUGUUACUACAUUUUAGCUUGUUAGAUCAGCUACUCACUUUAAAAGUGCGAAAUACCACACUUGAUAAUCUAACCGUAAUAACGAUAUUCAUAUCUUGUUAUUACUUACGACAAUGAAUAAUUUAAGAUUUAGUUAAUAUGUAAUUUGUAUUUUACAAUUACAAAUCCUUGUGAUUAACAAGUUAUCAAUACUUGGAUUUACGGACUCUAUUAUUUAAUUUAUUUGAAUAUUAAUUCAAUUAAAUAAUAGAUUUGCCAUAAAUAAAAUGCAUCUAUUAUAUAUUAAAUGUGUUUAUAGCCAAAAUUGAUUAAAUUUAGGGCAUAAUAUUUACAGUUAUGACUACGCAUAUGGUGUAGAUGAAAGGUACAAUUUUGAAAGGUAUUUGAGUUGGUGGCAAGUCUUUCUCUACUUUUUUGUGACUCUCUUAGCGGCUUUGCUAGUCGUGCACAUUCUAGCGGAGACAUCAAUGACAAUACACCUUUGCAGAUUGGGGUUAAUGGUAGUGGUGGUGGCGGCGAAUAUAGAAUGAGCAUGUUGAGGUAGAGGAAGAGUUGGAGGUGUUGGCGAAAGUGUAAACGAGAGGGAUGGGAGGGAGAGAUAAUUUUAAAAUUAGUUUAAGUAGUACCAAAUUGUAAAAUUGUUUACAAAAUACCUAAAUCUUGAACUUUUAAAGAGAAUAGCAUGAUUGUGCCUUAUUUUGAAAUUUGAUUUAUAGGCACAAAUUACAAACCCCAUGUAUAUUACGGAGCUAAACGUAGUCCUCGAAAUUUCAAUCAAAAUCAAAAUCAAAAUCGGAGGUUUGGUUCGGUUAAAAAAAUAGAACAAAAAUUGAGAAUCGACUGAGUCUGAUCAGCGUCAAUUCUUGGUUCUUGAACCAGAACCAUGAGUAUUCAAAUGGAUCGAUAUAUUUAUGUAAUUUUUUAUUUUUUACAAUAUAUAGACUGGCUAAAAAUAUAAAAUUUAAAAACUCUAAUUUGAGUAAUAAUUUAUCUAAAAUUCUAGACUCCAACCCUAAGAAAUGAAGACUGGCUCACUUUUUUGCCUCUCACCUCACAUUAGAUUACUGCAUUUCAUAAGUUAGUACAUGUCAAUCUUUAAAAUUUGACUUUUCUAUGAAUCAAAAAGUUCAACUUGGGGUUGUGGUGUAAGUUGAUUAAUCAAAGUAUUUAUUCUUUGCAAUUCUGACUUUUUAUUUUCUUGUAUUGUUUACAAACUUAAGUGAUUUUUUUAAUUUUCUUAUAGCACGUGGCAAUUGAACUUGAAAUAUUCAUAGCUUGAAUUGUGUGUACCUUUUUUGUUUAUCUCAAGUUCGUGAUUCUUUAUUAAAAUAUAUUUUUUCCUUUUUUACUCAAAAAGAGCAAGUUCAAUAAGUUGACUUUAAUUUCUUUAUACUAUAUAUUUAUGUAUUCAAUUAUUAUUUUUCACGUCUGUUCAUUUUAAGAGAAAGAAUUUAAUCACUGUCCACAAUUAAAUUAUAGGCUCUAGCUUGUCUCAUUUAUGGAUCAAAGAAGAUUUAUUGAGAAAUUAUUUGUUUUCAAAUUAUAAUUUAAAUUUUUUCUUAUUUUCUUGGUUUUAGUCUCCACUAUUUUGAUUCAUGUAGCGGAAUAACUUAGCUUGUUGAAUUUUUUUUAGCUGAAUUUUCUCCCUUGCACAAAUAUUAUCGAGUAAUAGCGUGUUAGGUAUACGUAUCGAAAGGAUCCUAUGAAAAUGUUUAUUAAAUAUAUAUAUAUAUAUAUAUAUAUAUAUAUAUAUAUAUUAUGGGUAGAACACAACUCGAAUCAGAAAAGAUUAUUCGGAUUUGGGUUUGGUUCCAAUAAUUACAAUGACUUGAAUGAUUCCAUUUACGAAAUAUUCAAAGGAUAAUGAAUUAUUGAAAUAUUCGGACUGACCCACCUUCCGAAACGAUAAAAAUCACAUUCGUACGCCAAGAUGCCCAGGCCCAGCCAAACCAGUUAAAGUUCUGGCUACAGAUGCCUAAUAUAGUUUUAAAGACUUAAUGGCUGAUACGUCGCUCUCCAAAUUUUUUUACAUGUACUUUAUUAUGAUAUAAUUAAUAAUUCCUAUCUGGAGUCAUGGUCCUUGGACAAAAAUCAUAUAUAUGCUUAACCUUGAAGAAGUUCAAUGUUGUGUAGUGGUUAAUUAAAAUAAUGGUUAUACAUUGUUAAAUGGAAACGAUUCCUUGCUGUAACAUUGUUUAAGGGCAAUGGUUAGGAAAAUAAUGGUUUUGAUAAUACUGGAAGACUGAACAAGAAUAGUUCAAAACUUCAAAUCUCAUUUACCUUUAUUUAAUUGAUCUAUAGUUAAUUAUUCUCAGAUAGUGAGAUUCCAUUGCGAAAUAAAAUAGUGAAAGUCUGUCUCCACUCUUUAGCCAUUUCAAGUUCAACCUCGACAAGGAAUUCUAAAAUCCGACCCAAGGAAAAAGCUAGUAGGCAAAGCUUCCGUGAGCUAUAGUGCUGAACGCAAUACUUGUUGGGAAAAUUUAAUUGUGGAAAUUACACGGAGAUGGGUUUUUUAAAUUUCAACUUCAAAAAUCAUGUUUAGGGUUUGUUUAUACAGAAUUAAAUGAAUAUACCCACUCCACCCCCAAGUCGAAAUUUCACUCAAACCUUAUCAUUUCAAUUCUCUUACUCUACCUCCAUCUCUCUCUACAUAUUCCCUCUUCUCUCUCCUUCCAUUAUCUCUCCAUUGGCGCUCCACGUGGAGAACAUCGCCAUGUACAGUGGGGAUGAGCGCCACAAUGCGUAGCAUAAGUGUUGGUUAGAGGAUUUAAUCAUUACAAUAACAAAUUAAUUUUCCUUUCAAAAUUAAACCCAUUGAACUUAGGAUCUUAGAUAACCUUGAUAUCAUUGGAUAUUUAAAUCCUCACACAUAAAAGAGAAGAUGAUAAAUUUGAAAGAGCUUUUAAUGAUCUAGUUAAAUGCUUUCUCUCUUAGAUCUUCUCCAUUGUUCUCUUUUAGGUAUAUCCUUCUUCUGGGAAAUGAAAAGUGGCUAACCCUGAAGCAUAUGGAAAUGUGCCCAUAAAGGGUAUAUUUAUAAUACUCAACUAGGGUUUCAAAAUUACACAAAUUUCCUUGGACUUAUUUGUAGUAGACCAAUUAAGUCACACACCUUUAUUGGAGCCAAAAGAGGAUCUAACCGGACUCACAUGACCAAACUCCAAUAGAUGUUUCGAAUUGGGUCAACUCUUAACCAAUUGAGAUAUACCUAUUAAUCCUGGCUUAUUCUACAAAAAAAAAAACGAGAUUGCACUAUCGAGUCUAGUGAUAGUUAUAGAAGCAAAUUAUGAUUCAUAACAAUGUCCUCUGAUUAUCAUUCCACAAUUCAACUCCCAUUUGAUUGUCAAUAUAUUGAAAUUGGCAAAAUGACCGUUUUGUCGUAUAACAUGUAUUUCCCUCUAAGUUCUAUUUUCAUGCGGCAAAAUCGUUAUGAUCAAAUCACAAUAUAAAGUCUCACGAUUACAUCGUUGGACUAUUGAGCUCGGGUUUAAUUUGCCUAGGAAAAUACCUUAGAGUGAUGAUUGUCUCAUCUUAAUGAUUAAUUGAAUCCACUAUCAAAAGUAUAUGAUCUCCAAUUGUUUUGGCUCGAGUCCCAAGGCAUCGAGAUCAAUCUUCUAUUUAAGACUUCACUCAUUGGUGUUGGGAAUCUACUUAACAUGCACAACAGAAAAUUAAAACAUAUUUCGAUUUUCACCAAGAAUCAUCUUUGUGUUUAGAUAGAAAUUGUGAUAAGAUUGUAUAUUUUUCAGAUCUGCAAACUUCUUUACUAUUCUUUUCGUUCCAGUAAUCUUGAUUCGCCACCCACAGCUGUCCAAUUGUCUAGCCUCUGAUGGUGAUCCACACAGAGAAUAAGAUUGCAGUUACCAGGUUUUCUUCUCUUGUGAUAACAAGAAUAAUUAUGAAAAAAACUACAUGGAUUGAAAAACCCUAGCCAUGUAUUUAUAUAAACUCAAACGGGUAUGGUCCAGUCCGGUUCAAUAUUUAAUUAAUCCAUUUAAUUAAAUUCGGUUCGUGAAUUAAUUAAUCCAAUUAAUUAAUUUGGGCCUAUAAAUAACCAACCCAAUUAAUUAAUUUAUCCAACGAUUUUUAAAUUAAUUAAUUGACAAAUUGCAAUCUUUCAAUUCUCUUUUGUCUGCGACCCAUCAGGUUCCCGAUCACGAUGCCUAACGACGUGAAAUAUUAUUUUGAUCUAAUCAAAACUGAUAAAUUAAAACACCAUUUUAAUUUAUCAUCAAUUCACACUCGCCGUCCCAGAUUGACAUCUAGCAAUGUCUCAGUGCAAUACAUGUGACGGGAAAUGCCACGUGGUAUGACAAAACCAAACUCGAUCGUUUACCAUGAAACUAUAAUCCCUUCGUCAAUAUGAUCCGAUCAAUUACGAGAUAUGAAAGUGUGUCAAUUUCGAUUAUCGAUCAUAUCUUUCACUCCACUAUUAAGUUAAUAUAAGUCGAAAACUCCUUUUCGACUUAUGAGUACACCUUGGCCAAGGAUUUCAUCAUCAACUUAAUUGAAUGAAACGCAGAUCAUAAUAUCCUAUUAUCUAAGAGUAACGAAUCUUUUAUUGGUCAAUCACAACCGUCAUACGAUUCUUGUCUUACCCGAACGAUGUUGUAUUAGCGGCCCUUUGCAGAGCAACAUCCAACAACGCCAAAGUAUGACUGUCCUCAUAUAAGGUACCAUGACGACCUCAAGUCAAAGGACCAAUUCCACUAUCGAGUGUUAGAGAUUAACCGCUGACACUAAGAUAAUUAUCCAUGUGAAAUCUCUCUGCGGGUCUCCAAUGUUUUGUUCUAUAACAAAAACAUCAACUUUUUCAUUUAAGUGUCACCACACUUUAACCUGUGAGAUCAGCUACUUACUUCACAAGUAAGAAAUGCCACACGUGAUGGUCUAUCCGUAAUAACGAUAUCCGUAUCUCGUUAUUACUUACGAACACAGACAAUUUAAGAUUCAAUCAAAUGUAAUUUGUAUCUCACAAUCACAACUCCUUGUGAUUAACAAAUUACGAAGAUUUGAAUCUACGGACUCUAUUAUUUAUUUAAUUGUCUAUUAAUUAAAUAAUAGAUCUGCCAUUAAAUUGCAUUAAUUAUAUAUCAAAAGUAUUUAUAUCCAUAGUUAAUUGGACCUAGGACAUAAUAUUUACAAACUCCCACUUGCACUAGAUCCAAUCACUUAUGUAUCCAAUAUCAUAAGUUUACAUGACGAUCAUGUUUGUGCUGCGACAAUUCUUUGUCAGUGUAUCUGCAAUAUUAUUAAAUAUGGGAAUUUGUUUUUCUCUUUACGUCAUUUCUAUGCAUUAUCUCUCUGAUGAGAUUAUACCGCCUUAAUACAUGUUUGGAUCAUUGACGAGACCUUAGUUCCUUUGCUUUCGCAAUGGCUCUAUUGUUAUCACAAUUUAAUGGCAUGUGAUCAACAAUAUCAGGAACUACUCCAAGUUCAUUUAUGAACAUCAUGAUCCAGAUUGCAACUCUUUACUACUUCUGAAAUAAUCAUGUAUUAGGUUUCUACUAUUAAAACAACGGUUGCUUCACGUUUGGAACCUUUCCAACAUACCACUUAAGAGUAAACUAGUUUAUCCAUAUGAAAUCUUCUCAAGAUUUCAUCUAUGUAAAUUGAGAUGAGUUAAGCAAUCUUCUAGAUCUACCUCUAUAGAUCAAGUUGCUUCUCCCAUAUCGUUUAUGAAUAAAUCCUUUAACAACCCUUAUUUCAACGAUUGAAACAUAGGGAUGUCGUUUUUUAUAAUAUUAGGAAUAUGACAAUGCUCCCACUAUCUUCUUAUAAAUACACAAUUCGUCUUUAAAUUUGAGAAAAUCAAACACUUUGACUUUUUCAUCAAAUUUAAGAUUUCAGCUCCAAGAGACUUCUCUUAACCUAUAAUCAUGAUAUGCAACUGUUACAAGCAAAACCCGAAUGGAUUUCAGCAAGGCUACAGGAGAAAGGUUUCACCAAGGUCAACACUUAACCUUUGCUUCUAGCCUUGCUUUGUAUAUAUGGAUAUUCCCAUCCAUAUCGACAUUUUCCCUGUAAACUAUUUAUAAAAACUUAUGGAUUUUAUUUCAUCAGGAGGCUUGACCAAGGUCCAAACCUUGUUCAUAUAUGUCGAGUUCAUCUCGAGUUUCAUGGCCUCUUACUGUCUCUUUUAAGUCAAUACUUUGACUUUAUUUUGUUGCAACUAGCAAGUUCAUUAUCCUUAAUCAGUAAUACCUGAUUAGUAAUCAUGGAUUCACAUCUUCUUGAAGGUCGAAUGAUCCUACUAGAUUCACAUAGAGCUGACAUGUCCUCAGGAGUCUUUACUUCUUGAUCAAGAGUAUGUCCCAUAUCAGAUAUGGGAUCAAACUCGGAUUCAUCUACUUGGUUAAUUAUACCUGUGGAUUCUUGAACUCUUUCAAGUUCUAUUUUGCUCCCACUGUCCUCCCUUAGAGUAAACAUUUUCUCUAAAAAAACGAUAUGUCGUGAGACGAAGACUUUCUUCAUGAUAAUAGAGUUUACAUUCAAAUGUCUGUUUUGAAUAUCCCCACAGAUACGUAUUUAUCAGAUUUAGUGUCAAAUUUAUUCGAUUCAAGGCGUUUCAAAUAAGCGUCAUGGCCCCAAACUUUCAUAUGAGAUAAAUUGGAACUACUGCAUUUCCAUAACUCGUAUGGAUUUCUGUUAACCAACUUAGAUGUGACAUGAUUUAGUGUUUUGCACACUGUAAUCAAUGCAUGACCCCAAAACAAUUUUGGAAGAUUUGCAUGGCUUGUUAUUAAUCGAAUUAUAUCUAAUAAUUAACGAUUCCUCCUUUUAGAUACACUCCUAUGCUGCAGUAUAUAUGGAGGAGUCCACUGCAAGAGAAUCUCAUUCUCUCUUAGAUAAUCUAAAUUUUAUCUUUAAGAUAUUCUCACUCGAUCGAAUCUUAAUGUGAAGGUAUCUUUACCUAUUUAUUUCUCUACUUCUAGUUUGAAUCUCUUGAACUUUUCAAGAGUUUCAUGUUUGAGUUUUCAUCAAGUAUACAUGAUCAUUGAUGAAAUAAGAGAAACAUUACAUGACCUCAUUUGACAUGAGUCCAUAUGCAUCACUAUGCAUUAAACCAGUGAUUAUGCUGACCUUUCUUCUUUUCAAGUAAAAGAAGAUUUGGUCAUUGUGCCAGACAUGCAUAAUUUGUAUUUGUCAAAAUCAAUUAAUCCCGAGUAUACAUCUUUAUGUAACUUUGAAAUUGCAUUUCAUCUAUAUGACAAAGUCUGUCAUGCCAGAUUUCGGUAAUAAUUAGAUUAUCGCAUUUAUACCUCAUAAUUUCUAUACUCAUUAUAGAAUCCUUAGUAUUAAAGAAUAUAAACGUCGUUUUUUAAUUUACCAUAGCCAUUAGGAUCUUUAUCAAGAUAAACAACAAUUGUCCUUAACAUUAAAAUAGUUCAUGUCCGAACAUGAAAUUCAUGUUAAUGCUCCAGCUAUGGUGGGUAUAAAAUGACAUUUCUCUAAUUCCAAUACUAAACCAAAAGGCAAUGGCAAGAAGUAUAUUCCUACAGGCAAUGCAGCAACAUUUGCUCAUCUCCAAUGUGUAGGUCAACUUCGCCCUUUCGCAGUGGUCUACUUCUAUUUAGUUUCUCCAUAUUUGUAUAAAUAUGAGAUUUACAUCUGGUAUCAAAUACCUAAGAAACUCGUGAAGUAGACGCAAGCCACGCAAUAUUCCUUCCAAUGACCUUUCAUUUUAUAAUGAAACCAAGGGUCAUUAGAUUUGGUAUUGUCCUUCACUUAGACCGUCUUAACCAUAUUGGGUGCCUUCCCAAAGUCCCUUUAGACUUCCUCUUAAUACCAUUAGAGGAAUCAAUGGCUUGCCCACUUCUAACUUUGUUAUUCGGCAUAACAGUCCGAAGCAUUUUAAGCAACUUAAUGAGUAUGUGUUCGAGCUUAUUCAUAUCAUAAUUCAUAAUUAGUUGUGAAUAGCUCUUCCGACAAAGAUUGUAGAACAAAGUCAAUACUUAGUUUAUGGUCCAUGAUUGAACUUAAUUGAGACACUUCUCAACGUCAAUCACCUUUAGUACCUUUAGCACUGACUAAAGACUAUUCUGUCAUUUUGCAUCGGUAUAGUUGUUCGGAAGUCUCAUAUUCUUCCACACAUGAUUAUUAUCAUACAAUUCUUUGAAAUGAAAAAUCACGUGUUAGCAUGUUAGCAUCUAUACUCUCGUGUUGUUUCUGUAACUCAGGUGACAUAGUUGCAAGUAUCACAUACGUUGCAGUACUAUUGUCAUCACUGCGUUUAUUACAGUAGCCACCUCUUCUUUAAUCGAGUCAUCAGCAGGUGUCUCUGGAAAGGGCAACUCAAGGACGUGACCAAUUUUCUCGUGCAUGAGAACAAUUCUCAAAUUGAGAUGUCAAUUAUGAAAAUCUAGUUUGGUUGUUGGCAUCUAGUAUGCAAUUCAAAUACAUAUGGUUACUCAUUAUUCAAUAAGUAUAAACGACGAAAAAAUGAAAGAAUAAUAUAUAAAAUGCAUCAAUUAAUUUAACAUGGACUUUUAUUAAAUUAAGUAUGCUCCCACUAUUUAAAUCAAAUUUAUGACCCUCUUACAUAAAUUUAUGGAGUUCAUACUUAACUUCCAGUGGGCUGGGAUCCCAUCUAUUAUAUUAAUACCUUGAGUGUACUCAACAAGUCUUAAUAUAACAUUAGGAUAGAUACUAUUAUCGAUUGUAUCUCCAUACAACUCUCAGAUCAUUAAGAUGACAACUCUUUAUCUUCACACAUCUUAUAUGUUAGCUUAACAUGCCUCUAAAAUUUAUCUCCUCGAGUGUACUCAACAAAAGAUAAAUUUUAGUUAAGUCAAACCCGUCAUUCAGAAAUAUCAAAUAUUUCAUAGUGUCAAACAUAUCCCUAAUAGACCAGCUUUGAGUGUACUCAACAAGUUGAGAUGAUUUGGGACUCUGAUUUUUCACUAUAAUGAUGGAAUGCGAUUAUAAAUGUGACUUAAUAUUUUAUGGAGGGAUUUUGCAUUCAAGGGUCUCAUUGUAACAAUCAUAUAUAUUUUAUUAUACAUCUACCAUGCAAAUAUAUAUAUAAUAGUGUGGACGAUUAUGAACUUUACUAUCUAGUCUUCCGAGCCAUAAGGAAGACUAGUUGGUCAAUUUCUAGGGGUUAUUACAUUGAUUAGUAUCAAUGCACCAUCUUAAUGGUCUCCUCCUCUUCUUGUUUUUUCAAUUAAUCCAAUUGCAACAUGUAUCAUAUACUAGUUUGCACGUAGGCCUAAAUAAAAUUGGACUCGUAGGCCCAUAGCAAUCAUAAUAAUAACGGACUCGUAUGUCCAAAAUGAUCAAGAGUUCGCAGGCCCACAAAACAACAAGAAUAAAAAUCAAUCAUUCAACACAUCCAUAUGGUCGAGUCCAUAAUCAUCCACCAAUAAUACAUUCAUCACAUAAAUGUAUGUAUAUAUAAUAUCUAAUAUUAUAUAGCAAUUAAGAUUGUCUAAACUCUUUUAGACAAAUGGAUCGGAAUAAUUAAAUAAUUAAUUAAUCAUAUUAAUCAAUUAUUUAAUUAGCGAGCAUAUUUAAUUAAAAUCAAAUUUUAAUUAAAUACCGAAUUAGAGUCCAACUCCAAUUCCACAAUUAUGGGGCGAAACUAUCUAAUUAAAAUCAAAUUUUUAAUUAAUUACCAAAUUAGAGUCCAACUCUAUUUUCAAAAUUUAAGGCGGUUGAAUUUAAUUAAAUAGCAAAAUUAAAAUCCAUCUCUAAUUUCAAGAUUUGGAACGAACAUAUUUAAAUAAAAUCAUAUUUUAGUUAAAUAUCAAAUUAGAGUCUAACUCAAAUUCCAAAAAAAAAUUUUAGAGCAAGACAAUUUAAUUAAAAUCUAAUUCUAAUUAAAUAUCAAAUUAGAGUCUAACUCUAAUUUUAAGAAUAUAUUAGGGUGGAUAAUUUAAUUAAAAUCAAAAUUUAAUUAAACACUAAAUUAGAAUCCAAUUCUAACUUAAAUUGAAUUAACAUUUUAAUUUAGGAUAAAACUCCUAAAUAAAAUAAAAUUCAAUUAAGGGUCAAAGUUUAAUAUUUAAGUUAAAAUCUAAUUUUAACAAAAAUAUAAAAAGUCGUCAAUUUUAAAUGAAAUUUUAAUUUGUAUCAAAAAUUGAAAUUAUAGGUCAAACCCAUUUAAAAUCAAAUUUAAAACCAUUUUAAAAUUUAAAUUCAAAUCCCCUUUUGAAAUUUACAUUUCGACCCAUUUUCAAAUUAUACUCAAGACCUCUCAAUUUCGCAAAUUUCAAGCAGCCCCUUCAUAUUUCGAAAAUUUCAGAACAAGUCCUAGUUCAGAAAUUGCAAAACUGACCCUUACUACUAAAUUGCAAGCGGGGCCCUACAAUUUCAUAAAUUGCAUGACCGACCCACGCCUCCAAAACAUUCCUCCCAUUUUCUGCAGAAACCCUAAAAUUUCAAUUUUUUUUUCUUUUCCAGGCGCCAACAUCAUCACCGGCGCCGCAUUUACUAAGCAAGACCCGGCGCGUGAACGCUAAACGCCCAAGCAGCACGAAAGCGCUACCACAUUCAGCAGCGCGAAAAGACAGCGGCAUCACAUGCCGCUGGUCGUAGCGGCGUCUGCCGCUCUACCCCCAUCGCCGCCCUCUCCCGAUCGACGCCGGCUGUUGCAACCCAACCCUUUUUAUUUUUUAUUUUUUUAAUUAUUCCAAUCCAAAUAUUAUUUUAUAUUUAAAAUCAAAUUCUGAAUAUUAAAAAUUAUUUUCUUAAUUGCUAAAACAAAAAAAAAACAAUUAACUUUUAAUUGUUCCAACAUGCAAAGCAAUUUCUAACAAACACAAAGUAAGUUCUGAUACCACUGUUGGGAAUCUACUUAACGUGCGCAGCGAAAAAUUAAAACAAAUUUCGAUUCCCACCAAGAAUCGCCUUUAUGUUUAGAUAGAAAUUGUGAUAAAAUUGUACAUUUUCCAGAUUUGCAAACUUCUUUGUUAUUCUUUUCGUUCCAACAAUUUUGAUUCGCCACCUACAGCUGUCCAAUUGUCCAACCUCCAAUGGUGAUCCACAGAGAGAAUAAGAUUGCAGCUACCAGGGUUUUCUUCUCUUGUGCUAGCAAGAAUAAUUAUGAGAAAAAUCACAUGGAUUGAAAAACCAUAGCCAUGUAUUUAUAUAAACCCAAACGGGUUUGGUCCGAUCCGGUCCAAUAUUUAAUUAAUCCACUUAAUUAAAUCUGGUCCGUGAAUUAAUUAAUCGGGCCUAUAAAUAACCAACCCAAUUAAUUAAUUUAUCCAACGAUUGUUAAAUUAAUUAAUUGACAAAUCGCAAUUUUUCAAUUCUCUUUUGUGUGCGACCCAUCAGGUUCUCGAGCACGAUACCUAACGACGUGAAAUAUUAUUUUGAUAUAAUCAAAAUUGAUAAAUUAAAACACCCUUUUAAUUUAUCAUCAAUUCACACUCGUCGUCCCAGAUUGAUAUCUAGCAAUGUCUCAGUGCAAUACAUGUGACGGAAAAUGUCACGUGGUAUGACAAAACCAAUCUCGUUUGUUUACCGUGAAACUAUAAUCCCUUCGUCAAUAUGAUCUGAUCAAUUAUGAGAUAUGGAAGUGUGUCAAUCUCGAUUAUCGAUCAUAUCUUUCACUCUACUAUUAAGUCAAUAUAAGUCGAAAACUCCUUUUCGACUUAUGAGUACACCUUGACCAAGGAUUUCAUCAUCGACUUAAUUGAAUGAAACGCAAAUCAUAAUAUCCUACAAUCUAAGAGUGACGAAUUCUUUAUUGGUCAAUCAUAACCUUCAUACGAUUCUUGUCGUACCCGAACGAUGUCGUAUUAGCAGCCCUUUGCAGAGCAAUAUCCAAAAACGCCAAAGUAUGAUUGUCCUCAUACAAGGUACCAUAACUACCUCAAGUCAAAUGACCAAUUCCACUAUCAAGCGUUAGAUAUUAACCACUGACACUCAGAUAGUUAUCCAUGUGGAAUCUCUCGACGGGUCUCCAAUGUUUUGUUCUAUAACAAAAACAUCCACGUUUUUAUUUAAGUGUUACCACACUUUAGCUUGUGAGAUCAGCUACUUACUUCACAAGUAAGAAAUGUCACACGUGAUGGUCUAUCCAUAAUAAUGAUAUCCGUAUCUCGUUAUUACUUAUGACCACGGACAAUUUAUGAUUCAAUCAGAUGUAAUUUGUAUCUCACAAUCACAACUCAUUGUGAUUAAAAAAUUACGAAAAUUUGAAUCUACGGACUCUAUUAUUUAUUUAAUUGUCUAUUAAUUAAAUAAUAGAUCUGCCAUUAAAUUGAAUUAAUUAUAUAUCAAAAGUAUUUAUGUCCAAAAUUGAUUGGACUUAGGGCAUAAUACUUACAAUUGGUACCUCGAAGAACUUGAACUAGCAAUGGAGUAGAGUCUCAUUUCGAGCGGUCACAAAUGAGUCAUCUACACGAUCUCAUUCAAUGUGCAUUGAAACACAUUAUUGUUUUUAUUCCAAGAUCUAGACAAAUUUUAAUAAGAACAAUGCAAUCUUAUCAACAUAAAGUGUCCAAGUUUAUAUACUGAUUGUGAAUGAUAAAAUUUUGAUCACUUCACGAAUUGUGUCUUACUAUACCCGAACCAUUGAGUAUAUAAUUUGUGACAUCCUAUAUGAUUAUAGAACCUUAGAUAAUCGCUUCAAAUUGUAACACACAAAUAAACAAAUUUCAAUUCAUAAUGUGAUUUUAUAGAGCACUACUCGAAGAAAGGGCAGCAAACUAACAAUAAAAGCCUACAGUGACAAUGUAUUCGUCGCUGAGCGGCUCAGUGCAACAUUCAUUGCUGCUGCUAUGUACACCAGGUAGUGUUUAACUCUGGUCGUCACAACGAGGAGAAGAAUAUGGUGGUGGUGAUUCAGGGAUUUCCAUAGGAGGGAACUUUUGUGCGAUAAAUGAGGAUUACGGUGUGGAAAUGGACAAAGGUCAUGAAAUGGUGGUGGAAGUGGGUUCGAGCAACGACGAAUUGAAAAUAACCUGUAGAUCUGGGAUCCAUUCUCUCUCCAUCGUCGGGUAUUUUUUGUUGUUUUGCGCAUCGAAGAAUCGAAAACAACCUACAGAUCUUGUAUCCAUUCUUUCUCCACCGACAAGUAGCUCUAGUCAUUUUCGAGCACCAGUGAAUUGAAAACAACUUGGAGAUCUGGUAUUCGAUUCUUUCGAUCUUAUCUCACCAAGGUUGUGACAUUGAGGUUGUGCCUUUGCAGUACCGUUACAUCUAUUUUCUAUUUCUUUCUUUAUGCAUUAUUUUUGCCUCUGUUGCGCCUGAUUGUGGGUUGAGAUUUGAUGUAGAGGUGGUGAUGGUGGUAGGUUGUUCAGUGGCUGUAGAUUGAGGUAUAGGUGCAGGUGGUACCUUGCAAGUAGUGGCGGUGGUGCUACAUCCAGGAUUGUAGUGGUGCUAGUUUGUGGUGCAAACGAUGGUGGUGAUAAUGCGUUACAGGUGGUAAAAGUGAUGGUGGGGUGGGAAGAAGAUAGUUUAUGACCAUUUAUUUAGUUGAGUGUGACCAAUAAAUUAAUUAAUUAGUUACAAAUAAAUAAUAUGUGGCAUAAAAAUGUGAUAUUUCGAUUAAAUUUGUAAUCAUGUUUCGCAGUUUGUUAAACUGUGAUCAAUUAAUCUAAUAAUUUGUGAUUGAGAAUUAUCUGUGAUCAAUUAAUUUGAGAUUUUAUAACUUUAAAAUAAGUUAUGACUUAUAAAAUUUGUGUUUUGUGAUCGAAAAAUAAUAAGUGGCCUAUUAAUUUAAGAAUAUGUGACCCAUAAAAUUUGUUACAAUGACCUAUAAAAUUUGUUAUUUAUGAUUAAUAAAUAAUACGAGACCUAUUAAUUUGAUAAUUUAUGAUCGAUAAAGAAAUUACUAUCUAUAAAAUUUGUGAUUUGUGAUCGAAAAAUAAUACAUAACUAAUUAAUUUGAUAAUUGUGAUCAAAAAAUAAGUUGUGACCUGUAAAAUUUGUUAUUUAUGAUUGUAACGUAUAUAAUUGUGAUUAGUAUGUAACUCUGACCAUAAAAUUUAUACCGUGGCCUAAAUAUAUUUAAUUAAUACUUAAUGAAAACUCGAUUUUUUAAAAAUUAAAAUAAUUUCCUUAAUUUUGAAGUUGUGUGUUAUAACUACCAUAAAUAAGAAUUUCUCCCAAUUUAAUUUGUCAUGUGAGUCUAUAUAUAUAACUAAUUGUGUAUAAAGGUUAUCUUAAAGUUGAGUCUAUUUAAAGUGAUCAUUAGUUUUGGGCACCUAGAUAAAGUAUGGACCUAAAUGUGUGUAAAGACCAUAUUCCUUUGGGGGUUUUUUCAUAAUGGGUCAAAAAAUACAAAUGGAAAAUUAUAUAUAGGGUUAUGGUCCCCAAUUCAUAUGUGAUUCACAUUCUUUAUAUUAUCGAAUAAACACAAGAAUACAAGAAAAGAUAUAUUGAAAAGGAAGAUUCAAAACUCACAAUCAAGAACAAUAAAGAAUUAAGAAGAAAGAACUAAAGCAAUCAAGACUAAAGAGCAAAAAUAAAGAUUAAAGACCUAGAACCCAAAAGUAAAGAGAUUCCUAGUUGAUCUUCAAGAUUCAAAUCAAUGGAUCAAUGUAUAUUCCACAUUAAUUAAUUCUCCUAGUGAUUUGACAUGGAGAUCUUGACAAUAUGUGAAUUUUAUAAAAAUGAACAAGCUGUAUCAAAACCAUAUCAUGUUAAACUAUUGAGAAUAAAGAAUGAAUUUAAUGUUGAAAUUCAAACUUUCAUUUUUUUCAAUUUUGGGAUAUGAUUUCCAAGCCCUAAUAUUUUAAAAAUAUGGAUUUUUUUGGGUGAUUUUCGAAAUAACUGAGUUGUGUUUAAAAAUAUAAUAGAAAAAGACCACGUAGUAACCAAUAUCUCUGUCUAAUUUUUUAAUUUUUUUGUUAAAACAAAAGAAAAAAAAAGAUAAGAUAAGGAAUUAACAGUUAAACUUCAAAUUUUGGUACUAAAGUUUUUUUCGAUUAUCUAAUGUUCUGAAUUGAUUAGUUGAAGCAACAUGCUACCAAAGUAAUCUCUCUUGUCUAAUCUAGUUUAUUUGACACAUGUAGAUGGUUGUGUAUUUGUAAUUCAUGCAAAUCUAAAGAAAUGUAAAUAUUUGGCAGAAAUGCAUGCACACCUGUGAUAAUCAAUAUGUGACAAUUAUAAAUAUCGUUUACGUGAAAAAUAAAUCGAUCCAAAGAUAGGUUUAUUGUUUGACAUAAUUUAUUGUCAAUGUUUGAUUACUACACUAAGAGUGUUACUCACAAAUUGAUAUUUCUAUCCAAAGACUACAUAUCAAUGUUGUACUCGAUCUCUUGUGAUUGGAUCUACAAUUUUUUUGAAUUAAUUGGCUGUGUAAUACAAAUUCUCACGUAAACAUAUUUUUUUUAGCUUUGUUCUCUAUUCAGUUAAUUCUUCGGCUUCUUCAAUAUUUGUCAAGAUCAACUCAAUUCCUGUACUAAAAGAAAUCAACUUUAAGAACUAUAAAGAGAACAUUCAAAUCGUUCUUGACUGCAUGGACUUACCUUGCAUUAAGGACUGGCCCGGAUUUUGAUAAGUGGGAUUGUUCAAAUCACAUGAAUCUUAUGAUCAUGAAGCGUGAAAUUUCGGAAUCAUUCAGGGACGAUAUGUCCGAUAAGGUAACAUUGCCAAGGAAUUUUUUGAUGAAAUUGAAAUGUAAAAAGUGAUAAGGCCGGAACUAAUACACUUCUGGUGAACUUAGUGUCACUAAAGUAUAAAGGUAAAGGAAACAUUCGAGAGUACAUCAUGGAGAUAUCUCAUAUUAUUUUAAAAUUAAAGGCACUAAAGCUUAGGCUGUUUGAAGAUUUGCUCGUACAUUUGGUUUUAAUUUCUCUUCCUACAAAAUGUAAUCCAUUUAAGGUCAGUUAUAACUGUCAAAGGGAGAAAUAGACUCUUAAUUAGCUCAUUUCAUAUUGUGUGCAAGAAGAAAAAAUGUAGAAAUAAGACAAAAGAAAAAGCGUUCACUUAACUAGUACUUCUAAGGACAAUUCAAGAAAAGAAAUAAUAAAGAAGUUGCUUCCGAUCCAGCUCAAAAGAAACAACAAAACCAGAAAAUGAUGAAUCAUCUGACUAUCAUUUUUGUGGAAUUUCAGGACAUUUGAAAAGGGAUUAUACCAAAUACAACGUUCGGUGUGUAAAGAAAGGUUCAUUUCUCACUUUAGUUUAUUCUGGGAUUAAUUUAGCUUCAAUACCUAGACAUACUUGGUGGAUUGAUUCUAAUGUCACUACUCAUAUAAGUAUGUCUAUUCAGGGUUGCUUGAACAGCCAAAAUCUAAAUGAUGCCAAAAGAUUUAUCUAAUCAAGGGAUUGUUCUAGAAGAACAAACUUAACAGCCUCAAGAACAAAUGAAAUUAAAAAAAUCUAUUAGAGGAAAGAUAAAUGCAAUUUCGGAUGACUUUAUAGUAUUUUUUUCAAGAACAUGAGGAUGGCAUUGGAUUAAUGGAAGAAGAACCAAUCAACUUUCAUCAAGCUACACAAAUGGAUAAUUCUCAAAAGUAGAUUAAUGUCAUAAAUGAGGAAAUAAAGUACAUGAAAGAUAGUGACCUUUGGGAACUUGUCCCAUUGCCUAAAGAUAGAAACACAUUGGUUGCAAAUGGACAUUUAAAAUUAAGAGAAAUUCAAAGCAUGAUUUGGAAGAUAUAAAGCUCAUCUUAUUGCAAAGAGCUUUGCUCAAAGGAAAUUCAUUAAUUUCUUUCUUCGAUUUCAAAGAAAGACUCUUUUAGGAUUAUUAUGGCACUUGUGACACGUUUUAAUUUUAAACUACAUCAAAUGGAUAUAAAGAGGAUGUUUUUCAAUGAUGACGUUGAAGAGUUGAUUUAUACGGUGCAACCGAAAAACUUUGAAUUAGGAUAUCCAAAGAAAAUGGUUUUCAAAUUAAAGAAAUUCAUCUAUGAGCUUAAGCAAACUUUCGGUCAAUAUUAUCUCAAUUUUCAUAAAAUAAUUAUCACUUUUGUUUUAUAGAUAAAUGCAAUUAAUAAUUGUGUUUAUCACAAGUUCAAUGGAAGUAAGUAUAUUUUCUUGAUAUUGUAUGUUAAUGACAUAUUACUUGUCUGCAAUGAUAUAGUCUAAUUGCACUGAACUAAGAGAAUUCUAUCAAAGAAUCUUGAAAUAAAAGAUCUUGGUAACACCUCUUUUAUAUUAGAGAUUCAGAUACACCGGGAACAUUCUCUUAAUACUAUUGGAUAAAUGCAAUAAUAAUUGUGUUUAUCACAAGUUCAAUGGGAGUAUGUAUAUUUUCUUGAUAUUGUAUAUUGAUGACAUAUUACUUGUCUGUAAUGAUAGAGGCGAAUUACACUGAACUAAGAGAAUCCUAUCAAAGAUCUUGAAACAAAAGAUUAUAUUAGAGAUUCAGAUAAAUCGAGAACAUUCUCAGAAUACUAUUGGAUUAUCACAAAAGAGCUAUAUUGAUAAGGUACUUAAAAUAUUUGGGAUGCAAAAUUGUAAAUUAGGAAAUACCCCUGUUGUCAAGGGAGACAAGUUCAGUGAAUCAAUGCCCUAAGAAUGACCUUGAAGAAAAUGAAAUGCUGAAAAUUAUCUAAGUUUCAAUAGUUUGGAGUUUGAUAUAUGCUCAGGUAUGUACACGUCCAGAUAUAUCAUUAAUAAUUAGAAUGCUAUGCAGAUAUUUAAGUAACUUUGAGAUGGAUCAUUGAAAAGUAGCCAAAUGGUUAUGCGAUAUCUACAGAGAACAAAAGAUUAUAUGCUCACAUAUAAGAAAUCAGAUCAAUUGGAGAUCAUUAGUUAUUCUGAUUUUUAUCUUGCUGGAUGCCAAGACAGGAGGAGAUCUACAUGGAGCUAUGUCGUUUUGCUGGCUGGACGAUCUAUAUCCUAAAAGAGUGCUAAGCAAACACUCGUAACUUUUUCAACCAUGACAACGGGGGUUUGUAGCAUGUUAUGAGGCAUCUAAUCGGGGAAUAUGAUCGCGAAAUUUUGUCACUAGAUUGUGAAUUUUGGAUGAAAUUGAAAGACAACUUAAGUUAUUUUGUGACAAUAAGUUAACGGCAUUGUAUUCAAACAACAAUAGGAGUUCAACAAAGUCUAAAUUUAUAAACAUCAAAUUCCAAGUUGUUAAAGAAAGUUCCAAGUUGUCAAGUUACUACCGAAUAUAUUGGACCAAAUUCCAUCAUAGCAGAUCUUUUUACUAAAAGCCUACCACCAAGGUACUUCAUCAGCACGCCGCUCACGUGGGUACUGUAUAUUUUGAUGAUAUGCUAGUUAAGUAGGAGCUUGUAAUUUUAGAUGAUGUCUCUUUAGAUACAUGAUUUUAUUUGUACACAUUCAAGUUAAUUUCAAAAAAAGUAUUCAAUUAUUUUCACUCUGAUUAAAAUUUACGAUUUGAUCUCAUUAAAGGAUAAGGUAGGACCAGUUAGAAAUAGGCAUAUUUAGAUCACACUAUAUGUAAUUUUCAUGCUAUACAUCCAUACUUGAUCUAUAUAAUUUGGUUGUAUUAAUAUAUGUGAUCAUUGAUGGAUUUAAUUAUAUUACUUGUAAUGAAGACUACUUUAAUCCUAUGUUGACAUAAUUAAUGCACGAGAUUGUUCGAAGAUGCUUUUGGUUAGAGCUCAUAAAAUUAUACACAUUUAUAAGGAACAUAUGUAACUCAAAUGGGAGAUUAUUGAGAAAAAUUAAUUUGUCAUGUGUGCUCAUAUAUAUAUAAUUGUGGCUAAAGACUAUCUUAAAGUUAAGUCCAUUUAAAGUGAUCUAAUGAAGAAUUAAACUUAUUGAGUUUUUGGCAUCUAAAUAAAGUAUAGGCAUAAAUAUGUAUGAAAACCAAAUUCCUCGACGGUUGUCUUUCAUGAUGGACCAAAAUACAUAUGAAAAGUUAUAUAUAAGUUUAUGGUCCCCAAUUCAUUUGUGAUUCUCAAUCUUUAUGUUAUCUCAUCAACACAAUAAUUUAAAGAGGAAAAUCCACAAUCCACAAUCAAAAUUAACAAUCAAGAAUCAAAAAGAAGGAACUAAAGCAGUCAAGAUUAAAGAGCAAGAAUCAAGAUUAAAGAGAUUCCAAUUUGAUCUUCAAGAUUCAAAUCAAUGGAUCAAGUUAUAUUCCGCAUUAAUUAAUUUUUUUGAUGAUUUGACAUAGAUAUCUCGUCAAUAUGUAAAGUUUCAUAAAGUUUAAGUUUCAAAAAUAUAUAACAAUACUAACCAGAAUAAUUAGAGUAAAAUUAUCGGUCCUUCCAAAUAGAAUACAAGAUAUCAUGAUAAUCAAUUUUAUUUGAUGCAUAUGUUAAUUAAGUUUGAGCACUUACCCUCGUUUCUUGGUAUAAUUGAUGUGAGGGACAUAUUUGGAUUACCGUACUAGAUAAGAAUAUAAGAAACAAGAUUUUAGUUUCGAUUUUAAGUAUUUUUGAGUUCAACAUGUCGAUAAUUGGGGAAAACUCCAUAUACUAAAACUGCUGUCCUCUAGAGUGUUGAUCGCCUAUCGGAUAUGAUUGACUUAACACCAAGUCUCCUAAAUGAAGAGAUAGAGAGAAGGAAUUUCGUUUGUUCGUCAUUUUAAACACGCAAACAAUAAAGUAUUAGUUAGAUCAGAAUAGGAGGAAAUUAAUGUAUUACAAAACUCGAAUUUUCAUAAAACUUAUUCUAUACAUAACACAUAAAGAACGAAAUUUGAACAAAAAACGAAGAAUUUAAAAUGUAUCAAACUAAGAUACAAAACAAAACGGGAUGGAGUCAAUCUGUAUUCUUAGAGACACAGAUAAACAAAGAGAAUCCAAUAUUUUCUUGUUCUUCUAUCUCCAGAUUUUUCUCCUCAAACCACAGUCUGCUAUCGAAUCCAUUCCUCGCCUUGAACAUGAAAACAGCUGCAUCUCCUGGUGAUGAUGGAUUGAAAAAAAAAUUAUGGACAUCCCACAUCAUAUCCACCAACAAUCCAUCGAGAAAAAUCAUCUGAUUUCCGCGGAAAUUCCACAUCAAUCUCUUUACUUGGAAAACAUUUUUCUUAUCUAUAUAAACAGAUAGUACUGGAUUCUUUACUCCCCCGUCUUCUGCUGAGAAUUUGAUCAGUAUAUCAUGAUAUAUUCCUGUAUCGCUGAAUUUAGCCUUGGUCGAAUACACAGAAUUACCUGAGAAGUGUUCACUGCGAGAGAUCAAUGAAAAGUCCCCAACUUUUACAUCAGAAACGAGUUUCUUGAUGUUCAGUUCAUUUUCUAUGUCUCCAAGAAUUAGGCUUUGCUCUGAGUUGAUCAAUACUAUAACAUAAAAUCCAUUAACUGGUUCUGGUCCCGUUUCAUAUUGAGCUGGAAAGAGAUCCCAAAACACUUCAAUUCUUGAAUUGCAGGAUUCAAAAGUUUUUGCGCCUUUGGUGUCGCGUGAAACGCGAAAAUUCUUACACAAUUUAGAAUCGAAGAUGCCAACGGAGAAGCCUUGUUUGCUCCAUGUCAGUUUAAUCAAGAACUGCUUCUGAGUUGAGAGUUUAACUUUGUAAAUACAUGUAACAGCAUUUUGAACUGAAGGACUCAAGUUUGGGGAUUGAAACGCCUGAUUUGAAGGGCCUGAACAAUAAGAAUCAGAUACUUUUAUAGCAUGUUCAUUAUAACAAGCAGCGAUAUUUUUCAUUGCAGUAAAGAAAAUCUGCUAAAUUUUAAUGGAUACUGUAGAGAAAAAAAUGCAAGACUCAAGAGAUAUAGAGUUUAUCUCUUGGUUUUGAGGUGGGUUUUUUGGGGGGUAAGGUAGGGUAGGGUAGGGUGGGGUGGGGUGGGGUAGGGGAUGAGGUUUAUCCCUUGCCUUUCAUGGAAGGGAAAGGAGAGCUUGAAGGCUAUAGAAGAAUAGAUAUGAAUGUGCCUUUCUUCUCUAACAAACAGUACUUUCCUGGAAACAAAAAUUUACAGAGAUUAAGGAGAGCAAAUCCAGUUUAUUAUACAUUUAAUAGGAUUCUCUAACAUUGAUAAUUAUUAUGGAGAAACAGAGAUACAGAUGGAUACACCAAAGAUUGACUUGAUUUGGUUCUUAAGUUGUAGAGAAAAACUUGGUUUAAGUUUAGUAAUCUUUAUCAUAUUAAACUAAUCAAGUAAAUAAAAAAAAAAAAAGGAAGGGAAAAAAAAUGGAGGAAGUGGCAGAUAAAUAUUUGAUUAAUUGUUACUUAUUUCAAUUGUCUAAUGAGGCUACAGGUACAUAUUAUAUACAAGUCAUUUUAAAACCCCCACAUAAGAUAUUACGUGAUUGAAAAUGAUUAAUCAAGAAAAUUAUGUGUCGAAUUUCUUAAUUUUCCUUAUUCGUAUCGUCUGGUAGAAUCAAAAAUAUCAAACAUGUUAAUCAUUAAAAUGUAAUGAUACAUUUUUGAAAAAUUAAUAUCGGAUUUAUAUUAUAUAAGGUGCUAAUAUAAAAAGAAAGAUAACAUAGUAACAAUUAAAAAUUUUAAAUUGUUAUUGGGAAUUACAUAUAUAUUAUUUAGAUUUUGUCUUCAAUAUGCCCCUCACGUGCAUGAUUUCAUUAGAUAUGCAGCGGCAAAACUCGAAUGAAUGACAUUUGCCUAGAAUAUGAUCUAUGAAUUCUAAAAUUAAAAGUGAUUAUGUAGUAAAUUUGAAUAAUAUGUGUAAUUUAAAUUGAGAUACAAAGUAUAUAUUGCGUGUUUCUUAUUAUGUAUCCCAUAAAUAAGAUAAUCUAUGUAAUUAUUCAAUGUGAUUUCGAGACAUACAUGUCAUUAGACAACUGCAAAAGCACCUGAUAUCGAAAAUGUCGAUUUUGGUUCAACUCUCGAGUAAAAUCCCUCUUUUUCUAGAGAGAGAGGAUUAUACCAUUUUUAGAAGUGUGAAUGAUUUUAUUUAUCUCCUCAUCUCUUCAACUGCAACACCUAAUAGAAAUGCAGUUGGGAACAUUUAAUCUAGGCUAAGUUAGAAUAGGUUUGGCAUGAAAAUUGAUUUCUCUCCUAACAGAUCCUAACACAAAUAGAUCAAGAAACAAUAAAAUGCCACCUGUCAUAAUCCACUCUGACAUCAAAUCUGAUUUUGAUAUAAAGUCAUGUUGAUGUUUGUGUGAUGUGAUUAUCGUGUUGUUGAAAGAGGAAAGUUUGUUCAUAGAGUAGGUCCUAUUUUAAAUGCUUCAACAGCCUGUUGUUCGCCCGUUUGAGACAUUUUUUAAGAAAAAUAUGUUUUAAAAUAAUGAAUUUUCGGAAAAUAUGUGAUUAAAACUAGAGAAAAAAAUUGAGUUUACGUGUGAAAUUACUUUAUAAGAAAAUGCAUGGUUGAAAAUGAAUUUUGCGAAAAAAGAGGUCAAAUGAGGACGAAAAAAGCACCAGCUUUUUUUAUCGGAUAAGAAAUUUAAUUUUAGAUAUUUGGUUAUCAAAAGAUGUUGAGACAAGUGGGUCAUUGUUAUUAGAAUCGAAUUGAACUCGUACAUUUAAUCGAAAAAAUAAAAUAUCGGUCAAAAACUAAUAUAGGUUAAACCCCGGAAAACUCGAAACCAAUAAAAUGACUUAUAAACUGACUGUUUCACACCAAAAUUUUAUUUUUAUUUUAAAUUUUUUUAUAAGCAGUUUGAUCUAUUGACCUUUACCCCUUUACAUUUUACUUUGCCACAAUUUUUUAUUUUUUAUUUAUUUAUUUUUUAUUUUUUGCUGUCUUUUCAAAUUAUCACCAAAAAAUAAAAAAUAAAAAAUGAUUAUGCAAAGUUUAUCUAUCUACUAAUGAAUGCAUUGUACGUUUGGAUUGAUUUACAUCUCUAUGUUUAGACUACGAAUUGUCUCGACAUUUUACUAACGUAAAUGUACGAGAGACCAUAUGAAAAGAAAGGAAGCAGAUUCCUAUUGCAAGGUAGAACAAUCGAAUUAUUUCCCUUCCUUUAUGAUACUAAUCGAAGCAACGUGGGAUGCAAAAAGAAUUUUUUUCCUUUCUUACUUUUAUUAUUAGAUAAGAUUUUAAGAAAUAAGAAUAUUAAGAUGGUAAAGGUAUAACAUAAGUCUUGACGAUUAUAACCUUCAAUGACAUCCCCAAAAAAAUAAUAAUAAUAAUAAUAAAAGGAUUAUACUUUUCUUGUCCAAUUACUCAACGAAAUGAACGGCUUAAUUGUUAAGCUAUAUUUGCUUGCCAUGAUAAAAUUCUCAUUCUUUAAAAGUGCUCGCUCGUACCAUUGUUAUAAGCCCGGUUCUUAAAUAAAUGCAAUAAAAUUAUGAUAUAUUCGGCAUGCACUUUAGACUAAUAGGAUUGGAUGUUAUCAUAAAAUAUAUGUGUGUGUGCGCGCACCAUAUAUUGAACAGUCCCAAUAAAACGUUUAACCCCAAAAAUCACACUCAAUUAUGUUAGAAGUUAAUAAACAAGACGGGUUUUUCUCCCUUAAAGGGUUUAGAUGUUCAACUAGUCUACAGGAUUUGAAAUCAUCAAGAUUUCAUCGAAAACACCGUGAAUCAACUCUACCACUAAGGUUAUUGUUCACACAUAUAUCAAAGAAAACCUUCUCACACUUGACAUAAGAAACCCGCAAAGAAAUAAAAACCAACAGAAAAGAGAAGUGAUAAGUGGGGGUAUAUUGCCCUGAAAACCCCUCUCCAUCCAACAGACAAAAAGGUUGCCACGUGUAAGGCCCAGAUCAGCUUUCUCCAGUUCAGAAAACGUAUCUUCAAAAUCGAAGUAGCAAUUUUGUUACUAAAUCAUUGAUGAGCUACAUGUUUUCUCAACAAGCUCCACCUUGCCGAAGAAAUGAUUCAACUCUAAUGUGUUAAAAUUGUAUUCAAUCAUACUCUCAUGCAGCUCCAAAACUUGCUCGAUGGAACUACCUUAGUGUCUAAAUCAGCAAGAUUACAUUGAGUUGAUAUCAUAACUAGAUUAAUCAAUCCUUUUUCGAUCAUCUUUUUCACAAAAUGGAAUUUGAUAGCAACAUGUUUGGUCCUAUCACGUGAAUUUCUACUCAAAUGAAUGGAAUUUUGAUUAUCAGAAAAUAACACAACUUCUUUAUCAAUAAAGCCUAUUUCAUAUAGGAAGCCUCUUAACUAUAGCCUCUUCUUUACAACAUCAUAUGUUGUAAUGUAUUCGUCCUCAGUAUAGAAUAGAGCUAAAAGUCUUUGCAAUUAUGAUUUUCAACUCACACAAGCAUUGCACAAAGUAAAAAUAUAGAAGUAGAUUGCCCCCCGAGGCACAGCUCAACUGGUGGAUCAAUCAACAUUGUCUUGCUUCCAGCGAUAGGGUGGAGAGUUCGAUUCCUGGUGGGAACCUGCGGCCAAAUAUUUGGUAUGGAGCAAUCACUAUGGAGGAGGGUCUCUUGUGCGCAAAAGUGUACAGGCAAUAAGAGGAACCUAUGAUCCAGUUGAGGCAUAACCCGCGAUUUACCCCCUCCAAAGUUCUAGGGGCAAAGGUCUUAGGGGUCUAGAAUUUAGUCUAGUGUAAGUUGUGAUACCUGGAUAUCAAAAAAAAAAAAGAAGUACACUCCCGACUUAAAAACACUUAAAAAAAACACGAAAGGGCGUAAAAUCUGUCAAUGAUAUUAUUUUGUGACGUGUGCUAGCUAAAUAUGCUUGCCAGCACUAAAUAUAAAUGCAGUUUAAUACAAGCAUUAACUAAAUCAACAACCUAAAGUUGAACACAAAUAAAUGUUUAAGCAAUUUGUCUUCACCCCUGUUAUUAGAUUGAAUAUAGGGGGUGGGCGUGGGGUUUUAAAGUGACACGAGCCCCUCGCUAGCUCAUGCUGCCGGCUUGCCAUCCUCUUUUAUCUAAAUUACCUGCUAAGUCAAAAUCAGUAUCCCCAUUUAGUAUUACCCAUUUUGUACCCCUUCUAAACUUCAAUCCAAGAUUUGUUGAACUAUUCUCAAGAGCCAUUUUAUAGCAAUCCAGUGCAUCUCACCUUGAUUUGCCAUGUAUUUUGCUCAGCACACUAAUUCCAUGUGCCAAGUAUGGUAUUGUAUAGACCUUAAGGUACAUUAUCGACUUAACAACAUUGGUACAAGGAAUAGUAUCCAUUCUACUUCCUUAGGUUUAGGUUUACGUGACAGGUCCAGUGAGAGUUUAAAAUGGUUGGCUAAUGAUAGUGUUACAACUUUCGCACUUCCUGUAGAGAAUUUAUUAGGAUUUUACUGAUACAAGAGGAUUGAUUCAAGAAAAUAACGUUCCCUCCUUUUAUUUCAAUCAUGCUACACCUCCAGUCUCAAAUUCAGACUUAAAUGAUUGGACAAUUUGAAAAAUUAAAAUAAAAACAUCCAAUUAUUUUCUGACACACCAGUCUCUCUCUUUACUUCCCUAUUUUUAACCUAGGACAAGUGACUUUAUUCUUCUUAUUUCUGUUAAUUUGCAUUCCCAAGGUCCUUUUAGCAUGACAUGUAUCUUCCAUUUCAAAUUAAAACUACUUUUCUUUUAUAAGUUUAAUCUUUUUUUCUAUUAUGACUGUGAAAAGCAUGCCAUCUACGUAAAGGAGCACGUAAACGAAUUUAUUACCCCCAUUACCAUUAUAAAGAAGACAUCAGCCGAAGCUACCCUUUCUGAAACCAAGACUUGGGAUAUAAGAAUCAAACCUCUUAUAUUAAUGUCUUGGGGCUUGUUUCAAAGCAUAAAGUAUCUUUUGACAGGUAAAAAAAAA
rnacentral:lncRNA from 1 species